rnacentral:lncRNA from 1 species
AGUGUGGCUGGCUGAGCAUUCUGUGGAGUGUAGUCCGUCACAGCUUGCCCGCAGUGGUGUAAGCUGUGCGAGCUAAACACCGAGCCCGCAGCAGGUUAGGCUUUGUUACGCUGUCAGUGAACAAUAAAGUUUUGCUUGUUGUCCCGGCAUCUCCUUGGUGACGGGAAGAUGGCGGCGCACACGCUGGGAGCUCGGCCUCGGACCGGCGAUGUGCUGCAAGGACCCGGGGAAGCUCCGGACUUCCACUCGCUGCUCCUAUCUCGGCCCGUGCUGGAGGGACUGGAGGCCGCGGGGUUCAGCAGGCCGUCCCCGAUCCAGAGCAAGGCCAUACCGCUAGGGAGGUGCGGCCUAGGUGAGUGCGGGCAACACACCGGAGUACGGGGGAAAGAGAGAGACUGUCAUACCGGGGGAAAGAGAGAGACUGUCAUACCGGGGGAAAGAGAGAGACUGUCACACCGGGGGAGAGAGAGAGACUGUCAUACCGGGGGAGGGAGAGAGACUGUCAUACCGGGGGAGGGNNNNNNNNNNNNNNNNNNNNNNNNNNNNNNNNNNNNNNNNNNNNNNNNNNNNNNNNNNNNNNNNNNNNNNNNNNNNNNNNNNNNNNNNNNNNNNNNNNNNUCACAGUGAGAAGCACGCAAGCGCCUCUAGUGGCUGUCAAUGAGACAGCCACUAGAGGAUUAGGGGGAAGGCUUAACCCAUGCAUAAACAUAGCAGUUUCUCUGAAACUGCUAUGUUUAGAAAAAAAUGGGUUAAACCUAGCUGGACCUGGCACCCAAACCACUUCAUUAAGCUGAAGUGGUCUGGGUGCCUAGAGUGGUCCUUUAAGGACACAUGACAUGUGUGACAUGUCAUGAUUCCCUUUUAUUCCAGAAGUUUGGUCCUUAAGGGGUUAGUCAGUAAAUGGGAAUUAUUGCAAUUUAAAAUUCAAAGGGAAAAAUCAGGCAAACUAAGCUGAUUUGGAGAAAUUUUCCAACUCUGCUAUAGUAACAUCUUGAUAAACUUUAGUCUACAUUUUGCCAUUUGGAUUUUAAUUCGCUACAAUUGAGAAUUUUAGUGGGUAGCCUCGAAAGUGUUAAUAUGCCUGUUGAUGAGCCAGGCUGUUGCUCUAGGCUUUCUGUUCAUGUCAAAUAAUUUGUGCAUAAAAGUUUAGAUGUGACAAAGCUUCUAAAAACUAUUUGCAGACACUGCGCAUAUUUAUGCUCAGUGUAUAUGACAGCCAGGCUAAUGUAAUCUCCACCUAUUAAACCGAGCCUCUGUCUGUGCAUCAUGCAAAUGGCUUCACACGGACUCUGAUACUGUGCUGUCACUUUUCAUCUGCAGCUCAUCAGGCCAAGAAGCCGAGAGACGAAAGCAAGCGAUUCUACGACAGGUAAAAAUCAUUCAGCUCCUGCUGCAUCUCACGAACAACAAAUCGAAAUAAGCAACCUCUGCUCAACAUUUAACUUAAUAUUUAACACUAGAAUAUUUAUUUGAUAUUCUUUCAUCUUUAUUUGCUGACCUGUGGCCAUGCCAGCUGGGCAGACGUUGGAAAGGAGACACUAUCAAUUUUUAUUUUUGUAUUUUUUUUGUUUUUAAUAGAACAAUAAAGGAAGCAUUAGGAAAGAAAGCACUUAUCCAAAAAGUGUCUGAUGACUGUGGAAAACAUUCUAGAAAUCACAACACAGUGAAUGCAUUCAAGAAUGUCAGUGUUACCAACCUCUCUUGAAAAGCUGCACAGAUAUUUAAAAUUAAAAGAGGGAAGGGAAUUAUAGAUAUUUGUUAGGGGAACUUUGGUGACCCAUCUAUUAAUUUUAGGCCUUCCAACCAGGGAUGUAUUUAGCCCAAGGCAAACUAGACAUUUGCCUUGGGUGGCACUAUUUAGGGGGCUGCAUUUUUGUUUGCCCACCGAGGCGUCUCCUGUGAUUCCCCUGUCAUGGGGGAGAGCCAAGAGCUGACCUGUUGGCCAGCUAAUAGAGACCUCCACCCCCUCCCUCCCUCUGGGGGCGGCUGGCUGGCUUACCAUCCAAGGCGGUGGCGUGGGAGCUGUGAGCUCUCUGCUCUGCUCCCUCACGCGCCACUUACUGAUGAAGUGGAAGCCGGAAUAUGAUGUCAUUCCGGCUCCCGCAUUAGUAGACAGCCCACGCGGCGUGAGGGAGCAGAGAUAUCACAGCUCCGUCACAGUCUCAGUUGGUAAACCAGCCAGCCUCACAGCAACCCCACUGGACCCCAGGGACAGAUCCAUGCCAGCUCUCCAGGUAAGGAGGCUGGGUGGAAAAUGUUUAAUUAAAUUAAAAAGUUGUGAGUGUGCGUCUGAGUGUGUGUAUCUGUGUGAGUUUAUGUGUGUGUCUGUGAGUGUGUAUGUAUGUCUGUGAGUAUGUGUGUGUCUGUGAGUGUGUAUGUAUGUGUGUGUCUGUGAGUGUGUGUGUAUGUCUGUGAGUAUGUGUGUAUGUCUGUGAGUAUAUGUGUGUGUAUAUGUGAGUGUAUAUGUGAGUUUGAGUGUAUGUCUGUGAGUGUGUGUUUCUGUGAGUGUGUGUGUAUGUCUGUGAGUGUAUGUGUGUGUCUGGGAGUGUAUAUGUGUGUGUGUCUGUGAGUGUCUGUUAGUGCAUGUGUGUGUCUGUUAAUGCAUGUGUGUGUGUGUGUCAAAUCAGUGAGUCUCUAACUAUGUGACUAUCGGUGUGUCUGACAAUGAGUGUCACUGUGUGUCUGUCAGUGUGCGUGUGUCUGUCAAUGAAUGAGUGUAUGUCAGUGAGUGUGUGUGUGUCAAAUCAGUGAGUCUAUGUUUGUCAUUGAGUGUAUGUAUGUGACUGUAAGUGUGUAUCUGCCAAUGUGUGUCCGUCAAUAAAUGUGUGUCAAAUCAGUGUGUCUGAAUGUCAGUGACGUCUGUGUGUCUGGCAGCACAGCACUUGCGCAUUAUUAGACACACUCACUGUGUGCAACUGGCAUUAGGACAAUGCAGAGAGCUGUAGUAGCGCUCUCUGUAUGGUCUUAUGGGUGGGGGGCUGACUGGAGAGGUUGUCUAUAAGCCUGGCUUCAUUACCCAAGACUGGCAUGCCCCACCAGUGGGUGGGCCCACAUCAUUUCAGACGGGACUGCAAAGUAUGGUCAUCAGCAAUAACGCAAGUUGUGUCACUGGCCAUGCCACCCAUGGACCACCCACCCCAUUCCAGUCUCAUACUUUCCAAUGGAGGGGAAGUAAAAAAUUCAACAUUCUAUUCAGUUACUGGCAAAAGUAGCUGCCGGGAUUCAAACUUACAUCACUGUAUUUUUGUGCUUGUAUGAAAGUAUAAAAUAAAGAUCUAUGGAACCCCCCCUCCCCCCAAGACCCAUAGAAUUUGUAGCACAUGAGCUGUGAGAUUCAUUAGGCAACUAUUGCACAUGACCACAUCAUGUAUCAAGAUGUCUGUUCCCAUCAGCCUUUGUGAGUGAUCCUUUAAAUAGUAAGAUGCAGCUCUGCCUUCUACCACAUUUUGACAAAAAUCUGCUUGAAAAUAAGGCAUAAUAGUCCCUAAGAUUUAUAUGACAUUACAAAACAGUCUUGUUUUCAUAGUGAUUCUAUCAUAAAGUGGCAAUGUAGCUUUUAACACUUAUUGCAAACACAAAUAAACAAAUUAAUAGCUAUUCACCCACACAGAUGUAAAUUACUUUAGCAUGCUGUUUGUCUAUUAUUGUUUAGAAGGUUGUCACUAUUCAAAGGUGAGAGUUUGAUAAGCCAAUGUUAGUCACAAGGUGUUAUUUUUGAGCAGUUCAGACCUAUUCCUUAAACUGUGAAUGAGUGAAAAACUGCACAUUUUAAGCCUAAACAAUCAAGCUGGAAAUUAUUUAAUAAUUCAGAAAUUGUAUAGAAUUGAGGAAAGAAUUGUGCAUUUAAUGCCAAAAUAGCAUACUCAGUAAAAGUAGCAAAUUAUAUUAAUAGCCACCCUGUCAUUUCUUCAUCAAUCCUAUUUUAAUGUAUAACUCCAAAUAGAUUCUUCUAAGUAGGGUUCUAGAAUAUCCUUACUGGGAUCUCUUCUCAACAGUGAUAAACUCAAGAUGGCCUUGUUUCUAUGAAUUUAUUAGGUGGGACUAUUGUAAGAGAAGAGGUUACCAUAGAUAGGAAAAAGUGCCUGAGGAGUAAUGUGGGCAAUUUUCUGUAAUGCCAAAUGUCCAUAUGGCUCUCUUUUUAUGGGGAAAAAAAAUCAAAUCCUUGAACACAGUUUAAGUGGUAUUUUCACAAAUAUAAUGUUCUUUACAAAUACACCCCACAUAGACAUCUCCUUACAGGGCUCAGGGGUGGGGGGGAGGAGGGGAGGCUUUUUUUUUUUUUUUAAAGCUGGUGGAUAUUCUUUACUAAGUAAAAUAUGAUUUAUUCUUUUAAGAAUGUUGUCUUAUCAUUCUUUGUUUAUUCACCAUAAAAAGCUUGUCAUAACAGCCAAUGUAGGCACUGGGCAUUGGGCUUAGUACUAAAGGGAAUAUUAAAAAAUGAUGACUAACCAGAAGAGAUUUUUUUGUGGCAGUGACAUGGUGGCCAAAGACAGGACUACCUACCUGCUUAAAAAGUAAGGCAAAGACUCUUCAAUCAUACCUUGAGAUUCAGGGUAAAAACAAGAGAGGUCUAUGGUAUUCGUCACAGAGAACACUGGCUGCCUAAAGAAAAAAAAGUAAUUCACCCGAAAUGAGUGAAAUAUUGAAGUAGAACUCCAAUGUUAUUGAAUGAAGCGGUAUAAUUUUCAUAGAAUAGCAUGAAAUGCUUUAAAUUAAGUUUCUUAUCUCCACAUUUUCACUAAUUACUAAAUCCAUUCCUACAGCCUGUUACAAUAAGUAUGUUUAACUCAUUCAGGGCCAGAACAAGGCAAAGCAUUUGGCAGCGAUGACAGUGCUGAUGUCAUUGGUCCUAACGGGGUUAAUUUGAUCAGGAUUCUGAAACUUGAUAAUAGUAGUUUUUUGCCAUCUUCCUAUUGCACGACCAUAAAUAAUAUGUUGGAGCUUAAAAAACAAACAAAUAAUCAAAUGUAACAUAAUAUGGAUUAAUUGUGUCUCACUUUCUGUCUAAAGCCGGGGUGGCCGAAAAGUAGAUCCCAAACUGUUGUUGAACUACAGCACCCAUGAUGCAUUGCCUUAAAAGAACACUAUAUGCACCAUAACUGGUCAUAGUAUCUGGAGUUCCCAGGCAUUGUCCAUCCAUUCAUUGUAAAACUGAUUUUAAAGUUUUAAUGAUAAACAGGAAUCCCCAGCAGCCUGUCCAUAGAGUGUCAGCUGAUCACAUUCAGCCUAUCACAGUGCCAUUGCAGAUAUUAAUUGGUAUGGCUACAAGGAGCCAAACCUUCAGUGGGGACAGGCUAUCUUUGGAAGCCAAUGAUUCUUACUAAUAAAAUGCUCUAAAAUGGUUUAACACUGAAUGGAGAGACAGUGCCAGUUGACUUGAGGCACUAUAACCAAGUCAAUGAGUUAAAAUAGUUAUAGAGCCUACAGUGUCCCUUUAACCCAUUAAGGACACAUGACAUGUCUGACAUGUCAUGAUUCCCUGUUAUUCCAGAAGUUUGGUGCUUAAGGGGUUAAGGCUAGUUUUGCAACAGCUGGGGUUAUACCUUUUAGCUGCCUCCGAUCUAUAUUAUGCUAAAAAAAAUAGUGUUCAUACAAAUACCCAAAUACCUGUAUUAUGUGUUACUGUGUGCUUUCCUGCUAGUAGAACUGCAGUGUUAAUGAACAAGGCUGAUUUCCAUAGCGUAGCUCCCAGUGCUAGAUAAUAAUUCAGAACAGAUUUAGAUUUCAAAGACACCAACUUAAAUAUCCCAGAGUGACAGUAACUUCAAUAUGCUUUAGGACUGGCUAAAAUUAGUAAGGUCACUGCCGCAAAAAGUGGGUGAAUACCGGUGUGGGUUCUAUGUAAAGCUUGCAUGCUUUCAUUUCUUAGUGCCCCAGGAACUAAAAAUUAUACUCCAGGGUCUCUAAUGCCAGCAGAACUCCCUGUGCAGUAGUCCAUAAACUCUCAAUUCUUUUGCAUUCCUCCCUGUGCUUUGCAUCGAAUAUAUAUUUUAUCUGCUCUCCAGGGGAGCAGAGCCGACUGACCUAAUUUAUUGCUUUAUACAAGACUUCUUUUCAUUUGCAACUCAGGGUUGGUUUGAUCAGAGAGAGGGAAUGACUAAGAGACCAUCUGCACGUGAUGCCCCAGGGCGAGGAAUUUGGUAAAAAGGAAGAUCAACGAUGGCAGGAAAGUCCGGAGAUAACAAUUUUCUCAGCUCUAAUCCCCUAUACACACCCUUUUCCUCCGAAAAAAAAGCAAAAUAGUGAGGUUUUUAUGUUUUCCUGCAAACUGAGGGACAUGGGAUAGUUACGAACUUGCUGUAAUAGGGAACAAAAGUUUAAAAGGACAGUACAUUUCAAAAAAGAAGAAAAGAGGAUUGCACUCAAUCAUAAAAAUCAUAGGGAUUUUUCUUGAGAUUUUUUUCUUUUAGAAUUGUCCAGUGAGUGCCUGAGAUGUUUUCUUUUAUAAAAGGACAGCAAAGACUGUGUUUACUUCCUAGAAGCUUUUAUGCAAGUCCCAAGCUGCUGAUCUUUGAGGCUGUCAGGGUUCCAAAUGGUGGAAUCUGUUUUCUUGCCUGCAGUGUGUACCAUAUUGCCUUUAAUUAAAUGGAGCCUUAAUGGGAGCCUUAAUGGACCUUUGUCUGAAAGGUUAUUCACUAAAGUGAGAAUUUCAGUAAAUUUAAAGUAAAUUUCAAAUUUGAGGUCAAAUUAGCCAAACUGAAAAAAUUGCUAACUCAGCUACGCUUCCAGUACACCUGCUUUGACCUUAAAUUUUAAAUUCAUUUUGAAUUUAAAGUCUGUUGUUUGUAAAGAAGUUGCCUAUAUCAUAAGUACACGGUUUGUGGUGGUUAUAUGGCUAGAUACAACACUACUGCUAACUAUAUACAAAUAUAGGAUAUCUACAAAAUAAGUGAAAAUGUGUGAUAAUGUAAUUGUACUUAUAUUAAGUGAAAGUUCAAGAUCCAACUCACAAAAGUGCAGAGGUAUACGAGCACAUCAAACAAUAGUGUCCUCUCUUCAAUGGGAUCCUCCAGGUAAUCAGGAGUAUAUGUGAAAAUAAAUAAUAAAAACCAUGGUGGGGUACUGUGUAAAUGAAAAUCACUGCUUUAUUGUAUUGCACUUACAAGAAGUAAAAAGUUGUAGAAUCCCAUCAAUAAAAAGAGUCAGUGUCUGGAUACCAAGAAAGCCUUAACCUCCCCUGGAUUGAUGUGAUAGGAUGCACAGGUCUUAAAAAAAAACAAAUAAAUAAAUAAUACAGCCCUACGCGUUUCGUCUUUCUCAGGGGAACACAUACACUGCAUGAUAUAAAGCAUUGGAACACUACUUCUAACUACUAACAAUGCUGUUAAUGUAAUAAUAACAAUUUGUUGUUAUUAUUACAUUACCAUACUUUGUAAGGUUUUACUGUCUUUUGCAAGGAUCUCUGAAAACAAUUUUCUCUAUAUAUUGUGCUAGCCAGUGAUAUACAUUUAUAAAUAUUAUAAAAUACUCUACAUUGCUUUGUUGUCAGUCAGAUCAAAAAGCAUCCUUGUUCACGCAAAAAGUAAUCUCGAAGGCAACCUGCACAUGAGCUCGUGGGGGAUAUUUUAUGAGAGAGCAUCCACAAAAAAUAGUUUUACAUUUUAAGGGUGACAUCAUUAUGCAUAUAGUUAUAAAGACAGCGAAUGUAAGAUGAUCAUGUCAUCAUUCUACUAAGACCUGCUGACUGUAUCAUACUGAUUGCAGCUCUGAAUUUUGUAAAAGUGCUCUCAUUACUAAAUAUGAUGUGGCCACUUUAAGGGAUAGCCACCCUUUACCUAUACCAAAUUAUCUCUUGUUAUAAAUUGCAGAUUUUCUUUCUUCCCACAUACACUACACUUCGAAACAACUACAGCCCACUAGAGUUAAUAGCAAUUCAAAAACAACUGACUGUAGAAGCAAUAGCAAGCAGCUUAUAAUACUUCUUGUAGGUUAUACUUGGCUUUUGAUCCAUGUGCAGGUCAAUGUGAUAUGUUCUGUUGAAGGGAUGCUCCAUGCUCAAUUUAAAGAAGAACUGUCUCCUCUGGAGAAGUGACAAUUCUUUGUUAUUUCACCAAUGUAAAUGCUAUUUCAGCAUCUAAUGGGAUGAAUAAUGCAGUGGAGGUAAAUAUAAAAGUUAUGUUUACUGCACUUCUGUGUCUUAUGAUGUCUCAUGCUCUCAGAGUUUUUUCCAGCAGUAAAAUACGCAAGCAUGCAUCGUGCAUGCAACACAGAGAGCGUUAACUAAUUUACUUACUUUGCCUGGCCCUGGCCAACAAAGUACGCAAGUAAAAAUAUAAAGGUAAAAUUGUAUUUAAAAAUAAAUAAAUCAUCAGCAGCAGUAGCAGCAGAGACAUUUCCUAUUUAAGGUAUUAAGGAUAUGCGUUAACAGAAUGUGUUGCUAAAUAUCUACAGCUUCUACAUGGGUGAGUAAGUCGUUUUCAUAGGUUUUCUGCCAGUUUUUAUCCUCUUAUUCUUUACAAACUGAAUCCCAUGCAUAUCUUGUAAACCAUUGCCCAGUAGAUGAUUAAGGAUUUGUUGUAGGUUAGUAGUCAUGAAAACUUUUAAGGCAAAUAAACAUAAAAACACAUUGCUGUCCUUGAUAAUUUCUAGAGCAGCCUCAUUCAUUUAUUUCCAUGGAUGAAUAUGCUCACAGCCUUGCCUGCAUGAAGGUGCCACGCAAGUACAAACCCAUAUCCAUAUUCCAUACAAGAACUUGUACAGUCAGGAGAAACAUUGUUUCUCCUCUGAUAUCAAAAUUGAGGAGCCAGGCGUGGUGCUGUUUGCAAACCGUUGCCAUUGUAAUGAAUAGCAUAAAAAGAGAGGGAUAGGUAGUUCAUUACACCAUGAUUUAUCUAAGAAGCACAAGAGCUUUAGUUGUUUGACAUCUUCAUUUAUCUGUGGAGGUUUUUGUUUUUAUCUAUUUUGAGUGUUCAUUUAACCAAUGAUCUGGCCCCAAGCUGUUCUACUAGAAAGAAACCCGGUAUGGUGUCAGGUAAAAUCUCAAAUUCCUGACCAACCUCCUUGACAUACGUGAUGGCCUUUGGAAUAAUCAAUGUUAUUGUUUUAUAUCCUUACAUAUACUCUCUGCAUCAUGUCUUGACUCCACAAACCGCAGAAUACAUUUUUUCACAUUUUUGGGUGCAUUUUACUGAGCAUGCAAUGUGCAGUUAAUCAACACAUGUUUUUUUCCUCACAACAUUUGGUAAAGAAGGUUAUUUUUAAAGUGUGUGAAUGGAACUGCUGAUUACUUAGAAGUAUAUUUAAAGUGUUCAUAUAAUAUAUGCUAAGCUAACCAGAGCAGUAUCCCUCAUGAGUAGAUUCUAAUGAUGAAUAAAAGUGUAAUACUUUAAAUUGCAAAUUUAGCUUUGCACCUGGUUUAUGCUUUCUUUACUUUCCAGCCCCCGUCCAACAUGACUGUGAUGUUUUCAGGAAAAUCUUUAACAUCUAAAGAGUCUCUAAAAAUGCUUACACGUGCAAUGGAAGUGGUGUUGCUUGCAGUUGACUUUGAAGAAUGAAAACUGAUUUUAUAAAUUGGCAAAGGCUGUAGGCCACAGCCUUAUUGAGUAAUUCAUGUACCGACAUUCUUAAAUUAUUUCCAUGCCUUAUAAGAAGCAGGUAGUUCACCAAUUGCGUAACAUAAAGCUCAUGUCUACUAUUUAUUCCACUAAGAAUGGGUAUAGCCAUAGUGAGUGGCUUGUCUUUCUAUUCCUGCAGUAGCAAGGAGCUUUCCGAAGUUGUAACAACAAAUUAGAAAAUGGACAGAAAACCAAACCACAAAUUAACAUAAUGGGAACUAUGAAGGCAUGUUCAGGACUCGUCGUGGACCUAGGUCCUGUUCUGCUGUCUAGAAUUAAAAGUGUAAGCGCUUCCCUUUCCUGUGAACAUACAUUCCCAAUAUGUGAAAAAACUGUUCUUAACACCCUAUCACUAUUAAUUAUGUAUAUUUAACAAACAAUACCAAUAAAGGUUGUCUUUAGUAAAAUACUUGCUGGAAUAGUAAUGCAGUCAUGAACCAUUGGUGUUCCUGAAGGACUGUGCUGGUAGUUUUUAAAGGACCACUAUAGGCACCCAGACCACUUCAGCUUAAUGAAGUGGUCUGGGUACCAGGUCCAGCUAGGUUUAACCCUUUUUUCUAUAAACAUUGCAGUUUCAGAGAAACUGCUAUGUUUAUAUUAGAGUUAAUCCAGCCUCUAGUGGCUGUCUCAUUGACAGCCGCUAGAGUGCUUCCGCGCUUCUCACUGUGAUUUUCACAAUGAGAAGACAACAGCGUCCAUAGGAAAGCAUUGUUAAUGCUUUCCUAUGGACUGGCUGAAUGUGUGCGCAGCUCCUGCCGUGCAUGUGCAUUCACCUGAAGAGGAGGAGAGGAGGAGGAGAGGAGGAGGAGAGCUCCCCGCCCGGCGCUGGAGAAAGAGGUAAGUUUAACCCCUUCCUCCCCCCCUCAGCCUGGCGGGAGUGGGACCCUGAGGGUGGGGGCCCUUUAAUAUCACAACCAUUAUGAAUGUUUGACCACUGUUUAGAUGAAAAGUUACGUAGAACAUUAAAAUCCAGAUGUAUUUUUGGUUAAUAUCUAGUUCCCAUCAGCUACGUAAAUAAUUUUUUAUGUGCUGGCAAAGAUAGGUUUAAUUAAAUAUGGUUACCAAAUGGUAAUAGUUACCAAAUACAGCCAUAUUACACUUUUGUUUCACCCAAAGGUGGACCUCAGCUAACAAGUCAAAUCAUUCUAAAACAGUUUAACUAUUUACAAUGUGGGGGCACCUUUGUGCUCCUGGCACACUUUAGUAGAUAUGGUGAUUGGAGUGUUCUUUUAAUAUGUCAUUACCUAUUUAAAUAUACAUACCUUUAUUGGAUCAAUUUAUAUACAUACAUUCAGUAUAUGCAGCUAUAUACUUGCAUGCCCUGCUCUGCUGUUUUCUUGUUUUUUGUUUUUUUCUUGUUUUUUUUCUCCUUUUAACCCCUUAAGGACACAGCUUCAGAAGCUGGACAUACCCUUAAGGACACAAACAAUUUUUGCAUUUAUUGCUGUUUGUGUUCAAAUACAAAUUGCAUCUCUCUCAUUUAUUGUACCAACACAUAUUAUAUACCGUUUUUUAGACAACAAAAAGGGCUUUAAUUUGAUGUGACAUAUACAUAUUCUCAUUUAUUACCAAUAAAAUGCAAAAUAAUGUGGAAAAAAACUAAAAAAAAAUGCUUUUCCCCUCAAGUUUUGCCAAUAAUAAUGUGUGCAUAAUAUGUCCAGCUUAGGAAAAGUAAUUCAAAAUCAAUUCAUUUAUGUGUCUUGAUUUACAAAGUGCAUAAUAUGUGUAGGAUUUCAGUUUAUUUUGAAAGUUACAGGUCACAAACUACAAGGUCUAAGAUAAGAUUUCAAUGUGAAACAAUUUUAGAAUUUGGUAUGUUUGUCUUGGAAGUUUAAUACCCAUUACAGGAAACAAAAUUGCCACACAAAAGUAUAUAUUUAUAUAAAGUAGACAUCACAGGCUAUUUACCUAAGUUUAGUUUGACACUUUUUGCGUAGCCAUUUCACCGCCAAUCUCUGCUAAAUAUUGGAGUAAAAUUUAAUUUUUUCUCUAUUUUGGCAUAUACACAUAUUACAAGGUUUUUGUAAUGUGUGUUUCGUAAACCUAGUGUGUGCUAUCCCUGUACAGAACCCCAUAUUGUGUUCAGCUGUAUCUGCUGAGUAAAACUAUACCCCCAUUGUAUACCUUUGCCCCUGUUCUGUGAAGCUACAAUGCCAUAUAGGAGACCAUGCUAUUUCAGUUUCUAUAGUUGGAAUUUUCAUAGAUGGCCAUAUGUCUGAUUUUGUGGCAUUAUAGCCAUUUGACUGUUCAAAUAACCCCACAGAGGCCUUCCAUUUGAGAAAGCAGACACUGCAGGGUAUGUUAUUAGGCAUUUAUUAUACCUUAACUUGCCACCAUUUUUUUCACCAAUUUAUUUCAAAUUUUGUGGUGAGAAUUUUUUAAAAAAUUAUUUUUACAUACAUGUUGUAUUUUCGCUGGGUAUUUCUUACAUUUGAUAAGUGCCACUGUCAUAAAUUCCCCCUAAGUAUGCUCAGUUACCUCUUCUGAGUAAAACAAUAAGCCCAAUGUAUGACCUAGACACUAUUUUGUGAAGUUACAGUGCUGUGAAAGAGACGUGACAAGUUCAGGUUUUUAAGUGUGAAUUUACAUGGAGAGUUUUAAUGGGUCCGUAUUCUAUUUUUAAAUAUGUUAGCAGGCUGCUUUUUCCAACUAGCCCAAAAAGGCAUACUAUUUCUUAAAGAAGACGCCUGAGUGUAUUUCAAAAGGCAAAUUUUGAACCUUAGCGUGGGAUAAUUUUUCCGUUAGCUUGUAUGAAAUGUAGUGGUAAUAAGCAUUUUUUUCUGCCUUUUUGACACACAGUGAGUUUUGUACUGUAUAUUUUGCAAACCUUAUGUGUGCUAUGGCUUUAUAAUACUUUAUAUGUUGCUCAGCUAUGUUGUCUGAGUACAGCAAUACCCCCGUAUGUACCUUUUCCAGGUAUAUGUGGAAGUUGAAGGGGCACAUUUCAGACACAGCCAUUGCAGGUUUUUUUGAACUUUGAAUUUUUACGCUGUGUUGUUACCCCACUUUAGAGUUUUUUAGCAGGCUAUAUAUUCCAACUAUCCCAUAAAAGCAUACCAUUUCUUAAAAAAGACACCCUAGGGUAUUUCAAAAGAUGUAUUUUGAACCGUAGCGUGAAAUAAUUUUUCCACUUGCUUGUACCAAGUGUAGUGGUAAUAAGCAUUUUGUUCUGCUUUUUUGACACACACAGUGAGUUUGUAUUGUGUAUUUUUCAAACAUUAUGUGUGCUACGGCUAUAUAAUAUGUCCCAUCUUGCUCAGCUAUGUCGUCUGAGCCCAUCAAUACCCCCAUAUGUACCUUUGCCAGGUAUAUGCGGACAUUGAAGGGGCACAUUUGAGACACAGCCAUUUAAGUUUUUUCUAACUUUACAUUUUUACACUGUGUCCAUACCCCACUUCUGAGUUUUUUUUGUAGGUUAAUUAUUCCAGCUACCCCAUAAAGGCAUACCAUUUCUUAAAGAAGACACCCUAGGGUAUUUCAAAAGACGUGUUUUGAACCUUAGCGUGAAAUAAUUUUUCCACUAGCUUAUACCAAGUGUAGUGGUAAUAAGCAUUUUUUAUGCCUUUUUGACAUACUCAAUGAGUUUGUAAUAUAUAUUUUGCAAACCUUAUAAGUGCUACAGCAGUAUAAUACUUCAUAUGUUGCUCCGCUAUGUCAUCUGAGUACAACAAUACCCCCGUUUGUACCUUUACCAGGUAUAUGACAACGUUGAAGGGGCACAUUUGAGACACAGACAUUUAAGUUAGAAUUUUUACGCUGGGUCCAUGCCCCACUUUGGAAUUUUUUUAAUAGGUUGUGUUUUUCAAUUACUUCAAAAAGGCAUACCAUUUUCUAAAGAAGACACCCCAGGGUGUUUCAAAAGGCAUAUUUGAAACCUUAGCGUGGUAUCAUUUUUUCACUAGCCUGUACAUAGUGUAGAGGUGAUAUGCAUUUCCCCCCUUUUUUAAAAUUUUUUUAAAACUUUUUAAAAGUUUUAUUUAGCUUUUAACAACUUAUUUUACUAUUUUAAAACUUUGUUUAAACUUUUCAAAAGUUUUUUUCACUUUUAAUUGUUUUUUUUUAACCCACUAACUUCUAUCCACCCUAGCUAAAUAAAUAAAUAUUUUAAAAUAUUUAAAUUAAUUAAUUAAAUACAUUUAACAUUUUGAGGAUUAAAAAAAAAUAAAAGUUAACCCUCGGGGGUUAAAAGAAAAAAAUCAGAUCACGGUGAAAUACUGUGAUCUGUAUUUUGAUCACUGCAGGCAGUGAUCAAAGGGCAGGCAAGGGGUUACAUUUUAUUUGAAAGAGGUGAGGGGGGGGGGAUUUUAUUGCUAACACUUUUUUUUUUUUUUAUACAGGGAGAGACAGAUCAGCACCAAUCUGUCUCUCUGCAGUUCACAGCUCACACAGAGCUGCAGGGAAACAGAUCAGGUUUCACUGCAGCUGAUCGCUCUGACUCCUGGUCAGGGCGAUCACAUGGGCUGAGUCAGUGAAACUGCCCAUGGUAGUGUGCCUCCGAUAGUGUGGCAAUCGGGGUUAAUUUUAAUUUUGGACGGAAAUUUUCCACCCAAGGUCCUUAAGGGGAGUUCUGCAAUGAUGGAAAAUUUCCGUCCAGCGUCCUUAAGGGGUUAACUAGCUUAUUGUCUAUCCUCUGUUUAUUUACGUUUUCUGGCUAUUCUCAUCCAACCUGCACUUUUCACUUUCAGGCACCUCUUCUUCUCUAACAUCAGUUGUUUUAAGUGUUUCAGUUUGAUCAGUAUUGCUUCAGACCUGAGGAAGAGAGGAAAACUCUCGAAAGCUUGUCUUUGAAAUAUUAUGUUAGUCCAAUAAAAAAGGUAUCAUUGCAUACUGCAAUACUCUGGUAUUUUGGCAUCUUAUAUAUAUUUUUCAACCUGCUUCCAAGAAAAGAAUAACUUUGUGUCAAAACUAUUCUGCAUAAUGGUAAUGCCAACUAUUAAAUAUCUGCUUGAUGGUAUUAUCAUUGUACGUCAAGGAUGUCACAGGAUGUCAUGACCAGAUUUUUUUUGUUUCUUUCCUGUUUUCUCUUGCAGAUAGGUACAAUACAAAUACUACAAACUAAAGACGAAACAAGUUGUGAAAGACUUACUUAAGUCCCUUGCCUGUAUAUCUGGUCCAAACUAAAGGGAGACAUUGGUGAGUUUAUUUUUAAUAAGUUAAUUAUAAAAUGAUUCUACUUUCACAUUAGAGAUACAAUUGCACUCUUCAACUGUUAUGCUAUUAAAGAAGCCUCAAACAUUGUAUUUUAUGACUCUAGAACGUGCCAUACUAUUCAAAUUACAAAAAUAACUGAAGAUGACAUAUCUGUUAUUCCUGUUGUUUAAAACCCUGGUCAUGUAUUAAACAAAAAAUAUUUAAUAACACAUAAAACACACAUAAAAUAAACACAGAUUUUUCAUUGAGCAUAAAAAGAAAACCCAACAGCUUCAUUGAUUAAUAAUUAAUCAAGCAGAGAUGAUUUACCAGAUGCAUGCAAUCAAUAUCCAAAUCGCUGAUUUAACAUGUACGCCGCAUAAUGUUUUGUGUCAGGACUGUUUUGGUUUUUACUGAAAUAAAUACUGCUUUGGAGAGGGAAGAUGUUCAAUUCACGGUACAUACUCUUGCUCUGUUUUAUAACAGCUCUCACUGUUACAGGGAUGAUAGAAGCUAGUUCUAGUCAGCAUAAUUCAAUUUUUUGGAAUUUAUCUUAUAUUAAAGUUUAGGGAUUCAUUAGGGAGAUAUAUGUGUUCUGAUAAUACCAUUCUCAAAGAGUAACAUUAUUAUUAGAAGAUAGAAACAUGCAGAGAUUUCUUUUCCGCUCAUUUUUAAUUGCUGUUAAAAAGCACUAUCAAACAUCUCUGAUGAAGUAUUGUCUGAUAUAAAGCGGUUUAAAAUAUUAUGCAAGUUCAACUGUCCGUGUUUAGUAGUAAGUUUUUGAAAAAAAAGACUAGAACGGUAAAAGAACAUAAAUACAAAAUGGUAGUUGGCAAAUAAACUCUAUUGCUUUCCAGUUACUAGGGACCACGUCUUUUUUAUUGGAAGGGAACAGAGAAAAAAUCUUUCUGCUCUCUUGUGAAAAUUGCUACAGAACCAUCACAUUUUCUGAUAUUCAUACACAGUUGUAGAGUUGCUGAACCCUUUUAGACUCUUGUCUUUCCAUACUCCUUGAGGUUUCUUCACUAAACACCAGAUUGUGGUUGACUCAAAAACAAACUGCAAAAUAACAAAAAAAAAUCCAACCUGUCACUAUUACCGAGUUGGAUUUUUUUUCCAAAACACUUGCUCUAUCCACUUUUUGCCUAAUUUUUCAAUUUGGUUUUCAACUAAUUGUAAUCUGGUCUCAAGGUGAACAAACCUCAUAGAGCCACUUGAUGUCAUAUUUAAAUAUACAUUAAUUUGGGGAUAAAGGUCUGAUAGUAUCGCAAUCAGAAGGAACGUUCCAUUGUUUUGUGAUUGCUCUACUGUUAGAACUCUGGCCCACCAUUACCGCUUUUUACAUAUACAGUAUAUAUGUAUUUUCUAUACUUCAUUUAUCAAACAGCCUAGAUAUAUAGUCCUUGCAGUGGGGGCAAACUGACAACUUCCAGAUCAGAUCUAUUAUCCCAGACAUAGAGUAUCUUAAUUCCAAAUUUAUAGGCAGAACUUUAUAAGAUUUUGAGACUAUUUUUCUUUUUAGGAAGGAAAAUAUAAACCAUCAAAAGGAGACUACUUAUGUUUAUCAAAAAAACGUGAAUCAUGUGUGUGCAACUGAAUAUAUAAAACAUACAGGCAUGGUCAACACAUUUAGGUGCCACUCAACUACGCAUUAACAUGGGAAAGAUGAAAAAGAAUGAUAAAUCAACUGAUGUCAAUAACAGAUAUGUAGGUUCUGAUGUUUCGGAAUCAUAAGACAUGUCUGCAAUAAACAUUAUUUACAGUGUGCAGAAUUUCCAUUUGUUUACAGAGACAAGCCAAAUAACAAUUCUAUCAAAAACCCUCAUAGCCAUUCUUGCCAUCAGGGUCUUAUCGGGGGGCGUUGGUAAAAGCUGUUACUGAUGGUGGUGCAGUCCUCCCAACUGUCCUGCUUUUGUUGGGAUCGUCUAUAUUUUAGGGUUCUGUCCCAUCAUACCAAUUUUGCUCCCUGGUGAACAUCAGGGAACUGUCCCCAGGUAGCACUAUGCCAGCGCAUCUAUGACCACGCAGACCAAAGCUCAGCACUGCUCUCUGCAUGACCUGAGUUGUGGACCAGCCAGAGUGUGCUUGCUGCCAGGCUGAAAUGCUCCUUCAGUGGGUGGCCUGCAAUAACCCAGCCCAUCCAGAUUCCAUACCUUCCAAUGUGGUGGUAUAAGGGUUCCUUGGUAUACACUGGCACACAAUUAGGCACACUUAGAACCUAUUAAGUGUCUGUAGAAUGUCAUUGCCUACCUAACAAUUGUUGCUAAAUGUUGCUAAUUGUUUCAAACGGAUCUUCCAGCAGGAUCAUACACUAUGUCUCAACGUGCACACCUUCUAGAACUGGUUCUAAGAACAUGACCUGAUCAGGAUACUCCAAGGACUAGCACAGUCUUCAGAAACCAAUCCGGUAAGGCACAUUUUAGAGUGAGUUUGAAAUUAGCUUGACAUCAUAUUCUGUAGAGAGUAUCCAACGACUUGGAAUACCCUCCAGCUAAAUCUCCCCUUACCAUACCGGCUUAUAAUCAAAUAUCUACUGUAAAAAAAUAACGUGCUUCAGAGUCCAGGUGUGUGAAUUGUAUUAUGGAUGCUGGCAAAACAACACUGUUUGAUGAUCUGACAGUUCCUUUAUACUGCACACUAUAAACAAUUUAAUACAUGAACUUCCAAGACAGGGGCAUCCUUUGAACAGCUUUAUUUUCUUUGAAUUACUUCAAGCCAACUGUGCUGGUCUAUAAAAUACUGCAGGGCCAGUGAUAUGGAUAUGCCAUUUCCUCUGUGGAUCACGCAUCAGCGUGUUCCUAAUUCAAAUUUUUAUUCUCUUUGUAUAAACCUGCUUCUCGAGGCGCAGAAUAUACCUUUUUUCCUUCCAAUUUAAUCAGACCACCUAUUGACAUUUUGUUCUGUGAAGGUUUUCUGUACACAGUUCCCUUGGAUCUGAUUUUUUUAUUUUUAUUUCCUUUAUAUAGUAGCUCAGCUUAAUUCAGUGAAUUAGUACCUUUCAUAUAUUUGUUUGGUGUUUUUCAGAGUACAGCAAUAAUACAAAUAUAAUAUGCCUCCGUCUUAAUAUGAUGAAGAAAACUCAAAGAGAAUAUAUUCUUGCAGCAUUUUGCUAGUGUUUAUGCAUAUUCUCUCCCCUCUAUCUCUGUAUACAUAUAUAUAUAUAUAUAUAUGUAUAUAUAUAUAUAUAUAUAUAUAUAUAUAUAUGUGUAUACACCUGACACACACAUACAAACACACAAAUAUAUAUAUAUGUGUGUGUGUGUGUGUCUGUUUGUGUGUGUGUGAGGUGUAUGCAUGUGUGUGCCAGUGUAUAUAUAAAUGUGUUUUUUGUGCAUAAAAAAAUAAUAAUAACUAAUGUACAGAAAAAAAAGCAUUUUGGUCUAUUCACUAAAUAAGGAGAGUUAAAAAUGUAGACUAGAAAGCACGUUCUGGUGCAUACAUUUAUGCUCAAAAUAAAAAGCAUACAAAUCGAUCUAUGCAUUUAUACUCAAUAACAUUUGGCCCCUGUCCAACCUUUCUAUCAAAUCUAAGUACUGUAUUUAGUAUAGGCAGGGCUUGCAAUUGCACAGGAUACACACGGAGAGUGAUAUCACUGCACUGCUAGUGAUGCUAGCCGAUUGUGAAGUCCACAGAAUUCCUAAAAUGACCAAUACACAGUCAACUCACCUCCAUCCAAUCUGAUCACCCAUGUUUCCUUCAGCAUGGUGUUCAGGGCAGGACUUUGCCCUCCUAUUCAAUCCUAAACCCCACAGAACUGUCACCAGUAUAGUGGAAGAAAGUUGAGAAUUUGAUGUUACAUCAUGCACCUGCCCCUCCACUCACAGCUCUGCCAUAAGUUGAACUAGAUUUAAGCGACUGCACAGGAAGACUAAGCACUGCCCUGAAUACUGACAACACAGCCAAGCUACACUAGUGCGAGCAGGACCACCAUGGGGGCCUGGGUCCCAAUGACCAAGUUGUUAAUGUACUAAAGUUGACUGGUAUGUGGCCCGAAGGCACAGGGACAGUGAGAGGCCCAGCCUCAAUUAUGUAGUAAUUAGCCAGUUGGGGAAAUAAGAAGACCUCCCUAACUGGCUCGGCACCAUUGUAUUUCAUUCAUGAUGCCAACCAGUUGGUUGUGGAACUUUUACAUGAUGGAAUUCUCAGGUUAGCUUUGUUUGGUGAAUAGAGGAAGGGAUAGGAUGUUACAUCCUAUCCCUUGCAGACUACUCUAAACAUGUAUUUCAGCACUCUGAGAGCACUGCAAGUAAACUGGGUGGAAGAGAGACACAAGUGAGGGGAGGCAUCUGUAAUUUAGAAGGGAAACACUUGUAGGAUUGAUGUAGAGACCAAUAAGAAAUGGAGUGAUAGAUGCAAGUUCGUGGCAUAAGAGAGUCAGGGGGUUUGGUAGAGGAAGGGAAACUUUUAGAGAGAGAUAGGAGAGAUUGAUGCAUAUUCAGGAUGGAAGUGGUGAUGAUCACUCAAAGGUUUCUCACAAGGUGUCUGAAGAUCUAAAGCCUACCUCACCCACCUUCGUUCAAACAUGGCUGCUAUAUUAACAUCUGGCAACCUCACGCAAGGUCAACAAACAUAUAAUACCAAAUCAAAUCUCUAGAGACCUGACUCUGUAUGAUAAAAGCUUCUCACUUCUAUCUGCUUAGCAUAGCGAUGGCAAAAUAUCUAUCAUAAAGCUGCCUGGAAUAUUUAGCAUUUAUGUAAUUUUCUCUCUGCACUUUCAAUCUGUACUGCUAGGUAAGCAAGUGGCGAACAUACAGCUGAAUGUAGCUUGGCUUAUGCUUUUAUUUCAUUGGCCUGUGUUUCAUUCUGGUGAUGGUAUAUCCAGAAGGACAUAAACAAAUAAAGUUACAACAUCAUACAAAAUAUGAUGAAGAAAUUAUUUCAAAGGGUUUUCUCUGGAGAAAAAAAGAGAAGCAAAGAGGCCACAGUAGAACAUCUCAGUCGUUUCAGAUAACAUGUAGCAUGUAUGGCAAAAUAAAUAGAUGAGACGAAAUUCGGGUAGUAUUUAUAAAACUCCAAUAAAACUCUCUUAAAGGUUUGUAUUGUCAGGUCGCCAGAUUACUGCUGUCACUUCCCAAGAUUUUGAAAAUAUGUUUACUUGACGCCAUAUAUUUAACAUAUAUGUUUUUGUGAGAUUUGAAAAAUAGCUUUUAUAAAUGGCUCAGCAGCAUGUGAGUUGGACCAGUAAUAUGAGUUUUUACUGUAAUGUGUGACAGUAUCACCCUAUGGUCUCUCUCUUUAUUUAUGUUUUAGGAUUGUAUCCACCUACAUUUGUGGUAACUUUCAAUACCUACUGAGUGCUCUCAAUUUUUUAUUGCUUCAUUUUGCAUUUUAUUUGUGUGUGUAGAGUGAUCCACACAGGUGAUUGCAGCACCAUAUUUUACCCUUUCCAACUAUUAUAUUCGAUUAUGAUAAUGUUUUCUCACAGGGCUAUUCACUAAAGCCUGAAUGGCCCCAUACCGAAUGAGACAAAACCAUGUGGCUGCACAUGGGGCCCGUUUGGAAUGCAAAAUCCAGCCAAAAGUUUAAAUUUGGUCUGGAUUUUAUUCGGAACGAAUAAAGGCAGGCAGAAUAUCUCAAAUCCGGCUCUGGAUUUAAAAACAAAAUCUGAACUACUUAAUCGUUAAACACAAUCAGCCAGUGGGCAAAUAAGGGUUAAUUAUGUUGUCGCUGACCAGCAUUUAUUAGUCAGCCUCUACACUUAAUAGUAAAAAAAAAUAGGAAGAAAUAGCCUGAGAUCAACGAGACUCCCAUAUUACUAUUGGGAGAUGGGGUUGUUGGGGGAGAGAGGGUUAAAACCUCCUAAUGCCCUUACUUACUAUCCAUUCUAUUUCAUUAUAAAGAGAGAAGCUUGUGUCCCCCCGGCCCCCACCAAUGGGAGGAAAUAGAAGGUACUUGUAGAGUUUCAUAAAAAAGAUCAGCUCCCUAUGUUGUCCUUACAUAACCUUGGUAAUCGCUUGGAAUGAAAACUGAUUAACCUCCCGACUGCUUUCAUUCAGACUUCUAAUCUUUCUUCUGUAUAGAAUUCAAAUAUUCUAUUACAUUGUCUUAAGGGAUCCAGAUGCUCAGCAAAUACUCUACUUGGUUUGUAGGUAAUACGUUAUUUAUAAUAAUUAAAGUGUUUUACCAGAAAAAAAAAACCUGAUUUCUACAAUGUAAGAUUACCGAAAUUACAUUUGUUGUACUCAAAUACCCAUACAUUAAUUCCCAAACAAUUCCUGACAUACUACUUUUGUAGAGUAUGGGUGGCACUAUUGGUUGACACCAGUUUAGGAGAUUGAUUGGACACUUAGUGCAAGUGGGGCUGAGCAUCAGACUAGCACUGUGUUUACAAGGGCAUCAGGAUUAGGGAUAAUCUUGCUCAUUCUUGGUCAAGUUGUACCCCUAGUAAUGUGGGGGAGGGUGGUAGUUUUGUGUUGAGUAAAACAGGUUUCUUCUUUUGUCUAUUUUUUUGAGUUAAAGGGUUACUCCAAAUAUCAUAACCACUAAACCUCGCAGUAGUGGUUGUAAUGGAAGACGUAUCCCUAUUCCCUGGCCUGGAUUUGCCCUCUAACCUGGGUCCCUGUUGGCUCCGAAGCUCCAUGUGGCUCUGGUGAAGUGCUGUAAACUUCAACAGAGCUACAAAAAAUGGAAUCUGACACUGUCAUAAUUUAUUGACUGGGAGUAUCAGCUGACCACUAUCAGCUAAAAUCACUAUCAGCCAAUGAAUUGGGCUGGCUGAUGAUGCCUCAUGAUGCUGCCAGAGGUGGAGUUACACCUACAGCAGCCAAGGAGUUAUUCACUGUCUGAGUUUCACAGCAAAAUACUGCACAUACAGACUUCAGGCACCAUGACUACUUUAAAUCACAGAAAUGGUCUUGGUGCGUGGAGUAACACUUUAAACACUCACCAGUAACUGAGGGAGGAAGCUGGGGGAACAGAUACUCUCUCCUGGUUAUGGGUGGGUCCGGGUUACUUGCCGUUUCUAUCUGAAUCAACGGUAUCCCCUACUUUUUUAACCUCUUACUUUAUGCACAUGAGUGAAGUAAAAAUAGUGAAUUAAUUUUUGUUCUUCAAAACUGCCAAAGAAUGACUUGAGCAGUAUUUCCACAAUAGUCAGAGAGCUACAUUUUGAUUUCCUAGUUAUAAAUGAGAGUUUAAGCAAAGUGACAAACAGAGCAGGUUUUAUCAUUCAGAUAAUACAUAUCAACAAUAAAUUCAGACUCCACUUUUCUGUUUCAAUACCACUAGGAGGAGACCUUGUGUUUCAGUUCACUAAUCUCCAAAACCCUGAGAUUUUAAAAUAACAGCGUCUUGAGGGAAGCUUUUAUAUUACAGAAGGCAUCACUAACAACGUCUGACAUGCUUUGAAGCAACCCGUCCUAACAAUAAUUAGGUUUCUUGUAGAAUACUUGACCUCUGGCCCCCGUGAGACGCACAAAUAACUGGUGGUCAUAACCUUGAGUUUAUAUAAUGCUAUUAAUAAUCAUAACAACAAUGUGUUUUUUUUCUGGUGCUUAGAAGGAGAAAGAAAAAUAAUGCUAAUUGGGUUUAUUAAAACAUACAAAUCCCUUAUCUGCCAACAGUGCAACUUCUCUUUGGUCAUUCAAGCUUGUGAGUAGAGACCUGAUGAAUGUCCACCCUGUAGCAUUAGUUACAUUGACCACAGAGUGAGGAGCUGCACAUGCUAUAAGACGAGAAGCUGUACAUGCUAUAAGGUGAGAAGUUGUACAUGCUAUAGGGUGAGAAGCUGUAUAAGCUAUAGAAUGAGAAGCUGUACAAGUUAUAGGAUGAGAAGCUGUACAUUUUAUAGGGUGAGAAGCAGUACAUGCUAUAAGGUGAGAAGCUGUACAUGCUAUAGGGUGAGAAGCUGUACAAGCUAUAGGGUGAGAAGCUGUAUAAGCUAUAGAAUGAGAAGCUGUACAAGUUAUAGGAUUAGAAGCUGUACAUGCUAUAGGGUGAGAAGCUGUACAAGCUAUAGGGUGAGAAGCUGUAUAAGCUAUAGAAUAAGAAGCUGUACAUGCUACAGGGUGAGAAGCUGUAUAUGCUAUAAGGUGAGAAGCUGUACACAGGGCCGAUACAAGGAUUUUUCCUGCCCUAGACGAAAAAAAUAUUUGCUGCCCCAUUCGUUCCACCCACUCAUGCAGACUUACAUGACCCAUACACAUACACGCUGACCCAUACAGACACACACACUGACCCACACACAUACACAUACGCCCACACUGACCCCCCUCUACACACAUUGACCCAUACAGGCACACACACUGACCCACACACAUACACAUAUGCCCACACUGACCCCCCUCCACACACACACUAACCCAUGCAGACACACAGAGACCCAUACACACCUAUACAUACAUACACACAUACACAGUCUCAUACACACACACAGUCCCAUACAUACACACACAGACCCAAGCAGACUGACAUACACAUACUGACUGAAACAUACUGAUACGUUCUAUGAAACACACUAUGCAUUCUCUCUUACCUUCAUUGCACUUUGCUCUUCAUUCCUGUCUUUUUUACUGUGCCUGGCGGCCAACACUUUUUCCCAAGCCUCAUUUCCUGUUAAUCUCCCACCCCCUUGUCCCCACGUACAGGAAAAGGGUGGGAGCGAGUGAAUGGCGCGUCCUUGCGCUGCUUGACUGGGAGAGGGAUCCUGACUUAGCAGGCUGUGGUGAAUGCCUGACCUAAGUGCUACUAGGCGCUAGUCUACAAAUAAGUGCACCCUAGCACCCGGUAACUCGGCGGCCCAUUAUAUAUAAUCAAUCCCACUUGAUAGGGGGGUGGCCAGACAAGCAGUAAAGCCACUGCUGGCACCCCCCUAAGUAGGCGUCCUAGGCGCUGUCUACUUGGCCUAUAGGACGUGCCAGCCCUGCUGUACCCUGUACAUGCUAUUAGGGGGGGAAGCUGCACUGACCACUGAGUAACAAGUAGCAAGAAUCUCUGACAACAGAGUGAGAAGCUGCACUAGCUAUAAAGUGAGAAUCUGCACUAACCAUAGGGAGAGAAGCUGCACCGACCACAGAAUAAAAAACACGACUGACCACAUUAUUAUUAAGUCUUCUUGCAUAGCAAGACCACUUAAUGUUAUCUCACAUAUAUAUUAUUCUUAUUAUAGCCAAAUUUACCACCCUAACUCCUCUCACAGUUUUAACACUACAUAGACCGUAAUAUACCGAAAUGUGCGGAUUGUUUCCGAUUGGCAUGCUAUUACUCUGUGGAACGUUUCGACGAAUGGUUCACAGAAUAUCGUCAUUCUUGUAGCGAAAUUGGUCCCAUAGGAAUGAAUGGCAAAAUGUUCAAAACUAGAGUGGGAGCUGGCAAAAGCUGAAAAAUCAGGACAUGAUUUCUAAACUGCCACCACUCCCUCAUUUUCAAGCCCACCUACACAAAUCUUAUAUCAAAAUGUUCAGCUAUCUCUGCUGCCACUAAAAAUCCAUGACUAAGCCAUAGUCCUGAUCGUUUUCACAAUAUGACCAUUUGUUUGCAACUCACGCUGUCCAUUGACAUUCAUUGAAACUCCACUCUAGCCAGCUAAAAUUUGAAGGGCAAUUUCUAAACUGCGACUGUACCUUCAUUUUUAAUAUUUCAGAGACAUACUAUGUAUCAAAAUGUAGGUCUGGGUCUUGUGAUUCUCACAAUAUAAAGCUCUUCGCUGUAGGAUUUAUAGUUUUUAAAAUACGACCAUUUGGAAAUGGCAACCACCAAAAUACUCUGACCUGUACCAGGCUGGAGCAGCAAGUGAUGUCAUAGACAGGGCCUUUUGUACACCUGCUAAUGUUAAAUUUACCACUCUAACUCCUCCCACAGUUUUUACACUACAUAGACAGUAAUAUACCGAAACGUGCGGAUUGUUCCCGACUGGUGUGCUAUUACUUUGUGGAAUAUUUCGCUGAAUGGUUCACGGAAUAUUGUCGUUCUUGUGGCGAAAUUGGUCCCAUAGGAAUGAAUGGCAAAAUGUUCAAAACUAGAGUGGGAGCUGGCAAAAGCUGAAAAAUCAUGACAUGAUUUCUAAACUGCCACCACUCCCUCAUUUUCAAGCCCACCUACACAAAUCUUAUAUCAAAACGUUCAGCUAUCCCUGCUGCCACUAAACAUGUCCACGGCUAAGCCAUAUUACUGAUAGUUUUCACAAUAUGACCAUUUGUUUGCAACUCACACUGUCCAUUGACAUUCAUUGAAACUUCACUCUACAAAGGUCAAAUUUGAAGUGCAAUUUCUAAACUGCGACUGUGCCUUCAUUUUUAAUACUUCAGAGACAUACUAUGAAUCAAAAUGUAGGUCUGGGUCUUGUGAUUCUCACAAUAUAAAGCUCUUCGCUGUAGGAGUUAUAGUUUUUAAAAUACGACCGUUUGAAGAUGGCAACCGCCAAAAUACUCUGACCUGUGUCAAGCUGCAGCAGCAAGUGAUGUCAUAGACAGGGCCUUUUGUACACCUGCUAAUGUUUUUAUAAAUGUAUGGUUUAACCCCUUAAGGACGGAGCCAAAUGUACACAUUGUGAACAAAACAAAAUGUAAACAAAAUCUGGCAUUUGCGCUACAUGUCUGUCCAACCGUAAUACACCUUUCAUAGUAAAUGCACCCACCCUUAUUAUAUAUCAUUUUAUUCAGGGGAAACAGGGCUUUCAUUUAAUAUCAAAUAUUUAGCUAUGAAACAUAAUUUAAUAUGAAAAAAAUGGGAGAAAAUACGUUUUCUUUGGAUUUUUUUAGUUCUACAUUAUAUUUUAACGGUCAGUGUCAUAAUACUGUUUGCUUUUACUGCAAUAAAAUACACAUAUUUAUAUUCAGUAAAGUCUCACGUGUAAGACAGUACCUCCUAUGUACAGGUUUUAUGGCGUUUUGGGAAGUUACAGGGUCAAAUAUAGCACGUUACAUUUGAAAUUGAAAUUCGCCAGAUUGGUUACGUUGCCUUUGAGACUGUAUAGUAGCCGGGAAUGAAAUUUACACCCAUAAUGGCAUACCAUUUGCAAUAGUAGACAACCCAAGGUAUUGCAAAUGGGGUAUGUCCAGUCUUUUUUAGUAGCCAUUUGGUCACAAACACUGGCCAAAGUUAGCGUUAGUAUUUGUUUGUGUGUGAAAAAUGCAAAAAGCGCCAAUUUUGGCCAGUGUUUGUGACUAAGUGGCUACUAAAAAAGACUGGACAUACCCCGUUUGCAAUACCUUGGGUUGUCUACUAUUGCAAAUGGUAUGCCAUCAUAGGGGUAAUUUUCAUUCUUGGGCUACCAUAGGGUCUCAAAGGCAACGUAACCAAUCUGGCGAAUUUUAAUGUGAAAAAAAUGAAACGCAAGCCUUAUAUUUGACGCUGUAACUUUUGAAAACACCAUAAAACCUGUACAUGAGGGGUACUGUUGUACUCGGGAGACUUCACUGAACACAAAUAUUUGUGUUUCAAAACAGUAAAAAGUAUCAUAGCAAUAAUAUUGUCCGUUUAAUGCUGUUUGUGCGUGAAAAAUGCAAAAAACGUCACUUUUACUGGCGAUAUCAUCGUUGUAAUACAUUUUACUGUUUUGAAACACUAAUAUUUGUGUUCAGCGAAGUCUCCCGAGUAGAACAGUACCCCCCAUGUACAGGUUUUAUGGUGUCUCGGAAAGUUAUAGGGUUAAAUAUAGUGCUAGCAAAUUAAAUUCCCUUUACUUUCGGCAUGGGUUGUCAGGCAGGUCCCGCUAAUUGUAAUUAAUUAAGAUACCUAAUUAUGUAAAAAUAUUACAUAAAUAUAUAUGUAGAAUUAAUAUAUGUAUAUAUAUACGUAUGUGUAUAUAUAUGUAUAUAUCUAUAUAAUUUUUUUAAAUAUUUUUAUUUAUAUAUAGGUAUAUAUAUAGUGAUAUAUACGUAUAUAUUUAUGUGUAUAGAUAUAUAUAUUAUUUCGUUCUAUGUGUAUUUUGAUAUAUAUAUAUAUAUAUUAAUUUCACAAUACAGUUAGAACGAAAUACACACAUCUAUAUAUUUUUUAAUUAUUUAUUUUUAAUUAUUUUUUUAAUUUUAUUUUUUAACGUAUUUACAUUUUAUUUUUUUUAUAUUAUAUAUAAAUAUAUAUAUAACAAUAAUUAUAUAUAUAUUUAAUCAGUAUCAGUCUACGUGUAAUUUGAUAUUAAUAUAUAUAUAUAAUUAUAUAUAUAUUAAUAGUAAAAUACACCUAGACGGUGUACAUGUGUGUAUGUAUAUGUGUAUAUAUAUACUUUGAUCAUAUAUAUAUAAUAUAUAUAUAUGAUCUAAGUAUAUAUAAUUUUUUUUUUUUACACCAUUAACUUAUUUUAUUUUUAUUUCCAGCCAGCAGGGGGACCACCUGUAAUUACAGGCAGCCCCCCUGCCGGCAAUACAGAAGCCAGCUAUACCCGGCCAUGUGAUUGUGGGGUCCUCGCUAGGACCCCACUCUCACAUGGCCAGGGGGCUUCCAGGAGGACGGAGGUGCCGCGGGGGGCUCCCUGGGAGUCCCCCCAACCGCGAUCGCCGGCGUGGGACCGCCGGCGACCGGGUAAGUUAACAAAAACCGGAGGGCGUACAAUUACGCCCAGCGGCGUUUAGAGCCGCCUAUUAGAGGGCGUAAUUGUACGUCCUCCGGUUUUAAGGGGUUAAUGUAACUGUGAAGCACUUUGGGCAACAACGUUGGAAUUAAAUGUGCUAUAUAAAUAAAUAACAGUUACUCCGCCCACUCCAGUUGUAGACUACUGGUGGAGGCAAGAACACUUCACACAAUUUCCCCAGAAAUUAUAGCUUUUCUAGUUAUUAUUGGUAUUUAUAUAGCGCCAACUUAUUUGACAGCACAUAGUAAGAAAGUGAAAAAGCUAUUGAAUGAGGUGCACUGACGACGCCCUGAGCACAUAGUGAGAAGCUGCACUAACCAUAGAGUGCAAAGCUGCACUGAGCACAUAUUGAGAAGCAGCACUAGCUAUAGAGUGAGAAGCUGCACUGUCCACCCAGAGCGAAGCUGUACUAACCAUAGAGUGAGAAAUUUUGCUGACUACAUAGUGAGUAGCUGCAUUGAUCACAGAAUGUGAAGCUAUUCUGACCACAAGGAGUGAAGCUAUGCUAACCAUAGAGUGAGGUCAGUCAUGUAAUACCAAGUGGGUAAGGUAUGCCUUUCACCAUUUCAAGGUCCUCAUUAUAUUACUACUGUUAGCUGGGCAAUAGUAAUAUCAAGAGUUCAGGAGAUCAUCAAAACGAUAGCUGUACAAUUGCCGGUUAAUACUUUGAUACUACUAUGCGUAUAACAAAAAUAAUAUAACAAAGAUUGUCAGUCCAUAAAGAAUAUGCUUGCCAUCUAACCCUAUUUUAUCUGAAACAGUAGUUUUAAACUGAUAUUUAAAGUGAUGAUGAGCUAAAACAUUUUGACAUGAUAUUAUUGUUCCCUUCAGCUUUGCAUGGACACACAACUGAUGGACUGCAUCCCAGUCUUAAAUCCUGGACGGUGAGGUUCUCUUUCUCUCUUUAUCUGAUAUUCAAAGAGAAUUAAUCAGUGCUUGAAUGGCUCUUCUCCCUGGCUGAACGACCUUUUGGACAACAAUUGUGUAGGGUUAUGAUGACUAAGGAAGUGCAGAACCACAGAGGAAAGUAGUGAAGACAUUGAGAGAUCGCAGGUGCCUUACUAAAUGGAGAACAAGGACUGGCCUCCUCAUCUUUCUCCUACAUGCUAAGAUAUGUGUGUAGGUCAUGUAAUCCAGAAGGUAGUAGAGAGCCUCUAAAUUGAUCAUCUCAUGGGUUAAAUGUGAUUAAACACCACUUAAAAACACCCAUCUCUACAAAUAUGUUGAAACUGAACAGUUUAGUAAGACUCUUAAUCCUAAAAAAAAAAGCAGAUUUUUAUUUAUUUUUUGUUGAUUGUAUAGAACUGAGUUGACAAAAGCCGAGCUGUUUUCCACCCUCUUCUAUAUUUGCAGCAAAAAAAGAAAAGAGAUAUUUUCUUAUCUACAGAUGGAGAGAGCCUUAUGUGGGUAAAAUCCAAUUUGAGUUUCUUUGCAUUUGAUUCAGGAGCUGUGAAUGUCUGACAGUCCAAUUUUGGGAAUAAUAAGCCAUGAAGAAUAUGAAAGAAGACUGCUUUUAGGAUGUAACCUUUUCACUGUCUAAGGGACUUUCAACAAAAUGUAAUUGUUGUUCCUGUACAAAAGUAACCAUUUUAAAGUAUAGCUUCUUUUCACCAUGGCUUCAGAACCGGGUUUUGUUGGAGCUUGAGUGUAGGUCAAGCAAAAAGGCAUGUUGUCCAUAUACAAUAUUUAAUAAUAUCAAUAAUAGAGCAUGGACACCAUAAAGGUACAGUUCUAUAUUCUCCAUUAAAUAUUGUGUUUUUAUCAUUCAAUAUUGUAUUAAUACAUAUCUGUUUGAUGCUUCAAUACCCACAUUUUGAGCAGACUUAAUUAAUCAUGUCAAAGUUCUCUCUAUACUUAUUUUUGUCAGGUCAGAUUAAUUCCAGCCUGUGGCCAUGUGACACAAGGAGUUAGGCAAAUCCUUUUAAAUCAUGACGUAUAUGGUGAUUUUCACUGGUCAUAAUGGGUUGUUGUUUGUAAAAAGCUGUUGAGAAAGGCACACAUUGACAGAUGUGCAUAAUAUCCUUGCUUGAUAUUUUAGAGCACUGCGUUCAUAUUAUGUCUAGAAUGAGCACGCAUUUAUCCCUUUAGUGACUGAUGACAGGUCCUCACUGUCACAAUAACGUGGGCCUUGCUUAACUCUUGCCACAAAGGAAAUUAAAAUAUAUUAAAAUGAUACACAAUGGAACACAUACUGCAAAUACAUCACCAAGGUAAAUUUACAUCAAAUUUACAUAUUACCACAGCAACACAAUUGUAAAAAACAUUAAGAUAAAAUUAUUGUUUGUAGUCAAUAAUGUUAAUUUUUAAAGAGCAUACUUUUGGUUUGUAUAUUUUUGUCCCGUAGUGCAUCCUGCUAACAUCUAAACAAGGCACACACCCCACCAUCCACCUGAUCUAGAAAAAAACGUGAUUCAUCAGACUUGGCAAACUUCUUCUAUUGCUGCAUAGUCCAGUUCUGAUGCUCAUAUCCCCAUUGAAAGUGCCUUUAGUGGGGAACAGGGGACAUAAUAGGCACUGAAACCUUUCUAUCACAACCAGCAUUGAGUUUUCCAGCAAUUUGAUCUCCAUUAGCUAUUCUGUGUGAUUGGAUCAAAAGGGCUAGCAUUCACUCCCUAUGUGCCUUAAUGAGCCUUGGGUUUACAAGUUGUCCUUCCUUGAAACACUAUUGGUAGGUACUAACCACUGCAUAACAGGAACACCCCACAAGACUAGCCAUCAGUAUUUGGCCCUGUCAAAGUCACUCAGAUAUUUUUCCUGCUUCCAACACAUGAAAUUUAAGAACUGACUGUUCACUUGCUGCCUUAUACACUGCCUGGUCAAAAAAAAAAAAGUCGUCCCCAAUAGAAGGUCACACACCGCCUUUUGUUUUGAUUCCGGCACACAUUCGCUGUGGCAUUGUUUCGAUAAGCUUCUGCAAUGUCACAAGAUUUAUUUCCGUCCAGUGUUGCAUUAAUCUUUCCCCAAGAUCUUGUAUUGAUAAUGGGAGAGUCGGACUACUGUGCAAAGCCUUCUCCAGCACAUCCCAAAGAUUCUCAAUGGGGUUAGGGUCUGGACUCUGUGGUGGCCAAUCCAUAUGUAAAAAUUAUGUCUCAUGCUCCCUGAACCACUCUUUCACAAUUUGAACCCAAUGAAUCCUGGCAUUGUCAUUUUGGAAUACAGGGAGUGCAGAAUUAUUAGGCAAAUGAGUAUUUUGACCACAUCAUCCUCUUUAUGCAUGUUGUCUUACUCCAAGCUGUAUAGGCUCGAAAGCCUACUACCAAUUAAGCAUAUUAGGUGAUGUGCAUCUCUGUAAUGAGAAGGGGUGUGGUCUAAUGACAUCAACACCCUAUAUCAGGUGUGCAUAAUUAUUAGGCAACUUCCUUUCCUUUGGCAAAAUGGGUCAAAAGAAGGACUUGACAGGCUCAGAAAAGUCAAAAAUAGUGAGAUAUCUUGCAGAGGGAUGCAGCACUCUUAAAAUUGCAAAGCUUCUGAAGCGUGAUCAUCGAACAAUCAAGCGUUUCAUUCAAAAUAGUCAACAGGGUCGCAAGAAGCGUGUGGAAAAACCAAGGCGCAAAAUAACUGCCCAUGAACUGAGAAAAGUCAAGCGUGCAGCUGCCACGAUGCCACUUGCCACCAGUUUGGCCAUAUUUCAGAGCUGCAACAUCACUGGAGUGCCCAAAAGCACAAGGUGUGCAAUACUCAGAGACAUGGCCAAGGUAAGAAAGGCUGAAAGACGACCACCACUGAACAAGACACACAAGCUGAAACGUCAAGACUGGGCCAAGAAAUAUCUCAAGACUGAUUUUUCUAAGGUUUUAUGGACUGAUGAAAUGAGAGUGAGUCUUGAUGGGCCAGAUGGAUGGGCCCGUGGCUGGAUUGGUAAAGGGCAGAGAGCUCCAGUCCGACUCAGACGCCAGCAAGGUGGAGGUGGAGUACUGGUUUGGGCUGGUAUCAUCAAAGAUGAGCUUGUGGGGCCUUUUCGGGUUGAGGAUGGAGUCAAGCUCAACUCCCAGUCCUACUGCCAGUUCCUGGAAGACACCUUCUUCAAGCAGUGGUACAGGAAGAAGUCUGCAUCCUUCAAGAAAAACAUGAUUUUCAUGCAGGACAAUGCUCCAUCACACGCGUCCAAGUACUCCACAGCGUGGCUGGCAAGAAAGGGUAUAAAGAAGAAAAUCUAAUGACAUGGCCUCCUUGUUCACCUGAUCUGAACCCCAUUGAGAACCUGUGGUCCAUCAUCAAAUGUGAGAUUUACAAGGAGGGAAAACAGUACACCUCUCUGAACAGUAUCUGGGAGGCUGUGGUUGCUGCUGCACGCAAUGUUGAUGGUGAACAGAUCAAAACACUGACAGAAUCCAUGGAUGGCAGGCUUUUGAGUGUCCUUGCAAAGAAAGGUGGCUAUAUUGGUCACUGAUUUGUUUUGUUUUUGAAUGUCAGAAAUGUAUAUUUGUGAAUGUUGAGAUGUUAUAUUGGUUUCACUGGUAAUAAUAAAUAAUUGAAAUGGGUAUAUAUUUGUUUUUUGUUAAGUUGCCUAAUAAUUAUGCACAGUAAUAGUCACCUGCACACACAGAUAUCCCCCUAACAUAGCUAAAACUAAAAACAAACUAAAAACUACUUCCAAAAAUAUUCAGCUUUGAUAUUAAUGAGUUUUUUGGGUUCAUUGAGAACAUGGUUGUUGUUCAAUAAUAAAAUUAAUCCUCAAAAAUACAACUUGCCUAAUAAUUCUGCACUCCCUGUAUGCCUUUUACAUCAGGGAAGAAAAAAUUGAUUGAUGGAAUAACCUGGCCAUUCAGUAUAUUAGGGUAGUCAGCUGACCUCAUUCUUUGGGCACAUAAUGUUGCUGAACCUAGACCUGACCAACUGCCCCCACAGGCUAGUACAGUAGGCACUAGGCAUGAUGGGUGAAUCGCUUCAUCUGCCUCUCUUCUUACCCUGAUGCGCCCAUCACUGAUGGUUCCCCACUAUCCUUCCAGUUUUUAAUAAUGCAUGGACAGUUCUUAGCCCAAUUUUAGUAGUUUAUGUAAUCUCCUUAGAUGUUUUCUCUGCUUGAUGAAUGCCAAUGAUUUGACCCUUCUCAAACAGACUAACAUCUUUUCCACAACCACGGGAUGUGUCUUUCAACAUGGUUGUUUAAGAAAUGAGAAGCUACUCAUUGCAUCUGUUGGGGUUAAAUAACUUGUUGCUAGCUUAAGAUAAUAGCCCACGCAGUAACUAUCCAAUAGGAAGCUCUUACCUAUUUGGUUAGUUAAAUCCAGGUGGCAACUUUUUUUUGGGCCAGGCAGUGUAUAUCCCAGUCCUUGACAGGUGUCAUUGUAACAAUAUAAUCAAUGUUAUUCACCUCACCUGUCAGUGAUUUUAAUGUUGUGGUUGAUGAAUGUAUACUUAACUUUAACCAUCUUACAACCAUGUAGGUGAUGUGAAACGUUAACCAUAUAAUCAUUACUUUAGAGCAGUGGUAGGCAACCUUUGGCACUCAAGAUGUUGUGGACUACAUUCCCCAUAAUGCUCUUCCACCCAUAAUGCUUGCAAAGCAUCAUGGGAGGUGUAGUCCAAAACAUUCGCAGUGCCGAAGGCUGCCUAUGCCUGCUUUAGAGGUUGUUUUUAAUUUUGCUUGAUGGAGGCCAAUCCUAUACUGUGUGAUUUUUAUGAUACUGCUUCUAGUUUCAGGAUUCAGGGACAGAUUCUUAGGGACUAUAUCCCUCAUUAUUCAGUACCUCAUCCUGCCAAUAUUUUCUACCAUUAUUCCUGCUACGUCUAUGUCUGUCUUUGAUACAAGAUAAUAGUGAAUUCACACUGUGUGUCCUUAUUUGGAUACUUAUUAUUUGUUUUAUGUAGAAACGGUCAGUUUUUAUUUCUCUGCUAGUGCCAUUAGCAUUACUCCAAAACAACAUAUAUUUAUGACAGAAUAGAUUUACAUCUGCAAAGAGAACAUUACCCUGGGCCUAAAUAAUCGGAGGCACCAGAACACUAUAGGGAAAAAAGCGUGAGCAAUGAAAUUAAAUUUAAAAAACAAACACUCAGGAUCUACAAACAUUCCUGAAUCAAAUGAACUUGGUCUAAUAAUACUGAAAAAUAAGGGGUUAUACGAGGAAAAGAUUAAUUAGAUCAUUAAAAAGCUAAGCAUCACUUUAUAUACAGGGCUAAUGAUAAAUCCUUUUCAUCAACAAUUCCCAAGACACAACUGGUAUUGACAUUGUGUAGACAGAGGAACAAGUAAACCAGUGAGACCUCUCCGGACUGUGUCCUACUACCUACCACAACCAGAUGACCUUAAACCAAAGAACAACAUCAACUAAUUAUAAAUAAAGUGUAGUGCUACCCAUAGUGGAAAUAAAUAAAUAAAAGGCAAAUCAUAGCCCAGCAUGCAUUUCAGUGUUAACACACUGUCGUCAUGAAUGAAAAGCCUUCUGAAGAAGCAUAGAAAAAUACCUCCUCAGUAUAUUUAUCCACAUGUUCUGUUUCUUUUGCUGAUGUUUCUGUUUUGGGUUACAACAAUUUUAAGGGAGAUGUUUGACGACCUUGUCUUAUAGUGGUUGCCAACCAGAACCCACGGUUUGGGCUGGCUGACCACCUCCACAAUUCUAUCUAUAUGUUUUGAUAGAUGUACAUCCAUUCAAUUAGAGUUUUAUUGAAUACAUUAGUACCUUUUUAUUAUUUCCUGACUUUAUAAUCACACAAAAUUGAAUAAAGGUUAUGUUUAAUAUUUACUUUUCUAGGCUGCCUUUCCGUUUUCCUUGUGUAUUUCUAUAUGCUGUUGGAUAUCUGAAUAUAGAUGGAUUAUUAAGUAUGUAGUCUAAAAAAUAGCUAAAUUUUCAACUUCCUGUAUUGAUUUUUCAGUCCAUACAAAAGGAAGAAUUUUGACAGACAUUGCUGUGCUUCUUUCAAAGGAAAAUAUGCCUGCUAUUUCAGUGGAAUCUGUCUACUUUUCACUACGGGAGAUCGGUGUUCUGAGUCCAGGCAGUAUUUGUUAAACUUACAUACACUAAAUCCUGUCAUUCACAGUGAUAAGGCAUCUGUGAAUUUUUUGCCAUUACAUUUACAUUCACAAACUAUAUAUUUUUGGAACACACCAGUAGUCCUUGGUACAGAGUUAUUAAUUAGAUAUUUUAAAAGCUUUGAUAUUUGUGCUUUUUGAUGUAAUUUCCAAAUAAAUUACUUACCAGUGUAAAUGAAACUAGGUAGGUAGGUAGGUAGAUAGGUGGAGAGAGAAAGAUUGGGAAUUGUCCUGGCUCUUUUCUGCCUUUGCUGUCCUUAUUCGUCUUUAUACCCAAACACUGCCAUUUUCUUGUUCUUGGUGUACACCACCAGGAUUCUUUUCUCCUCUCCUUCAUUUUAUUCUGCAUACCAAUUGGUGCCACUUAGUGCCAAGGAAGAUACACUAGUUCCCUCUUUGCCUACCUGAAUUCCUGUUUUGGAACAAGUGCUCAUCUCGACAGGGCAAGAAGAAAGUGAGCAAAGAUCUAUAACUCCUCCAGCUCAUGCAUCCUUUGCAUUGAUCAUUAACUGUUCCCAGGUGUUAUGUCAAAACUCAUGGAUUUGAUCUCUCUUCCUUCCUUUGUCAAUUACAAAGGGCUUGGUUUGAUAUUUUUGAUUAAACUUUUCAAAUGAUUUAAUAGUUUGAAAAAUAUUUUCAGAUUUUGAUAUGUUUUGAUAUAUUUUUAUUGUUUGAUAGUUGAAUAUUUUGAAAAAAAUCUCUUUCAAAGCUUAUCCAAAAAUAUUAAAUCAAAGCCUACGUGAGAAACUAUACCAAAUAGUAGGGCACCUGUUAUUACAUCUCAUUGUGCAUAUGUGGAUGUUACAUAGAAACAUAGAAUGUGACGGCAGAUAGGAUCAAUUCGGCCCAUCUAGUCUGCCCAAUUUUCAAAAUACUUCCAUUAGUCCCUGGCCUUAUCUUAUAGUUAGGAUAGCCUUAUGCCUAUCCCACGCAUGCUUAAACUCCUUUACUGUGUUAACCUCUACCACUUCAGCUGGAAGGCUAUUCCAUGCAUCCACUACCCUCUCAGUAAAGUAAUACUUCCUGAUAUUAUUUUUAAACCUUUGUCCCUCUAAUUUAAGACUAUGUCCUCUUGUUGUGGUAGUUUUUCUUCUUUUAAAUAUAGUCUCCUCCUUUACUGUGUUGAUUCCCUUUAUAUAUUUAAAUGUUUCUAUCAUAUCCCCCCUGUCUCGUCUUUCCUCCAAGCUAUACAUGUUAAGAUCCUUUAACCUUUCCUGGUAAGUUUUAUCCCGCAAUCCAUGAACCAGUUUAGUAGCCCUUCUCUGAACCCUCUCUAAGGUAUCAAUAUCCUUCUGAAGAUACGGUCUCCAGUACUGCGUACAAUACUCCAAGUGAGGUCUCACCAGUGUUCUGCACAAUGACAUCAGCACUUCCCUCUUUCUACUGCUAAUACGCUCCCUAUACAACCAUGCAUUUCCUGCUGCUCUGUUACAUUGUCUGCCUACCUUUAAAUGAUCAUCACAAAUAAUUAACCCUAAAUCCCUUUCCUCAGAUGUUGAGGUUAGGACUCUAUCAAAUACUCUGUACUCUGCAUUAUCUUGCACUUAUCCACAUUAAACGCCGGUUGCCACAGCUCUGACCAUUUUUCUAGUUUACUUAAAUCAUUUGGGUCUAAAAUCUUAUCACCAGAAUGAUAGCAAAAAUUAUAUUAAUAAUUUCUUUAUGCAAGCAAGGCUGGCAACUCUCAGGUUUUGAGAGCCAACUGCCAGGCACAUGAGCAAGUGUUCUGUUCUUGGAUUAAUGAACAAGUUACGGUAAAUCUAGCCUGGCUUCCAAAAAAACACAUUUUAGGACGUCAAUCUUCAUCACUCCACAUGUUGAGGACUAUAUCUCUCAUAAAGCUCUCACAGCCAUAAUGCUGAGAAGAUGUAGUCUAUAUUAUACAACAUCUGGAGUGUUGAAGGGUUGCAUACCCCUACUUUAGCUAUCCAGUGAACAUGCAUAAAUUCCUUAUGUCUACCAUGCUCACGUACAUUAUACUUUGUAAAAGUCUUUGAGAUUAAUCUUAAUCUGAUUUCAUAGUUCUUGUGUCUGUCUGGACUACCCAUUCAGGAGAUUUGGAUUCUGGAUUUGCCAGAUUUAGAGAACGUAGUCAACAGUAAACAUUUUGUGGUUGUUGCAAGCAUUAAUUUAAACAUCACGACACAUCUACUAUCUCAUUAAAUUUAUAAUACGACACAUUUAAGUGUAGUCAGUAACAUAAAAAGUGACAACUAAGACUAAACAAUAACAGAGAUUUCUGUGAAUACUGCGUACAAUACAGCACAGAAUAUCACAUCACACACAUUAUUCCAGUGCUUAUUAAUAUGCAUUGAUUAAAGUCAAUAACACAAUUAACACAUGGUUUUGUUUUCCCAGUGAGACGUUUUUAAGCUCCCUCUUUGCUAACAUAUCACCUUCCAGAUGCCAUCUGUUUGACCUGGAUUACAAAUAAGAGAGUAUGGCAUAAACCAUGGAAACCGAAGAUGCAGGAAAAAUUAACUUUUCAUAUAGUAAGAAUUCAUUCUACUCCUCCACAGUUCAGUAUUUUCUUUUUAACCUGAUUGCAAAGAUAAUUUUUUAUUUUUGUAAACUACCUAAACAAAAGCUGAGAUCAGGGGCUGCUCCACAAUAGGCAUCCCGUAUUGUCAGUAAUUAAUGAUGCUGCCAGGUUAUUAUUUUAUACAUGUACGUGUAAAGAUGGGUGGCAAGACACACGUAUAAUAUUCCCGGGUCAUAUAAAUGUCUAGUUAUUUUUGUUUAUUUUAUACUCCACUAGCUUCCCAUGCUCUUCUAUCAUUUCAUCUCUUUUUCUACAAACUAUCCAUGCUACCCUUUUCACUUCAAAGGAACACUAAAGUGGCAGUAUUACAUAAAAAACAAUACAAACAUGUAUUCCUGUCACUAUAGCUGUAAUAUCACUAUUUAGCCCACCGGUCCCCCUGUACCCUAUGCAAAAAUACCCCUGAUUUGCCGCCUUAGCUGAGAUCUUUCAAAUUGAUGAUAUCAGCCAAUCCAAUGGUUUCCCAUAGGAAAGCAUUGGGAGACUGUUGCGCAGAGCCUCCCAAUGCUGCAUCAAUCUGCAUCUCCUCAUAGAGAUGCAUUAAAUCAAUGCAUCUUAAUGGUGAGUGUUCAGCAUCUCCAUGCAGAGCAUCAGUGCUACACUGACCCAGGAAGCACCUCUAGUGGCUGUCUGAGUGACGGCCACUGUAGGUGGCUCUAGGCAGCAAUGAAAAGGCAGUGCCUAUAUUAAAAUGUCUGCAGUGACAUGCUAUAAACACCAUAACAAGUACAUUAAACUGUAGUUGAUCUUGUGACUAUAGUGCCCUACUCCGGGCCCAUUACCUUCUAACCAGCAUUUGUUUUACUUCCUCCAUUCAAACAUAUUGCACCUAAUAUCUGACCCUCUCCAUUCUCAGUCAUAGUUCUCUUUCCAGCCUAUAACCGAAACCCGCUCACUCUUCUGGCAUUUAAUCAUUAUCAUGUUAAAGUAUUUAUCCCUAUUCUCAGUUUACUUAUUAUCAUCCAUCACUAGGCCAAAUACUGCCACCUGCUAAUUUUCCCUAUUCUCUGCUCACUUGCACAAAUCUCUAUAAUCUAGCAUUGUAUGGGGAGAACAAAUCAGAGAGGACUGACUUGAAAAAAUAUGGGUGUUUACUGCCCUCUCAAAUCAAACAAGUAAAAUUGGAGCUAUAAGCCCCCACUCCCCCCCUCCCCAACCCCCACACUUAAACUCAACAGCAGUUAAAAAUUGGUCAUUUUCAUUUGCUGUGAUCAACCAUUGGGGCUACUACAGCUUCAUCCCCUCCUAUGUUUAAACUGUUAAAAAUAAAUAAAAACAAAUGCUUUAAUUCAUAUUAAAGGACCACUAUAGUGCCAGGAAAACAAGUAUGUUUUCCUGGCACUAUAGUGCCCUGAGGGUGCCCCCACCCUCAGGGUCCCCCUCCCACCCGGCUCUGGGGAGAGGAAGGGGUUAAACACUUACCUUUUUCCAGCGCUGGCCGGGGAGCUCUCCUCCUUCGAUCCUCCUCCUCUCCUCCCAUUCGGCUGAAUGCGCACGCGCGGCAAGAGCUGUGCGCGCAUUCAGCCGGUCGCAUAGGAAAGCAUUAUCAAUGCUUUCCUAUGGACGCUUGCGUGCUCUCACUGUGAUUUUUCACAGUGAGAAGCACGCAAGCGCCUCUAGCGGCUGUCAAUGAGACAGCCGCUAGAGGUUUUGGGGGAAGGCUUAACCCAUUCAUAAACAUAGCAGUUUCUCUGAAACUGCUAUGUUUAUAAAAAAAUGGGUUAACCCUAGAAGGACCUGGCACCCAGACCACUUCAUUAAGCUGAAGUGGUCUGGGUGCCUAGAGUGGUCCUUUAAUAGUGUGUUUAAAAUAAAAUAUUACAUGCAUUUUUCAAUUCCAAACCAACCUAAUGCUUUAGUAGCUCAUUUGUGAAUGUAUUUGCACAGCUAUGAAAUUUGCUCCCAAUUUAAUUGAUAAAUAACUAAAUCCCCCAAAAUGCUAGUAAUUAUUAUUAACAUCUACUUUUUAAUACAGUUUCCUAGCGCACGCCUCCCUAUGCAUCUAAUAUAAAUUUCUACACAUGGAUACUUAAAAUAGCAUUUCAGUUCUAAUAUUAGUGAAUAGAUUUUAUAAUUUGAAUGCAGCACAAAUAGAGCAGGAGAUUAUUCAGUUUUUUUUUCCUCUCUGUUAAAUUAGGUUGCUCUAUUUUUAGAACAAAAUCACAAUCUUAGUUUUUUUUUUUUCCAAAGGGCUUUAAUUCCCUGUCUGUGCUAGAAUGUUGAUUUGCCAGUCUGUUUGGGAAUAGUUAAACGUUAUGUUUGCACGGCUCCUUGAAAAGCAGAUAUUCCUAUUUAGCCUGCCAGUUAAUGCAGAGUCCCUCCAUUUAAAGCAGUUUCGGAAAAAUGUGUGGAAAAUCACAUUUGUAUUUGUUUUUUACUUACAAACCAGUGAAGAUCACAGCCUCUUUUAAGGAUUUGUUAGAUGCAAGCAUGUGCAAUGACUACAGGUCUAAUCUCUGCUUUCCAAUGGCAUUCUGGGUCCCUGUGUGAAGCAUUCACCUUGAAUAAGAGAUCUUAUCAAUCAAGUGUAUUCUUGUGCUAUAGGGAUUUAGGGACUGGUGCCAGGCAAGCGAACAUUUUCUAUUUACUUUCAAUAGGGGCCACUUGGAGUCUGACGUUUGGCUUCAGUUUGCUUCUUUGGUCAAUUUGAACAGCGGAAAAUUUAAUUUUUAUGCUUCUCUAAAUGCCACUGGGUAAGAAACACUUAGCCCUGUAAUCAUUUGGAUAUAUAUACAUAUAUAUAUGUAUAUAUAUAUAUAUAUAUAUAUAUAUAUAUAUAUGCUAUGACUGUCUGUGAUAAUUACAGGACCCAAAGCUGACACCUAGUACAAUAGUACAAGGUCCCAAUGCCCCCGUCCCUAUAGUAUAUUGAGAACACUUUAGAACAGACCAAGCUUGGGUUUAUUGGUGCACAUUUGCAUUAAUUCUAUUUGUGAGAGACUCAGGGUGAAUAUAACAACCACAGUGUCUAAGGGGAUCUGGGUAGAUUCUAGAGUCACACAGCUCAUCCAUUCAUCUAAAAAUUAAUCCAAAAAUUGUGUCCAAAAAUCUGCCCCUCCCUUCUACUGUCAGAGUCACAAAGUGCCCUUUAAUUUUCCCAACAUGCCUCUGGUCCUUUGCCUCCAACAUGGACAAUGUCCCAUUUUUUCUAACAUAUAUAGUCUAAUUACGGAACCAAAAUCACUGCUUGUUGCUUUUCAGUUUAUAUGAUUUUAGAGUUUGUUAUCUUUUUCAACACAGUAUCGAUAAUAUGUUUCCCAUUAUUUUAUUAGUAUGCCACAUUAAAGGGUUACACCAUGCAAAAAACAACAUACUUUUAAGGAAACAUUGUUUUUAGUCAGAGUAACCCUUGACAUAUGGGUCCCUCCCUCUCGAAAACACAAAAAGAAAACAGCUAAAGCUUGAAUCAUUUUCCCUGCUGAGGCCUCACUGCCAACGCUAUUCCAACGCUGACGUCACUCCCCUUGCCAGAGGGAGACAAGCAUUAGGGAGGCCUUCCUUGGCCUUCCUUGGCUGUCUGGCACCAGCAUGCUGUGUGCACUGGUGUCAGAUGCCAAUAUCCAGUACGGGCUGGCUGAUAACUACUCACUGAUGCUGUUGAAGGUGGAGUUGCAUCAUCGGCAGUAGAAGAGUUAAUCUCCAUAGCGAAGCACUGCACAUACAGAAUCCAGGAACCACUAUCCCUUUAAAUAGCUGAAGUGGUCAUGGUGCUUGUAGUAACCUUUUAAAAUGCAUAAAUGAAUAAAUUGUCUCUCCUAUAUUAGAGCCAUUUGGAUACCACAUUAAGAAAGAAGUAUCUAGAAUCUUGCGUAGAGUUUACGGGUCUAUCUGUCAAUUUGUCUGUCUAUCAAUUUAUAUAGUAGGGUGACAUUUAACAUGUUCACAGAUGGGCCAUUGACAAAUGAGGUCAGUGUUCAGCAAAUGGCAGAUGCAGUAUAAAUUUUAAAUAAACCAUUUUUGUUAAAUAAUGAACAGCUGUUUAUAGUCAUAUAGUACUGUAUCACUAACUAAAACUAACUAAAACUCUGCAAUACAUUAACCAAAGACUACUCCCGAUAACAGAUUUCCUAUACAUGUAUUGUUUGUUUAAGUAUAUGUACCUGUAUUUAUCAUGAUUUCAUCAGUAAAACAUGUAAAACAAAGAGCCAAACAGAUAGUAAAAUAUUCACACAUACAAAUAGUAUUUUCAGUUUAGAUCUUACAAAGCAGAUAGAUAAACAAGAAUAGAGAAAAUUUUGCCAAAUGUGCAUGUAAACAUGACUAAUUUAUCGAAGUCUUAGACAGGAAUUUGCGUUAACAAAGUGAAAGACUGGUGGAGCUUAGUCACUCAUCCAUGAAUUGUGGACAAUCGGCAAUAUAAUUGCAAAUUUAGGUCAAAAUGAAAAACUCUCCUAUCAGCAUUUUGUCCAGUUCUACUUUUUGGUCUGAAAUAGGCAUUUUUUAUUGACAAUUCUCACCUUUACUGGUUUAGUGAAUAACUUCAUAGUAUAUUUUAUUUCAAAUUGAUCACAUGAUUCCUGAAAAUAUCAAUAAAGCUAUAGGAGUUUUAUAUGAGUUAUUAGUUAAUUUCAUCCAUUGAUUUGACAUCUAGUUAUAUGAUACUGACGUUAUACCUAAUUUUGUCUUCUGCAACAAAAUGUCAAGCAGGAACUUAACUUUCACCCAACCAGUUUGAUAAACACAAGUUUUACUCUCGUUACGUAUUAAGUUUAUAAAAUGAGAUUAUGGAAAUCAGCAUUUAUGUAGAUUACUGUAUGUGACACCCAGCAGGAUGGAUUAGGGAGUUGCAAUUACUGUUUAAAAAGGGCCUUUAAAAAACAGUCCCAAAGCCCAGUUUCAUAGAAUUAACUUUUUCAUACAUCCGUGAGCUGAGCUACUAAUGAUAAUUAAUACAGAUAUAAUGUAAUUCAAUCUGUUAUCAUAACUGAUGUCUUGCACUGUGUAUGGAAAAGGGACCUCUAGUUGUGAAAACUGUAACUGCUCAUCAGUCUUGCUAUAGACCAGUGGUUCCCAAACACACAGGGAAGCAGCAAGAUAUUUUCCUGGUGCUCUGAUCAUAGUACCGGGAACUGUGCCUCCCUCUCCCCUGCUGGCUCUGUAGGACCGUAGGGUAGAUCAGAGAUCUCUCUCUGACCCAUUAGCAGUGUAAUGCCCGCAGCCGGCAAGGGAGGGAGAGUGGACGCGGGGAAGCUCUCACCUGCAGCUCCGCCAGGUUCGCCUCUUGCGAGCUUGGAGCGUUGCCGCUGUUACCAUGGCAAUGCUCCUAAUCUCACAAGAGUUAACAGAUCCAGAGGCGGCUAGAGUUCACUCUCACCACUGGGACCACCAGGGCUUCUCCACCAGACCAGAAGUAAGCACUGAGAAUAUGAAAAUUAUUAUUUGGAAUUUAAAAUAAAUAAAUUAUAUAUUCAUAAAUUUGCCCUCCCACCCCCACAGACCCCACACCACACAAUAACUUCCCCCAUACUCACACACUGCCCCCCACACACACACUGCCCCCACAAACACAUUACCUCCAUACACACAAUUACCCUCCAUACACACACUGCCCCCAUACACACACACUGCCCCUCCAUACACAUACACACUGCCCCAUACACACACACAAAAGCUUCCCCACAUAUACAUACACUGUACCCCUUACACAUACAUGCACACUGCACCCCUCACACACACGCACACUGCACCACUCACACACACACACUUCACCACUCACACACACACAUAUUGCACACCUCACAUACACUACUGCCCCUACCCCCUUCUACAGCCCCUAUCCCGGCAGAUCUAAGGUAAGUUGUCAAACUGUUCUUAAACAGUUUUACUACUUACUCUGGGAGGGCACAACGGCACUACUGGCACCAUAACCAGUACAAUAACCAGUACAACGUGCUGGAUUGUUUCUUUGAAUAAUCUACCAGUGCACCUCCCAAGAUUAGGUUCUGGAUCUCCGCUUCAACGGCAAGCAUUUCUGCUGAACAGGGGCCCAGUAUAUGCUGCUGCGCUGUACAUAUAUACAACCUAAAAAUGUUUUUGACUUGGGGCGCCUUGGAAAAAUAUUAAAAUAUUAAGGGCGCCUUGAACCUAAAAUAUUUGGGAACCGCUGCUUUAGACACUAGGUAUAUCAGCAUUAUAAUUCAGCUCUAAAAUGGUUGCUGAAUUUAUCAUGUUACAGAAUUGUGAAAUAGAAUUUCUCAUUAUCUACCUUGCGUGGGACUUUAAAGAUUAGUACACUUGUUUAAGCCAAAAUUAAAAUGUCACUCCUUUCUGAGUUUUGAAUUCUGAGUCUGUCAGAGACAAGCGCAUACAUAAGUAAGAUUAUUACAUACACUCCGUCUGUUACGGAGCUAUUUUUUUUUUCAAUUUCAUGUGUAGGGGUCACAGUGCCAGCCACAGGAUGGAAAACUGAAAAAAAGGCAAGAUCUAUUGUUCUCUGGCACCAGUUCUAUACAUAUUCCCCUUGUGUUAUUCUUAAAGAAAUGCUAAAACUAAAAUGAUCCUUGUAUAUAUAAAACAUCCAGUAAGGGUCCGUCUAUUUAGCUGAGAUUAUCACAUUUGAUUAACUCAGCCAAUCCAAGGGUUUCUCUGAAAAUGCAGUGUUUACAUUAAAAAGCCUGCAGGGACAGGCAGUAGACACCAGGGACAGGCAGUAGAUGAAGCUGUAUGUCCUCAUGCAGAGCGUGAAGAUAUCCAGCAUCAGUUAAGUGACCAAAAGUUGCCUAACCACCCGGACAGCCACUAGAGUGGGAGUUAACCCUGCAAGGUAAAUAUUGUAGUUUAUCAAUAACUGCUAUAUUUUUAAUUGUAGGGUUAAUGGGACUGACACAGUGUACCCAGACCACUUCAAUGAACUAAAGUGGUCUGGGUGCCUAUAGUGUCCAUUUAAGCUAUAGUUGUUUUGAUUAUAGGGUCACUUUAAUAGCUUGCUAUACCUUGCAAAGCCACCUGUGUGUGAUUAAAGUUCAAUUUACAGAGCAGGAGAUAGAAACUUCUAAAAUAGGUUAACAUCUAUUUGAAAAUGAAAACUUUUUUUAUGCAGGCUGUGUGAAUCACAGCCAGGGAAGGUGUGGCUAGGACUGCAUAGACAGAAACAAAAGUGCUUUAACUCCUAAAUGGCAGAGAAGCAAGCAGUGAGACUUCAGAGGUAUGCUCUAUACACACAAGCUGCUUCAUUAAUGUAAAGUGUUUUUGAUGACUAUAGUGUGCCUUUAAUUUGACAAAUGUACAUGCAGUCUAUAAAAGGACAAGCUCUCUAGCGCUCAAGCCAAUUGCAUACUAUACCUUAAAGAGAUAACUUCUGUUGCUUUGUCUGUUAGUUUUUAUAUUUGUUGCAAUCUGUUCCAUCAGAUAUAUAUAUAUAUAUAUAUAUAUCUAAUCACAUGCACAUUAACUAGGCACUGUUUUUUUGUUUUGUUUUUUAAUCAGUUGCAGUAAUGACACAUGAUUUGCAUAGCUCUUAGAGCUGAAAUUUCCUUGCAUGUAUCAUGGUACGCAGAAUUCUUGUUAAAUGCAGUUGGUUUCAUUCUGUGCAUUGUAAAUAUUAAUUUCAUAAUCUGAAUAUAUUCAAGCUGAAUAACUGCUGUUUUGCUGCAAUUUUUCACCACGUUUUAAAGGAACACUAAAGGGUCAGGAAUACAAACUUAUUGUGUUUAAAAUAGAUUUUAGGUGGCUGGCACCCCUUAUCCUCCUUAACCCCUUAAGGACACAUGACAUGUGUGACAUGUCAUGAUUCCCUUUUAUUCCAGAAGUUUGGUCCUUAAGGGGUUAAAUAGUGUUAAAACUCACCUUAUUAACACCACAGGCACUGGCCCAGCCCCCUAUCCACCUCCCUGAUUCAGAAUUGAUUGUCAUCAGAAUUGACAAUCUUAGCCAAUCCAAUCCUUUUCCAUAGGAAAGCAAUGGGAGGUUUUCGCACACAUGCGGCAAAACACUGUGCUUGCCAAUCAGUAUCUCCUCGUAGACAUGCAUUGACUCAAUUGCGUCUUUAUAGGUAAAGUUCAGCACUAUACAAAAGCUUAUGAACACACACUGCUUACUAAUAUGUAACACCAAAAAGAAUCAUAAUGUUCGCCUUAACUCAAACCUAUCUAUCCCUGUACAUUGAUUUAACUACCCACCAUCAUACAACACUCUCAAGCUAGCACCAAGGACAGCUCCUCUCUAUUUUCUAUCAAGUACUGAUGAUGCAAGUAACUACUACUAGUGAUAUUUAUAUAUUGUAUUGAUAUGUACGAGAAGAGAUCCAUACUGAUGCUGUGAAAUGCAUUUGUUUUGAAAGCUUGAAUGAAAAUUCCCAGCCCUUUAAAGGGAUACUACAGAAUGAAAACCCCUAAGUCAUUAAAGGGAUAUUAUAGAAUGAAAUCUCCUAGCUCAUUAAAGGGAUACUUUAGAAUGAAAACUCUUAGCUCCAUAAAUGGAUAUUAUAGAAUGAAAAUUCCUAGCUCCUUACAGGGAAACUACAGGAUGAAAAUGUCCAGCUCCUUACAGGGAUACUAUAGUGCUAGGAAUACAAUUCCACAUACCCAAUUCCAUCAACUUAUCUCUCUCGAGGUUGGGUCGGCACUCUGCCUCCUCUGAUGUCAUCCAACAAGGGUGGCUAAUGCGCAUGCACAGCAAGCGGUGCAUGCGCAUUAGGCCUUCCCCAUGGUAAAACUAACGGAUACUGUAUGAGGACGCUGAAUGUCCUCAUCCAGUAUCAGUUAGGCGACCUAAAGUCCGGUAAAAUCACAGAAGCACCUGCAAUAGCCACUAGAGCCUGUCUCUAAAACUGCUAUGUUUUGCAUUGAACUGAAGUGGUCUGGGUGCCUAUAUUGUCCCUUAAUCACAACUACUUUGAUGAAUUUAAAAUCAAAAGAAGAAUCUGAAAUCACACACUAACUGAUAAGUUACUAUGUUGUAAGUAUUAGUAUCUGUAUUUAUAUUAUGCUUUUGUAAUGGACAGGGACAGAAGUAGUGUCAAUAUGCACAAUGGGAAAACAUCACCAUGUGUCUGUCAUUUACUUGCAGUUAUAGAUCCCCACAGUAUAAUUGUAAAACACUGGAAUAAGUUCAUACUAUAUAAAUGCUAAUAAUAAUAAAAGUAUUAGUAAUAGAGGGAUAUAUGGUUGGAUAGAUGGAUUGGAAAAUACAACUGAAAGAGAUACAGGCCAAAUAUGGAAGUACAUUGAAAUGAGGUUAUGAAAUGAAAAUGGUGGAAAAGCGAAAAGUUACCUGUCUGUCUGUCUAUCUGUCUAAUAUAUCUAUCUAUCUAUCUAUCUAUCUAUCUAUCUAUCUAUCUAUCUAUCUAUCUAUCUAUCUAUCUAUCUAUCUAUCUGUCUGUCUGUCUAUCUAUCUAUCUAUCUGUCUGUCUGUCUAUCCAAUCCAGGGGUGCCAACACUUUUUAGUGUCAAGGUCUACUUUUUAAAUAACCAGCUACCUACUAAAAAUAACACACAUACCUUUUCCAAAUUAAAAUCCUUAUUGCAACUACUGCACAUAUCGUCAUAUUUAAUUAAUCUAAAAAAAUAAACAUAACGCCAUGUACCACCCUUCCACAAAACCCCUGCACCCUUCUACAAAACAAAUGUCCAACCAUUUUACAAAACCCCUUUCCCCUCUUCUACAAAAUCCCUGUCCCCCUUCUACAAAAUCACUGUACCCAUUCUGCUGACAAACUUCUGCCUCAAAGCUCGCUGUAGUGCUGCCCGCACUUAGUGUCAGAGCGGAUCCUUCUGUUGCCUCGAUAUACCUAAGGAAGGCAGUGCAUGUUGACAUUGGUGUGGUCUUGACACUCCUUCACAGGAUCAAAUAGUGCGGCUGCCAGGAUGGCUGGUGCAAGAAUAUUUGUCUGCACAGGCAAGACAUAUUUUGCCACCCCCAAAAUAUACCUACACCUGUGUGUCUAUUAACCCCACUUUUGUCCACAAGGUGCUGCUGCCCUUCUCUCUCCCACAGCACUUGGCCUUCAGCUCUCAAAGCGAAGCAGCAGCUACACGCUUUAUUUCCACACACCGACCAGCAACAGAUACUAUGGCCAAGUACCGGGUAAAUUAAUCACUCGGGCAUUUGGCUACAGAGAGUGACCGGCAGGAGAAAGGCUCUCUGAGUUCCGAUCUCCCUCCAGUCAAGAGCUGGCCACGAUCUACCAGCAACGCCUUUGCCAUCGACUGGUAGAUCACUAUUGACAUAUUGGGCACCCCAGAUCUAGUCUAUCUGUAUAUUGAUCUAAUCCAUCCAUUCCAAAAUAAACGAGCCAGCUCAUAAUUUUACCUAUAGGUUUUUGUCUAGGUUUUUUUCAUUGAACAAUGGAUUUUGUUUAAUAGACAGGUUGCAACAUAAAGCAGAACUGGGUUAUGAGAUACAUAUUUCAUCCCAUGGUCUAUAAUUUGUAAUAACUUUAUCAAUUCCCAGCAUUUCACUGGUUAUCAAAUAAACCGUCUGCUGUUUAUUACAUAGCAUAACGGAAAAUAUGUCUUUGUAACAACAUGUGCAGAAUCUCACUUCUACUUAAUCACAUUGAACCCUUGAAUUCAUAAUUCCAGGACAGGUCAAAAACUAGAAGUAAAUCAAAUAAACAAACAAACUAGUAGUAAACCCCAAACUUGCAGUGUUUCUAUGGAAAAUCUUUAAACAGUAAAGCAAAUCAUGAACAAACAAUAUUGUAUCAACCCUUUAACUAACCACACCACAUUUAUUUUAUAUAUCACAUAAACAUAUAUUAUUUUAGCUAAAAAUAGUAUGUAUAAGUUUGUAAAAUUUGCACUUUUCAUCUACCAUAGUCUCAUACAAUUUCGCUCUUAUGUAUGCCACAAAUCUGUUCUGCUUAUACAAAAACAGGCCCAUCAUGUUUAAAUGAACUUGAAAAAAAAUCAAUCACACUAUUUCAUUUGACCUUCUAAAACUAGUUUCCUUCAGUGUCCUUGACCUUCUCUCAGAGGUCAUUCUCCCAUCUCCAAGAACAUAUUCUCAGUUAAACCUUACACAAGUAAUUUAGCAGAACUUUAACCCCGUCAGGUAGAGCAAUAUGCCAGGACAUCCAUAAAAAAAGAAUUUGCUAAACCUUUGUUUUGUAGCUGUUAAGCAGAUUCUGCCUACCACAUAUAUCUGAGUGAUAAAAAAGUCCUUUUCUGUCCUUCUGUAUAUGGACAAGACUGCAUGUUUUACAGAAAGGGAACAAAUUGCUGCUGUCAAUUCGAAUGAGAACGACACUGAAUAUAAUCUUGGUAAUAUUAAAGAAAUUAGAAUUGUAAAUUCAACUUCCCAAUUUAGAGGCGAAUAAGUUAUAUCAUGUACAAGCGCCUUGCUAAUGCUUAGUACUUCACUCUAUCACCUUAAAGACCAUCCAUUUCUUUUAUUAGAGUGUUUCGACAGUCCAGCUUCUAGAAGAUGCAGCUUGUUUGUGUGUUUUUAGCUCUUUGAAACAGAAAUAAUCAGUCAAAAGCUAUUAUUAGAUUUGGUCUGCUUGAGACCUAUAUUUACGCAAUCUCCUUUGGGUCAGUUAAAUGGGUUAGUUUGACUUCCUGUGAUUCUAUCGCCUGCUUCUCCUCUGUUUAUGUGUCUUCAGUGCAGCCUAGAUUUCAAACUGGACUAAUUGGACAAAGCAUAUUUAUAUUCAUGAGUUAUUUGGCAGUUUCUACUGAACAUCUAUUUGUAGGUCCAGAUUUUCAAUUCAAAUCAGAUCAAUGAAUUUCAUAGCACGCUGGUAUGAUAAAAUAUAAUUACACAGCAGUGAAAAAAAAUGUCUUUAAAGCAGUGUGGACUACUUUUUUUUAAAUAAGUGUGUCAAUGAAUAACUGUUCUCAAAGAAUAUAUUCUUAACCUUAGGGACAGAACUGUUCCUUGCUUGAGUCAUACAGAGCAACUUUACUCCAUGAUAUAAUCGAGAUGAUGGGAGGAUGAAAGUUUUAUCACAAGCAACAAACCUCACAUAUAUUGCCCUGAUUCCUGUAAUGAAAGAGUGUAGAAAAACUAUUUGAAAUUCAUUUGGAGCAAUGCAAUUUAAAGUGAUGAAAGGGAACGGUAAUACAACUCUACAAGAGAAUGCACAUUCAAUAUGGCUUUAUCUUAUGCUUCCUUUUUUUCUCUACUGCAAUUGGUUUAAUUAUUCAGACAUCAGGAUGAGCUACAGAAAGGGCAAAAUCAAAGCGCACAUGUAUAGGGAAAAACACAACGCAUAAAUGAAGACUCAAAUAUAACAUAAAGGUGCGCCAUACGUACAUUUACUUUGCACAUAAAUUUCAUUGGGAUAUUAGACCUGACUCAAAAGCAACAGAGCACCCAAAUGUUCUUGCAUGGAUUUAAGAGUAUUAUUUUACAGUUAACUAGUUAUUGAGAAAAGUAACCUCUUUCGUAAAAUGAGUUGCACUUAGAAGUCUGAAAAAAGUUUAGUGACGCUUACGGUCCAGCCAGGAUGACUUCUGAGACUAAAACAUUAAUUUCAGAGCACAUAUUUUAGAGCUAAAUUGCAGAGUAUGAACCAGACCAGGAGAUAACACAGUAUAAAUGACAAGUUACGGCUGAAAACAGCAAAACAAUUUUGUGUUUAAAUCCAUAAUCCACUAUUUUAAUAAAAUCUAUUAAAAAAAGGGAGAGAUGAUCCCAACCCAUCAGAAAAUGAGUUCCAUUGAACACUUUAUUAUCUGGGGCCCCAAAUGAAUACCCCAAAUCCUGCUGGAGGGAAUAGUUAAACCAUAUAAGUGGCACUAACCUUUCUUCCAUCCCAUGGCAUUACGCAUUUGAGGCAGCCCCCCUUCACCCCCCUGAAAAUAACUUUAAGCUAUUUCUAGAUUUUUAAAAAAUGCUGAUAGGAGUUAUCCUUUACUUGGAGUGUUGUUGGGUAAGUUAAAUUUCAUACACAGCAACCAGACCUCACCUUAGAAAACUGCAUAGAGCUAUCCAUAGCUCAGGCACAUUACUGUUGAAACCAUUCUCCUCACUAGCAAAUCUGCACUUAAGGAGAAGGGGUAUGGUUUGGAGGAUCAGGCAAGCAUAGGUACAGGUCACUUGUUCAAAUGAGGAUAAGUUAAAUUUAAAUUAUAAAUUAAAUCUUUCAUAUGCAGAGUUAUGUCUGGAAUGUAUCGACUCUUGGGACAUUAUAGGGAGGUCUAGGAGUAGUGAUGAUGGUAAGAUUUGGGUACAGUUGUGUUCCAGUGUGGGCAUUAGCUGAGAUAUAGCAGUUACAACUCUUGAGUAAUACUAUCCCUGGGUUAUUCAUUAUUAUAAUUUAACAACUUUUGCCAUUUAGUUUUUUUUUAUCUCCCCAAAAAAUGUCUCAAGUCUAUGACAUCAUUAAUGCCCAGAAAAAUGGUCACCUGACCCUGUACUAGACGGGCCCUGGAACUCCCAAAGUACAAAACCAAUCGGUAAGUUGUAUUAUUUGUGAUAUUUAAUUAUUGUUUAAUGAAUGUAAUUAUAUAAUUAUUGCAUCAGGUUUUAUGGUAUGUAAGUGGGGAUAUAUAGUGAGUAUUCAAUUGUAUUUAUGACUUGACAAAGAUCAAUGUAGGCCAAAACGUUGUCACUUUUUGUUUCUAUUAAACAAAUGCACUUUACAAGGAAUUACUGAGUCCCUGGAUCUUCUAUUUGUCACUUGAGAAUUAUUUUGGGAUAGCCAACCCUGAGACCAAGAGCACCAAUUCUGUUGAGCGGAGUAUAAAGAAAACCAUUAAUGCCCAACUGUCCAAAACUCAGAGUUGUAGAUUUUAGUCCUGGUAUGCUCAUUUUGUAUUUUAUCAUUUCAAGGUCAAUAAAAUGAGUAUCAUUAAAAUGGUUAAAAAUAGAUGCAGCUAUAGCUCAGAGCAUACUUGAAAUGAGUGAAAAUAUGAAUGUAACCUUUCUGAUGAAACAUUUUGAUUAUUAAUAUCAUUAUAUAAAUGUUUCUUUUUAGUUUGAUAACAUGAUCUGUAUCAGAGCCUGGCCGUCAUCCAAAAUAGAUAACUCAACUGGCAAAUGCAACACUGAAAUUAGCUCUGGAUUUUAGUCACAAAUCACCCCAAAUGUCAUCAAAUUUAACAGAGAAGAGUUGAGUAAUAAAACAGAACAAUAAAAGCCGUUUUAGAAUGGAACUGACGUCUGAGCAGCUGUGAAGCUCAUCAGUAAAAAGUAAAAUUACAAGCUUUUCCAUUUUAGCCUGGUCCUGCAAAUAAUUUUAAGUCCAUUGUUGCAACUAGAUGGAAAAUUACUGGAGUGUUUCACCAAGAUAAAAUGAGAAAUAUUAAUUGUAGGAAAAGUAAGAUUAAGGUGGACUUAAUUAGUGGUAGACUAAAUGAUCUCAUACUUGGGAGUCAGAGACAUGAAAUAGUCAUAAACAUCUACUGAAAAUACAAAAGAAAAGUGGGAGCAGUUUAAACAUACAUAAACAACGGUUUCGGAAUUGUUUCAUUUUUAUUGAUCUCAACAAGUAUUAGAGAUUAUGUAAUUGGAUGGCUCUAUAUGCUAACAACAACAACAGCUUCUUCUCAUCCUCCGCAAUAUCGGUCUACAAGAUAUUGCUCUCUCCUGGUGCUCCUUCUACCUCUCCCAGUGCUCUUUCAAUGUUUAUUUUUCUGGCUCUGCCUCUUCUCCCCAACUCCUCUCGUUUGGUGUCCCCCAAGGUUCAGUCCUUGGUCCCCUACUGUUCUGCAUCUAUACUGCCUCCCUUGGUAAACUCAUCAGCUCCUUUGGCUUCCAAUAUCAUUUCUAUGCAGAUGACACGCAAAUCUACCUGUCCUCUCCUGAUCUCUCCCCGUCCCUCUUGACAAGUGUCUCUGACUGCCUCUCGGCUAUUUCUAACUGGAUGGCUGCCCACUUCCUUAAACUAAACUUGACCAAAACUGAAAUUCUGGUCUUUCCUCCCUCAAGUGUUGUUACUCCUGUGUCUCCCUCCCUCCAAGUCAACGGUGCUACCAUCAGCUCCACCACGCAGGCUCGCUGCCUAGGUGUUCUCUUUGACUCUGACCUCUCCUUCAAGCCUCAUCUUCAAUCUAUCGCUAAAUCCUGUCAUUUCCAUUUCAAAAAUAUUGCGCGCAUCCGCCCCUACUUAACGCCAGAUGCGACUAAGGUGUUGGUCCAUUCCACUGUCCUUUCUCGCCUUGACUACUGUAAUCCGCUUCUCAGUGGUCUUACGUGCUCCCAACUUGCGCCGUUACAGUCCAUAAUGAAUGCGGCAGCGAGGCUCAUCUUCCUGUCCGCCCACACCUCCCAUGCCUCACCCUUCUGUCAGUCCCUACAUUGGCUUCCUAUAAAAUAUAGAGCUCAAUUUAAAAUUCUGGUUCUUGCUUUCAAAUCGCUACAUAAUGCUGCUCCAACCUAUAUAUCCUAUCUUAUACACAAGUAUGUCCUGUCUAGGCCCUUACGAUCUGCUGAAGACUUACGUUUAUCUUCUGCCCGUACUCCCACCUCUGAUGCGCGCAUUCAAGAUUUCUCGAGGGCUGCACCGUUCCUGUGGAACUCGCUUCCCUCCUCCGUUAGAUGCUCACCCAGUCUCCACUCCUUCAAAAAACUGUUAAAAACCCACUUCUUCAUAAAAGCGUAUCAAUUAAACUGUUAAUAGCUUCCUCUUCUGCAACUGUCACUAGUCUAAUACUAUCCUUACCUUUUUGUGCCAUUUUACUCCACUCCCUCUAGCAUGUAAGCUCAUUGAGCAGGGCCCUCAACCCCUCUGUUCCUGUGUGUCCAACUUGUCUGGUUACAACUACAUGUCUGUUCGUUCACCCAUUGUAAAGCACUGCAGAAUUUGAUGGCGCUAUAUAAAUAACAUAAUAAUACUAAUAAUAAUAAUAAUGCUAGACUUAUAUUGCUUGAGUGUCUGUUUCCCUCAGGUUCACAUAUUUAAUGGCUAAAUGGAACACUGGCUUGCUUAUCAAAACAUUGGCUAGGUAAUGGGGACACUGUCCAGAUAAGAAAGAUAUUGGCCAAAUAAAGGGGGCAAAGUAUUUUUUAAUGAGACAUUGUCCAAGCAAAGGGGACAAAGGAUUGGUUAGAGAAAUGUUGGCCAAAUUACACUGGCUCGGUUAGUGACACAUUAGCCAAGUAGAGACGAAGUGUGGGUAUGGACGUGAAAAUAACUAAUUUAGGAGCCGCGGUUAAAUGACACUCAGUUGACAUCCACAUUGCUGAAUAUUGAUUGAGUAUUAUAAUGUGCUAUUGUUUGUGGCUUAACUGUAACUAAUGAUCACAACCAGAGCUUGGUUGCUCUACUCUCCAAUAAUUAGGUGCUAGAGAUUCUGUCCUCCGUAGAUAAUCUCUUUUCUCAUAUUCAGCUUCAUCUCUGCCAGUCUUGUGCUACUGACAUCCAUAUGAAUCUUUGCCUCUCCAAACAUAAAUAAAGUGCGUAGGUGUCUAUAAACUAAAUAUAUUUUUUUAAACUCAAUUUGUAUCAAUUCCUGAAAAGUCAAUGUUUGAUAAAUAGACCACUUUAUUUUGUAUAAUGUGUUUUGAAAAUUGCGUUAAAAUGUGCCACCUAAAGUGUGGGUAUAUAUAUUUGUCUAGAUUUGUCUAGAUAAAUAUGUAUCCCUCAUCUUGAGGGAUACAUAUUUAUCUAGGAAGUUCCCAUUGCAUUCAGGAAGAAAUUUAUUUCUUCUACAUGUAUUUCAAAUUUGUCCCAUGGGCUCCCUUUCUCUAGGCAAAUAGUGGGCAAUUCAACUGCUGACAGCAUAUGAUUUGACAAGGUUUGGAUAACAAGGUCUUUACUGUGCCUUCCCCUGAUUCAUCUGAUAAUUAAAUAUUUAAAAUAAUAAAAAAUUUGAGGUUCAGUGCAGCAGAAUUGCCGAGUAAUUGAUUACAGUUUGAUUAGAAUGCAUGUUAACUAUGAUAUAUGUGAACCAGGGCCUAUCCUAGUGUGGCGGAACCAACCUCGCCAGUGGCCACUGGAGGAGCCUGGUCUCCCACCUCCUGCCACAGGACUAUGGCCCCAUGUUAAAAACCUUUUAUUUUCCCUGCACAAAGGCUUAUUCAUGCCUUUCUGCCUGGGCGUUCGAUAGAUUGAAUCUACCGAACAAACUACCGACCGAUCGACUACCUGGUAACUGGAGUGUGCCGUCAAUUAACCACAGCUUAAUCGACGAACGCUGGGUGGCCUUUGUUCGUUUGCCGAACACAUGGCAGCAGCCAUUUUAAACUCCCGAACGGCCAGCGGUGUUCAGCUCCAAAUCUAUGGAACUCAAAACUGACACUUAUUUUCACGUACAACACUGAGCCGCCGACUUCCCUUCUCCUGCAAAGAAACGAACACCGGUUCAUUCAGGACUUUCAUUAUGUGAACAAUGUUACUCCAGAUAGUUAUGAUCAUGGAGCCUAUUCGUAUACCGAAAGACUGCAUGAAAGACUUUGGCUCCAUGGCGAUUAAACUAUGUGUAUGUGAUCUGAGCGCCAUUCGGUAAUAAUGUGCGCUCAGAUCUAAGCUAUCUGGGGAUAUGUUGAAUGUAUAUGUUUUGUGUAAUAUUUGCAACAUUGUAUAUUUUUCUGUCUUUUUGGUAACGUGCUUAAUGGAGUUUGCCUCUGUCCUUGGAGAUAAUUGGAUUACUUCCCGAUUGCAAUGCAUUGUGGGAUUUGUUUAAAUGUGUAAGCUUGUGAUUGGUCCUUUUACCCUUUGUGUCCCAGUUUCCCAUCUGGUCCCCUAGGGGAGUGUCCACCAGGUGGGAGACCUGCAAAAAGCCGGGCAGGUUGCCCCAGUAAAUCAAUUCUACUUCACCCUCAAUUUGGAGUGCAAUCUCUUAUUGGGGGAAUCUGCUACAAGGGAUUGCUAUGCUUGUCCUACUCCCUUGCUAAAUCACUACUAAGCUCUUGUAGGAGCUUGUUCCUGCCUUGCUCUCUGGAGGAGUCUAUGGUGGCUAUGGUGUCUGCUGCAGUGCUUGGAGUCCUCAGGAAGCGCUAGGAGCAUCCUUCAACAGAGGUACCCAGUCGGGGUGCCAGGUGAUCUGUUACACCUAGUGUCACAGAUGCCUGGUUGCAAAAUAAUUGUGGGCGCCCCAGGUGGACAUGUCCAUCUUAUUAACUCAUCCCCUUUACAAAUGUCCAGUCCAGAUAUAGAUAUUUCUACACUUAUCAGGGUAGCAGGUUGAGCCCUAAACAGAAUAUUAUAAUUAGAGUUGAUAGUUAAUAUAACUAUCAGCUCUAUGUGUCUCUGUGUGCCAAUGUGUACCUUUAUUUAGCGUGGCUGAGUGGACUGCGGGUAGAGGAUCUUGUGCUCAAUUUGCACUUCCUUGUACCUUCCUUCCAUGUCUCUCUCCCCUUUACCCAUGUUUCUCUCCUCCCUUCCUUCCAUGUCUUUCACUCCACCCUUCCUUCCACGUAUAUUCUUCCCCCUUCUAUGUUUCUCCCUCUCUGCAAUUUUUAUCUUCCCCUCAUGUCCUCCCUCCCUUUUAUCUUUAUCUCCCCUGCCUCAAUGUAUGGCAGCGCACUGUGUUAGACUGAGCACCAGGUAAUCACGUGACACUCGGCGCUCCUACACUAAAUGCAAGGGGGAGGCACUCCCCACUGAUUUCGUGUACGUGCGGUUCCCUUUUGAAACUGUACGCUACCUGCACACAACCACACAAUCUCAAGAUAGUUGAUCUUGUUCACUGUGACUAGAGGGGUAUUGACUAUACCUUAUUUACAAGGCCUAACAAGGCUGAAACGAUCAUCUGGGGUUGCUGUAUCGCUCAUGCAGAGAGAGCUGGAUUUCGGAUCUGGAACACUCUUGUGGGUAGGACCAGUCUGAUAUGAAGAUAAUUACCUUUGUAACGGCACAAGAUGAGAUACACCAACGUGAGACCUGAGGCUGGACCAAUCGGAGGACAAGCUGAUUGUGGGUUCUCUAGCACCUUGGUUUUUUUUUUUUGCCCUACCCAAGAUGAAACAUAAGUUUCUUUUAUCAUAACAUAUCCACCUCAAAUCAAUUUCAUAAUGAAUGGUAUAAUUUCACCUGUAGAUAGUUAAAAUAGUAGGAGAACAGGAAAAGGGGUUGAGUUCCUAUGUAUUAUUUUAUAAAUACCGGGAGAUCAUCUUACUACAAUCGUUGCAGACAAAUAUUUAACUAAGUAUCAUUAGUACUGAAAAGAUUUACCCACACUAGCACAAUACAUAAAACAUAUUUAAGAGUGUCAAAAAAUACUCCUGAGGAAGUAAUACUUAACCUGGAGAGCUAUAUAUUGAGUAUUCCAGUCUGCACAAAAAGAGGAUUAAUGCAAUUUUGAUGCAGACUCACUCAUCCAGAUAGCUAUUUGUCUAAAUGUACCAUUUGCACUGUACCAGCCAUUCAAUGCAAAAGAAAGCAAUUACAAAGAUACUGAUCUAAGAUACUCUAAUUAAUAGGCAGGAAAUAAUCUCUUUUGUUGAUGGUGACUGAUUAGCCUCUGCUGUUAGCAGUUUCCUUUGUCUUUAUUAUUACACAGGGCAUAUUAAAGAAGACAGUAUUACUCUACACAACCAUGGCUCAGAGAAAUUAAAAGGUAUUGCUUUUAAUAGAAACAGGAUUAAGAACUAAAAAUGCAUAUAUAUAUAUGUUUACAAAUAGCUAUGAAAAAAAUUAUAUAGGUAUACAAGGAAUGCUGCCCCCUAAUGAUCAACUAAUCAUAUUACUAAUCAUACUAGGGUAGGGAGAGCUAUCUUGGAUUGCCAAAAAAUUGGUACAUCUUGGUGAAGAAUAUUUGAACCUAUGUUUUCAGAAAGUGAUAUUAUAAUUAUUGUACGGAUGAAGUCUGCCUGUUUUUGCCAGGAGAUAUUUGUUUGGAAUGUGAAUGUAAUGUGAAGUGUAAGUGUUUUUAUUAAUACAGGGGUGAAUAUUACAGGACCACUAUAGGCACCCAGACCACUUCAGCUUAAUGAAGUGGUCUGGGUGCCAGGUCCAUCUAGGAUUAACCCUUUCUGCUGUAAACAUAGCAGUUUCAGAGAAACUGCUAUUUUUUACUUUAGGGUUAAUCCAGCCUCUAGUGGCUGUCUCAUUGACAGCCGCUAGAGGCCCUUCAGCACUGUGAUUUUCACAGUGAGAAGACGCCAGCGUCCAUAGGAAAGCAUUGAGAAUGCGUUCCUUUGAGACUGUCUGAAUGCGCGCAUGCGCAUUAAGCCUAUGACGGGAAAGGAGGAGGAGAGUCCCCAGCGCUGGAAAAAAGGUAAGGGAUUAACUUCCUCCCCCCAGAGCCCGCUGGGAGGGGGGCACUGAGGGUGAGGGGGACCCAAGGACCCUACAGAGCCAGGAAAACGAGUAUGUUUUCCUGGCACUCUAGUGGUCCUUUAAUUAAUUAAGUGUUAAUGCAAUUAUUUAUUCAGUGGAUUGUCAGGUGUGUACUUACGUGAAGUGUGCCAGGUGUAUUGUUUAGGAGCGUGUGAAUGAAAAAGUGUAUUUUUGGGGAGUGUGUGAAUGCAGGAGUAUAUGUACCACUUUCCCCCUGCCUUGUCAUGUUUUUACCACUUCCCCUUGCCAAUAAACUUUCCACUUAAUAACUAUUUCUCUUUUUUUACUUUUUACUUCCCAUUUUGUGGAUAAGUGCAAGAUGGGUGUAUAAGACCAAAGUGCAGAGUACAGAAUAUUUGAUUGAUUCCUAACCUCAUCAUCUGCGGAAAGGGAUUUAGGAGUGAUUAUUUCAGAUGACUUAAAGGUAGGCAGACAAUGUAAUAGAGCAGCUGGAAAUGCUAGCAGAAUGCUUGGUUGUAUAGGGAGAGGUAUUAGCAGUAGAAAGAGGGAAGUGCUCAUGCCAUUGUACAGAACACUGGUGGGACCUCACUUGGAGUAUUGUACGCAGUACUGGAGAUGGUAUCUCCAGAAGGAUAUUGAUACUUUGGAAACAGUUCAGUGGAGGGCUACUAAACUGGUUCAUGGAUUGCAUGAUAAAACUUACCAGGAAAGGUUAAGGGAUCUUAACAUGUAUAGCUUGGAGGAAAGACGAGACAGGGGGGACAUUUAAAUACAUAAAGACAUUUAAAUACAUAAAGGGAAACAACACAGUAAAGGAGGAGACUAUAUUUAAAAGAAGAAAAACUUCCACAACAAGAGGACAUAGUCUUAAAUUAGAGGGGCAAAGGUUUAAAAAUAAUAUGAGGAUGUAUUUACUGAGAGGGUAGUGGAUGCAUGGAUUAGGCUUCCAGCUGAAGUGGUAGAGGUUAACACAGUGAGGGAGUUUAAGCAUGCGUGGGGUAGGCAUAAGGCUAUCCUAGAUAUAAGGUAAGGCCAGGGACUAAUGAAAGUAUUUAGAAAAUUGGGCAGACUAGAUGGACCGAAUGGUUCUUAUCUAUCGUCACCUUCUAUGUUUCUAUGUUGUCACUUGCUACUUCAAGUGUGAACUCUGUAUAUGAUCAUGAUGUCACUUUUUUCUGAAUAGCCUACAUUCUCUUCAUAUCUCAAGCCACACUCUCUAAAACAUUAACGCCUCUGCUUGUUGAUUGUCGUUUUUGAUGUUUGGAUACAGUAACAUCGAAAAUGGCAAUCUAUCAUAUACUAAUAAUUAGCAUAUUGCUGUAAAAUCUGAAAUUCAAAAAUAUCUUCCUGAUCCCUUUGCAAAUUAAGAGUACCUCUUCAAUAUGAUCAACAGUAAUCAUCAUCUCUGAUCCAGGGAAAGCAAAAAAAUGUUUUGUCCAUAUUCGAGCAUUUAGCAUAAACCUCAAAUAUGCAAGUAAACAUUCUGAUAAUCUAGUGAAUAUAAAACAUAGGAAACGGAUUUGCCUUUUUUUGUACAUUGGGGGAAAAAUGACACAAUACAUUUUCACUUCCUGUUAUUUACUAACGCUGCAUCCUGUUGAGUCAUUAAGUGCAGGAACUGUACUGUCUUGAAAUAGCAAAGUAAUUGCGAAUAUUUCACAUGCCAACAAUGUUCGUUAACAUAUUUAUGUGCCAAAAUAAUUUCUUAUGUGAGUAGCAUCUACUACAGACACAGAUUCAGUAUAGCUGCUAUGAUAUGGGGAACGGUUAACUCUUUUGCGGAUUGCGAUUAAUCAGUCAUCUUUCUUUACCAUACUUUGUUUAAUCGGUCAUCUUUCUUUACCAUACUUUUGUCAUCUUUCUUUACCAUACAUUGGUGUAUUGGUUUUCCUGGUUAGAGGCAGACUACAAAAAUCUCAAGAAUUUUAGGUCUUUUUGUAUAUACCUAAUUGUUGAUCUAAGUUGGCCUGGAAUUUUAAUUCUUGUUUCAUCUUAAUCUACCUUUCGUGCUGCUUCACAUUUGUAAUAUAAAAGUAGGUCACGCAGACUAGAGUGCCAGAGAUGGGAAUAUUCCUCUGGUGAACAGUUCACUGCCCUAUUUUCCUGGACGGCAACAUUCAGAAUGAGACUCGUCUUCAUUGGCACUAAACGAAUGCCAUAGGCACUCUGUUGCAGAAAGAUUCAUGAUAAGUGGAAGUGAAAUCUCAUAUGAAUUAUUUAUGCCAAGUGCAACAGUUAACUCUAUAUUUUGCAAAGUUGUAAUGGUCAACAUAAGCUGAAAAUGAAAUAUAUACUCUGUAACACAUAAUGUUAUUCUUAUGCGUCUCUUCACUAAAGGCCAAAGUGUCUCGCUAGCGCUCUUGAAGUCAUAAUUUUGUAAUAUGAUAAAUAUGCUUUGGGAUAAAGAGUUUACAUUCCCAAUAAAUGUGUUCGAUAUAAUUAAAACUCAAGAAGCAUGAAUCAAACUUGAAAUAGGUGCAAAUACAAGAAAAUAAAUCAGCUCAAUGACUCAAAAAAGGCAGGUGGAAAUACGUGCACAAUUGCACAUGGAAUGUUUUGUCAUCUCAAAUGCUUAAGUUGUGAAACGUGUUAAAUGUUAUUGUGCACAGCUGCUCCCAUGAACCAUGCUGUGAUAUAUUAACAAACAGGAUAAAAUGUGCAGGCAUCACAUUAUGUGGUUUUAUGCUAAUAUCAUGAGUGCAUCAAUGUCAUGGAACAGACCAAGAAAUGUGACCUCAGAUGAUCGCAAAAUCCAGCCUGACCGUUUGUCAUAUUUAUCAACGAUGUGCAGUUAACAUGCAAUGUGCCUGCCCUUAAAGGUAAUGAAGGAGUGCUAACUCUGUUCUGUAAGUACUAGGAGUGACAAAUGCUCCUUCCCACGAACAUUUGCUACAAACUCCUGGAGGAGUGUGGAAGCUGGCCUCCUGCCCACCGACUAUGGUCCAGGUCGGAGACCCCAUUCAGGAGUUACCCUGCCCAGCCGUCAUUAGCAGCUUUCCCUCGGUGCCCCUGCUCCUGGUUCAACACUUUCCCUUCAUUCAAAUGGAAUAAACGCUAGCUACCAGGCAGCCGUCUGCAUGAACCAAACCACGAAUGGUCCUCAGCGGUACUUAGCCGCAACCGCUAUGGAACUAAUUUUGGCAUGAGGACUUGUGGUUUCCCGGUCACCUCAGCGGUACUUAGCCAUGAAUGUUAUGGAACUGUUUUUGGCAUUAGGUGACCUUGCGGUUCCCAUACAACUUUGUCCUGGGUUUUGAACCACUUUUCAACCCACCAGGAGAGCGCUUUUGGGAAGGAAGCUGUCUGAGACAAAGGGGAACAAAUGUGCUCUGAGAGCCAGGAGGAGCACCCCGUAUUGCUCUCGAAAGUUGCAAAAGCACCAAACGACUUGGAACAAUUUUGGGCUAGGACCACGUGUGCAGCCCACGUGGCAUUUCUCCUACACUGCAUGGAUCUAAGCGCUUUUUGGACAACUUGGGCGCUUAGAUCAGGGUUAUUUGGGGAUGUAGGACAUGUGGGGUUAAUGUUUGUUCUUAUUAUGCUUGGGGUACUUUUAUGUUUUUAUGUUUUGUGUUGGGCUCUCUGUUCCUGGGAGAUAAUUAGCUUGCCGGUCUUUAACUCAAUUAUUUCCCAGGCCCAGAGAUUCCUGGGAGGGGCUUGCAUUGUAUUGUUUUGAGACCUGCUAUUGCGGUCUGUGCAUAAAAGUUUGGCUCAUUAAAGUCAGUUGUACUCCCAGAACUAUGUGUCGUCUAGUUACUGGGUGGGGAAAGGACUAAUCACUGCUCAGCAUUUUGUUCCAGCUCGUGGAGGAUUCAGCGGGUUAAGUCCUUGUAAGGACUAGAGCUCCCAGGACUGUGUGUUGUCCAGUCUCUGGGAGGGAAUAGAGCUAGUCCUGUAUCCAGUUCCAGGACGGAGAAGCAGCCAGGAGGACCCCAGUCAAGCCAUGGCAACUGGGGUAGAAGUGCAGAGGUUUUCCCCGGUUCCAGCUAGUAAACGAUCUUCGGUGGAGGUGCCCAGCCGGGGUACAGGGAGCUCUGCUACACUAUUCUAUAAGAUUAAUAGGUUAAAAGAGAAUAUUCAAUUCCCGGGAUAUAUAAUAUCAUAUAUACUUAUUCUGAUACUGAAAAAAAUAUGGAUUUGUUAAGUGUGAAAAAUAUGAAUAACUUAGAGAAUUUAUCACUUCUAAACUGCAAAUGGGUGCCUCCAUCUUAGCUCCCUGUUAAUCAUAGUUAUAAGCUCUGUCCUUUGCACCAAAAGAAAACAUACAGAGAAGCAGAAAAAUUAAACAAUGUCUCAAUUUUUCCUCCUCAUUUUCAGUCUUUGAAAAGAAUACAGAGCAUCUCUUGAAGAAGGUUAACACAAGUUCUAAGUGAUUUUCAAGGUUCCACUUAACAGUGACAGUUUUGUUUAGAUGAAACAUGUUUAUUUAAUUAACUGAAUUCGACUAGAAGUUUUUAAAUUUUUUAUUUUCUGAUUAUGCAAUGAAUAACCACUUGAUUCCCAUUUAUUUUAGAAUGUGGUUGCAGUUAUACCAGGAGAACAGAAGAAUAUCUGGUAUGUGUGCUAAACACAGCCCAAAUUUCCAAGGUUGAAAAAAAUCUCCAGUUUAUGCUGAAUUUUCUAUCCCAAUUUUUGACAGUAGCCCACUCACAAAACUCCCUGUAUAAUGAAUAAACCUCUAGGUUUGUGAGCACAUUCUGGAGAGUCUGAAGAACUAUUUCUUGAGAAUACAAGGUUUGUAGCUGCAGGCAUGCAUCAAACUAGGGUUUCAUUCUUAAUCCUCAGGAAAGGACUUAAUUCAAAGAGAAAACUACUGUCUCAAUACACUCUGAUAGCUCUAGUUAUUGUGAUGGCUCUAUCCAUCAUUUAUUACAAACUCACCAUAUGAACAUGGACAUUAAAUUAUUUUCUAUUGCAAUAAUUCAAUUGACUAUGGUUCCUUAUAGUAAAGAAACAAGCAAGGGAUUACACAAAUCCAUUGCUUCAUAACCUGAAUAUACCAAUGUGCACAUCAAAUGUUUUUCUUUUUAUAAAAAAACAAAAUAUUUAUUCAAUACCAAAUCAUAUGGUAUACAUGUUUUAAUAAAAAAAACCUAAAUUAAAAUAAAUAAAAAUACAUUUAGAGGAUAAAAACAAUCUUUAUUGUAAUAUACCACUAUAUCUAGUGUGUGUUGUGUAUUACAAGAAAGAUUGUUUUCACAAACCAAAUUUAUUUUAAUUUAUAUUAAUUAUUUUUAUUUUAUCCUGCAUUUAUCCUAAGUAAACUCUUCAUGGCCUACAUAUAUCCUGGGUGGGGAUAAUACCACCCAUGCUGAUAUCACUGAAAAUAUGGUGCUCUUAAACGCAUAAGUAGAUUUAAUUCUGAAUUUACGCUAUUAUUACCAUGUGAGCACUAUAUUUGUUAUAUUAAUUUCAUAUGCACUGUGAAUAUCUAAAACGGAUGUCUUUAGACAUAUCUGGGAGCGGGGAUUAUACCGCUCAGAGCCUUGUGUAAGAGCUGAUUGGAGGCUCUCUCCUUGUGAGUGUAUUUCAUCUUUACAUAAUCUAUGACAUUGUAUAUAUUGGAUUACACUAUUUUUGAUUUCUGUUGUUUAUAUUUCAUAUGAGACAUCAUAUUGACUAAAGAUCUGACCACUUAUUCAUCAAGGAGGAUAAUACAUUGACCUCCAAAGUACUACUUCCAGCAGGUUUCAUAUUGUUACCUCAAAGACUUUCUCUUCGGAACAUUCAUUAUAUUCCAUUUUGAGUUAUCUGACUCAAGUGUACAAAUUGGCAAUACUGUAUGUCUAUAUAUAUGCAGACAGAGGUCAAUACCUUAUUUGAAAGAGGAGCACAGGCAGAGGGGUCAGUAGUCUUCUCCAUAAUAUGGAUACCAAAUAGUCAAAUAUGAGUGUAUAUAUUGGCAAUACUGUAUGUCUAUUGGCAAUACUGUAUGUCUAUAUAUGUAUAUAUAUAUAUAUAGACAUACAGUCUAUAUAUAGACAUACAGUAUUGCCAAUUUGUACACUUGAGUCAGAUAUAUAUAUAUAUAUAUAUAUAUAUAUAUAUAUACACUCAUAUUUGACUAUUUGGUAUCCAUAUUAAUAUAUGGAGAAGAAUACUGACCCCUCUGCCUGUACUCCUCUUUCAAAGAAGGUAUUGACCUCUGUCUGCAUUCCUCUUUCCAGGAAGGUAUUGACCCCUCUGCCUGCUUUCCUAUUUCCUGAAAGGUAUCAACCCUUCUGCCUGCGUUCCUCUUUUAAGGAAGGUACCGACUCCUCUGCCUGCGUUCCUCUUUCCAAGAAGGUAUCGAUCCCUGUGCCUGUGUUCUUCUUUCCAGGAAGCAGUGGUGUAUUUAGGAUUUGUGCUGUCCUAGGCAGGACGGUGCUCGGUCCCCCCCCCCCGAUUUAAAUUUUACCCACCCCUUCCAGUCAAGGCCGCACUUUGACUGACAGACUCACACAUUCACUGAUAGAUGCAUACACUCAUUGACUCAUUGACAGACAAACACUCUCAUAUACGCUGACAAACAAUGACAAACACACACACACUCACUGGUUUGAAACCCUGAUAGACAGACACACUAUUACUCGGACACACACUGACAGGCGCCCACUCUCACUGACAGAUACACACACACACACACUUAGACACACUUACACACACACACACAUACAUACAAACACACUCAUAGACACUCACACUCAUAGACACACACACACAUUCACUCACAGACACAGAUAUACACAUUCAUUCACUCACACACACACGCACACACACAGACAUUUCCCCCAACACACAAAUUAUUAUUAUUAUUUUUUUAUUUUAAAGCCACCCAGCCUCCCUGGAAGAGCUGGAGUGGAUUACUUACCUGUCAAGUAGGGCUGCUGGGCAGACAGGCAGGGGGCGGAAAGGCAGAGAAGGCGGCGAAUGAGCUUUAAUCUUCCUGCUCAACUCUCUUGCGCCGCUUAGUGAUGCCAGGAGCCGGUCUGACGUCAUAUUCUGGCUCCCGGCUUCAUCAAGCAGCGCGCGAGGGAGCUGGGCAGGAAGAGCUCAGGUGAGUAUGCUCCCUCGCUGCCCGCCACCAGCCUGGGGGGGGGGGGUUCAAAAGUGGUGAGCCCCCAGGACAUAAGGCAAGCAAGGGAUCUGCCUGGGCAUUUGGGGGCGGCUUUUUUGGCCGCCCCCUGCAAAGUGCCAUCCAAGGCAGAUGCCUUGUUUGCUUUGUGUAAGAUACAUCUCUUUCCAGAAAGGUAUCGUCCCCUGUGCCUGCGUUCCUCUUUCCAUCUUUCAUCUUAUUUGUGAUUUACAAAAUACUAGCUUCAAGAAACUCAUCUCUGAGAUGAAUCUUCCUAUUCUCUAGUGCCAGGGAUAAUUACUUUAAUAAAUAGGAUUUUUGGGACUCCUGCCUACUACCAUAAUGGAAAAUCUAAUCUGCGGUAGUGAUUUGCUGGGGUACAGAUGCACUGUGUUAAUGACAUAGAUCAUAAGCAUAUGGCAAAACACCUUCGGACCAAAUGGUCCAGAAUACUCUGACCUGCAAUUAAUUUUUCUGGCAGGGAGCAGACCGGCUCAGCCCACACAUUUCAGGCAAACUUAAAUACUCCCAAAAGAUGCAGGAGUUCGAGGCAUCCUGUUGAGCUUUAAUAUACAUAUACUCUGAAACGGCAAAUCCUUCCUAGCAAGAAUUACAUAUCUUGAAUAGAAACAUGAAUAUAGGUCAUCAGCAUUUUGUCUGAAAUCAGAGAUGAUUGAGCUGCGUACAUGCAUCUAUUCUCCAAAUUAUUUUGUGGGCAGAACAGCUUAAGUUCAGAAUGUUCACAUGUUGAACAGCAUUUUGCUCCCCUCACCCUCUUCCACUAGUUCCACAGAGCACACAAAGAUAUUUAUUAAUAAUUGUAAUAUAGCCAGACCAGAAUACAUAUUAGAUUUUCACUUUUAACUAUUUAUUUGAGAUAUAUAUAUAUAUUUAUAUAUAUAUAUGAAACAAGAUCUUGUGUGAGAUGAUAUAUAUCUAUAUCUAAAAGUGGUUCUUUUCUCAGUGUCUAAGAUUUAAAUAAAUUCUAUUUAUUUUAUGGUUUUAUAUUGUGUUUGUCUUUCUUUCUGUCUGUCUGUCAAUUUGUUUGUCUAUCAAUCUGUCUGUCCGUCGUGUGUCUGUCUGUCUGUAUAUCCAUCCCAGCGCUAACUAAGUGCUACCAAAUGCAAUACUUGGCAUUGCAAUAAGAGCUCUGUGUGGGCAUUUGAGUGCACAAUUGUGUAGCCUUCGGUACUGGUAAUUACCUUGGGUAUACAGGUUUUGCUACUCUAUUGCACCUCUAGGAAAAAAAAUAGGUCCGGCCUCAGCAAGAAAGGGAUAUAAGCUAAAAUUGAUGUUGACAGCCAGAAAAAGGAGGGUUAAAUCCAGAGAAAGGUAUGGAGCUAGAUGGAAUGUGGUGCAAGGGGAAGGUUAAAUAUGUCAGCGAGGGAUAGAAAUAUAUAGCGGUAUAGGAGGAAAUAUGAGCUGAAGGGCUAUGUAGGUAUAAUAAUAAUGUAAUUAUAGGAGGAAAUAAUAUUGUCUGGCGAAAAAAUAACAAUAAGGAAGGAUAAAAGCAUAUAACAAAUACAUAAUGGUACGUGCCAGUAACAAUACUGAUAUAUUAAAAAUAUUAAAGACACACACAAAGAUACAUAGAGAAAAACACUGCUAGACACACACAUUUCAAGACAUACACUGCUGUACACAGAUACUCAUUGCCAUACACACAGACACAUUGCUAAACCCAUACACUGCCACACACUGCUACACACAGAGAAAUAAUUGUGUAGUUCAGUGUAUUUUAGACACCCUACUGUUUAUACAAGCCCCUGAGGUCCAGUGAGAGCAGGCUGAUGCAGGUUACAGUGUUCCUUCUGCCCCUAACAUGACUCUGUUUGUGCUAGGAGGACGUGACCUGUAUUCACCUCUAACUGGUCCCAGCAAUGCUGAAUGAAGUAGCUGCCGAAUCCAAGUUGUCCUGUCAGAGACACGGUCCAGUGCAACUUGUCAACACUGGUUUACCUCCCAUCACAGAAUUAAAAGGCCAAAAGCAGGUGCGGUGCUCAACUGGGCCCCGGAACAGAGUAAAGACUUUCAUACCCUGAUGGGGGAACUGGGCUAGCAUAUGGCAUAAUGGGAAAUAUAAUCCAGACAACAGUUGUGGUGCAGUUUGGCACCUCUAGAGUUAAAUAAUAUGUGGCGGAACAAGGAGAUACAGCAUGAAGUUUAACCCCUUAGGGACAAAUGAUGGAAAUAUUCCGUCAUGAUUCCCUUUUAUUCCAGAAGUUGUGUCCUUAAGGGGUUAAGAUGUGAGUCAGUGAAAAAAAUGGGCAUUGGUGUGAGAUUUUGUAAAAAAAAAUACGAAAUGAAGAGAGUAACGAUUAAAGUAAAAAUAUUCAAAAUUUAGCAGGGAUGUUCAGAAUGGCAAGGUAGUAAUAUUCCAGGGAGGCAAGGGAGGAACCUACGAAAUAUGAGUGGGGAGCAGAAAGGCUUUUCAUUCUGUCCGACACUGUCCUAGUGAAGACAGUAGGUUUUAAAUCAGAGACAAAAAUGUCUCUUAAGUUCACUACGACAAGUUACGUAUUACCGGAAUGUCAAUUCCCACUUUGUUUUUUUUUUUGUACAAAGUCCCAUACUAACCUGCCCUAUAAAUUAGAGAAAUCAAAGAGGAGAUUAAUUUGUAAACAACUGCUGAAAGCAAUUCUGCAUCUCACCGUCUCAGCUCAACGUUCUGACUCGCUCUGCAUUGCAGUCAGCUAUUGCCGUGGUUGGAGGUGGCACAGAAAGGUGAAGAUACAAACGGUGCUCCCUUAACUCUGUUGUAAGAGCCUAUCAAACUUUGAAAGUUGCAGAACAGGCUGUUAAUUAAUAUCAGAGCUCGCAGGAAAGAGACAGAGAGAGGCAGAGAUUGGGGAUGCUAACUUUUUUCCCAGUGUUAUGCAGAGAGUCAGUGGAAAGCCGUAUCGCUAGGUAACCAACAUGUAGCUCACUGUUCUGAAGAUUAACUCCAUUAAGGCUUUACUAGACAUAUAUCAACUAUAAACAAAUUGUUUCUGUUUUAGUAAUGCAUCCAUUUAUGUAAGUAUUAUCAUUAGCACCGACAGAGACAUUAUGUUUAUAAAAGUAAACAAUAAUAAUCAUUGCCAAGUACUGUAUUGGUAAAGUAAUAUCGUUGUAAAUAUAUUAUCCAAUUUACAAGAUAAAACUAAAUCGAUAUAUCUGUUGCGGAAGGUGAACUUCUGCUUUAGAUAUAAUAGAAGAGGAUGCUGGACUCUUACCCGGGGGACUCCUGCUGUGCUCUAGUGGUUAUGGUUUCUGGUCUGACGCCUUAAUGAAUAAAAACCAAUUUACGUCAUAGAGGUAAUGGUUUUUUCUUCAAAUUAUGGCCUCGAUUUAAAAUUUCUGGACGAGAUUUUCAAAUGAUUUAAUAUUUCUGGGGUAAUUUUCAAAUAUAUAUUUUUUUCAAAAUAUGAAAUUAUCAAAAAUAUAUCACAUAUAGAAAAUAUAUCAAUAGAUAAAAAUGUUACAUAAUUUGAUAAGCUUAUCCAAAAGUCUUAAAUUGAAGCAUAUAAUUGUAUAGCAUAGUAUCGUAAGGCCUUUGACAAGGCUUAAUGAUCUCCUUAGUAUACUGAGUAAUAAGAAUGUUUUCCUUGCACAUACCUGAUCUAUAAUACAUGAAUUUGACACAUACGCAUACUAACUUGCAUAUAUAAAGGUAUUUGGGGACAGAGAACUUGCAUUUGUAGUGCUGUUGGCCAAAACAGACGUAGGAAGUAGCAGCAGAGCAAUAGGGAGAAGUAAGUUUGGGGAUCACCUAGAACCACAGCAGUUGUAAAAGCCUACAGGUAAGAAAAAAAAAACAUAAAAAAAAUUAAACAACCUUAUCCUCAAUCCCGUAUGUCUAUAUAGAAGAACAAAUAAAAAUGAAAGAAUGAAUGGAACUGUGAAGGUCAGAUUUAAAAAAAAGAAUAAUAAUAACUCAGAGUAGACUGGGAAAAGCAAGUCCACUGGAAGAGAAUGGAAGCUAGUCUAAUGUAUAAGCUUAUAUAAUGUAUACGAUUAUAUAAAAGUAGGGUUUUAGUGCAUUUAUGUCUGCCAUCAAAUUUCCAUCACUGCGCUCAAGCAACUAGUCAAGAAAUGUCUCCAGGCAGGUUUCAUCUUUUCAGACUCUUGAAUACUCGUGUAAUGGCAUUGUAUGUGAAAGAAUGGAGAUUAUGAAAUGCAGUAUCAUUAGCUAUAGCUUGAGAGGAGUUUUAAGUCUCUGUGCUAUUGUGAUAAUGGGCAGUGUGUACAAUGGCUGCGUUAUCACUUGCAGUGCAUAAUGUGAUGCUGACAUUACCCUCAAUCUCUCAAUUACUUUGUAUAGGCUGAGGAUUUCAUUGUGUGUGGCAAUACUAAGUAAACAGUUUGGUUGCACGGCAAUCUUCCAACAGCUAAUGUGUGUCAAUGUAAGAGGCCAAUGUCAUUUUAGGAUUGCUUCUAAAGAACAUAUAUCUAAAGAUGAAGUGCUUUCUCUCCCAAUAUUAUACAGUCAUGUAGCUUUUCCCUGUAGUGUUUCCUUCCUGUGCGUAUAUAACUUUACAGGCUUAGUAAAAACAUUGCCUUUGUAUAGCUUUGACGUCAUUCAUUCCUCAGAAGGAACGCAAUAUUGGUGGUGCUUGCAUAUCCAGAGUCAACGAUGUCACUGUGAAGAAGAAGGCUGCCAGAGAUACCAGACAUUGAUCUCGAGCAUGGUUUUGUCAGGGACCGAUGCCAUUGGCUUGGAGACCCAUUCUUCAACUGGAAAAUUAUCUCUGUGACCCUCUGGCCAAGUACAAUACAAGCGGCAUUAAAAUACACUUGGGAAAUACAUGAAUCUUUACCUCUUUCUGCCAGUUGAUUAACCCAGUGACAUAUGGAACUAAUUUUGGGUGUGAUCGGAGGUUAAGAAAGACAGGAUUAGAGAGGCAAUAACGCUCCAACACAACAAUUUAAUAUAGACAAUUAUUUGAAUUAAAUUGAAUGAGAUUUAUACACACAUCUUUGGAAAAUGCUAGUUCUUCUCAUGUUUAAUUUUAAAGAAAACUCGAGUUAAUUAAUUCUUCUCCCUCUCUCUCCAUAUAUCCUAUCUGUCAAUAUUGGUAUUUGUCCACCUUCCAGAAUGGAUGUGGAAAGUAGGCAGUAAUAGUUGGCAGAGUGGCUUGAGCAUAUUCCAGGUGGGACAUCAGGGAUCUCUGUUCAGAAGAGUACAGUUCUAGGGCACUGCUAGAACUCUCUGUAGUGGACCCAAGAAUAAGGAAUACACAAAAAUGCUACCAAGAUAGGUAAGAAAAGCAUAUACAUUCUGGUUAUUCUGGUUAUACCUUUUACAUGUAGUUAAUAAAAAAAAAUAUAUUUAUGUAUUUAAGAGAUAUGCAUAUGCAGUGACUAAAGAAUAUGAAUGACAGAAGUAUAUGUGAGAAAAUGGCUUAGCCUUGGUGGAUUGUGCAAGGGAUGUGCAUUUUGUUAAUGAUGGUCUUUCAGCUGUUCAGUAAAUAGUUCCCUAAUUUGGCAUCCUUAUGUGGGAUUAUCUUGUUUAAAAAGAGCAAAAUAGGGAGGUAUCUGCUGAACAGAUUCAUAGGGAAUAAUGGGUGUCUGAAUUUCAGAGGGUCGCAACACAUUUCAGAAUCUAAGUUUGUUCUGAAUUGAUCAUUUCCAAAUUUUAGACUAACCAAAAUCUGAAAAUUAACAAAUUAAAAUGAAAUAAAAUACAUUUUUCAAAACAAGGCUGUAUAUGAAGUUGAAAGUCAAUGACAUGUAAUUCUCUAUCCUUAACCCUCUAGAGUUCCCUAAAAGGCUGAUCCUCAGAUGUAGAAAUACAAUUCUCCUGAUGCUUUGCCAGCCGUUAGAAAGGCAAAUAAUCAUGGAAACUGUAGUUUUAAAAUAUUUGGGGGUCUACCAUUCGGGCAACCCUGCUCUAAGCUAUUUUAUGAGUGUUCUAGCAAAGAUCCAGUUACAUAAAUAAGCUAAAGAGCCUUUCUUCCACUGCACACACCUGUGGGAAUCAAUAUAAAAUUUAAUUUUCCUAACUGUUCCAGUGCCAUGCUAAUCACAAAAAUUGGAUUGGAGAGCACAUAGUGAAACAAUUCCACUGGCUCAAGUGUUCAUCUGUCAUGACUGUUUUACAAAGCCAUGAUACUCAUGAAUACACCAUCAAUCUGAAUACACCAUCAUUCCAUCUCAGCUUUUCUCACCAUCACACACACAGAUCAUGCUGCAAGGCAGGUGGCAUGAAAGUCAGGCAGUGAAGCUUUGUGCGUGAUCAUCUUCCCCUGGCAGCCGCUCUAAUAUAUGUUGCUAAGUAGGUCUGCACUUUAAAAUCUGUGCUUGAUAAGCUGUUUUAUGCAGAACAGAAACAUUAAUUAUAUACUAGACUCAAAACUCCCCACAUCUUCAAGAAUUCUUUUUAGAGAGCCUGCUCUGAACUUGUUUUUUUUGUCCUAGCUAUUUAUGAGCAAAACAAGUGAAAAUCAGCGAAGUAGCAGAUCUUUGUUCCGUGACAAUAGCAGAGCGGAGCAGACAGGCUGCUUAUGUUAAUGUUUGCAUCAAGGGUCUGAUUGCUAUCUGUGCAAGACUUGGGUGCAUUAAUCUCCUGUGGCUGCACAGUUCACUUGGUCAAGAGCAGGGAAAACGGCUUCAAAUGAGAAUAUCAAUGCACCAGCUCUAUUCUGACUUCAUUAAAAUAUACAUCUGGAUUUUCAGUCCUAGAAUAAUACAGAAAAAGAUAAACCCAUUAUGCUCCAUCUUUAACUUUGUCAAUUCAACAACCCAACUUUACUUAUGCGCUGUAUUUUUCUAGCGUUACUGUUUAUUUAUAUGGAAAUGCUGUAGAGUUAAACACAUGGGCAUAUUUACUAAACAUCAAACUGUAGUAAAUUGGAAACUUAAAGGACCACUAUAGUGCCAGGAAAACAAACUUGUUUUCCUGGCACUAUAGUGCCCUGAGGGUGCCCCCACCCUUAGGGUCCCACUCCAGCCAGGCUGUAGGGGGAGGAAGGGGGUUAAACACUAACCUUCUCCAGCGCCGGGCUCCUUCGGCGCUGGGGACACUCCUCCCUCUUCUGAUGUCAUCGGCUGAAUGCGCAUGCGCGGCAAGAGCCGCGCCCGCAUUCAGCCAGUCCAUAGGAAAGCAUUCUCAAUGCUUUCCUAUGGACGCUGGUGUCUUCUCACUGUGAAAAUCACAGUGAGAAGCGCGGAAGCACCUCUAGCGCCUGUCAAUGAGACAGCCACUAGAGGCUGGAUUAACCCAUAGGUAAACAUAGCAGUUUCUCUGAAUCUGCUAUGUUUACAGCAGGCAGGGAUAAUCCUAGAUGGACCUGGCACCCAGACCACUUCAUUGAGCUGAAGUGGUCUGGGUGCCUAUAGUGGUCCUUUAAAUGGACACUGUAGACAAUAUAACCAUUUCACUGCAUUGAAUUGGUUAUAGUGCCUGAAGUCCCCUGAUCAAUUUUUGAGCAGUUUAACACUGAGAGUCUCUGACUUCCCAUAGUGUGGUCCUUGCUGGAGGUUUGGCUAAGUCAUAGAUUACAAACUUCCUUCUAGCCAUACCGAUUCAUACCAGCAAUGGGCACUGUGAUAGGCUUAAAGUAGUCAGCUGACACUCUCAGCCAAUCACAGAUGCACACUGCUUUUCAGGCGAAUGUUUUCUCGUUAGCCCAAGCAGCACCAGAAGGAAUGCACUGCUGCGGGCUCUUGUUUAACAUUUAAACAUUAAAAGUGGUUUAAUGCUGAGUAGAAAGACUGUGCUAGGGGACUCAACACACUACACAGUGCCUUUAAUCUCCCUUUAAGAAACAAUAGCUUAUAGGAAAAUAUUCUCAGGGCUAUUAAGCCUAAGUUUUGCAAUUUGAUUUUCAAUUCACUGCAUUUAGUUGAUAAGCCUCAUUGUGUAAUUGGUAUAUGUAUUUUGAUAGGCAGAAUGUUAGAUGCUAAAGGACCACUAUAGUGCCAGGAAAACAAACUUGUUUUCCUGGCACUAUAGGGUCUUUAGGUUCCCCCCCCCCAAGGGUCCCACUCCCACUGGGCUGAAGGGGGCUGAAGGGGUUAAAGAAUUCAAACCGCCCAUAGGAAAGCAUUUCUUAAUGCUUUCCUAUGGACGUCCAGCGUGUUCUCACUGUGAUUUUCACAGUGAGAAGCGCGGAAGCGCAGAAGAGCCUCUAGUGGCUGUCAGUGAGACAGCCACGAGUGGAUGGAUUAACCCUCAGUGAAACAUAGCAGUUUCUCUGAAACUGCUAUGUUUUCAGCUGCAGGGUUAACACUAGAGGGACCUGGCACCCAGACGACUUCAUUGAGCUGAUGUGGUCUGGGUGCCUAUAGUGGUCCUUUAAGGGCCCUGCUGCAAGUGUACAUUCUAAGGGAUAACAGUUAAUACUUAAUAAUGUACAAUGGGCAUAAAAAGCAAAUAUAAUUAUUCACUAAACAGUCCAUUGAAGUAGAUUUUGAAGAAAAAAAAAAACAAUUGCAGUUGUCAGCUAUGUCACAGCUCUUUUUUUUAAACUUAAAUGUUGCAAUCACUUUUCAAUCCACUAUAAUUCACUGCUUGAUAAAUAAACUAUAAUGUAAUGGUGGUCAUAAGCAAUGUGUGGAAGACCUGUUCACAUGAGUUUAAAAGUAAGACGAUUCUAGGAUAUAUCAAUUAUUGCUUCUGAUUUUAGAUUGCAGGCACGGAUCUCACAUUCUACUGUAUAUGUUUGUAAUUGGCAGUCUAACUAUGGUUUGCUAUUAAAUACACUAUGCAAUGUAUCCGGUGUUGCUAAGUUAGUUACCACUAUAAAAAUAUAUUAUAAUAAUGACAAAAUGUGGACAUCAGUCUGCAGCGUGAACACAUACCCUUCAUUGGACACUGUUUUUAGGAAAGUGGUAAAUGAGAUAACUUGUGGUUAAGAUAAUUCUAGGCAUAUAGGUGAUAAUGUUUCACUGCCUGAGAGUGGCUUAUACUCAGAUAUUACUUUACUCAUCUGCCCUCUACUCCCUUACUUUCAAUGUACUCCUCCUACUGAAACUACCAAAACCAGCCUACUCAUCAACCUGUUGCAAUAGACAGAUAAUCAUGCUAAUUUAGUUAAUUUAGCAAGAUGAUAAUUAAAAAAAAAAUAGAGGUGCACUAAAUAAAAAAUGUCUGCUUGGUCUUAACAUUGUGACCGCUAAGGCUGAAAUUUAUUGUAUAGCACAUCAUACAUUCCUUUGGAUCAAGGUUAAAUGGAUACUCUAAACACCAAAACAACUUUAGCUUCCUUAAGAGGUUUUGGUGUUUAGAUCGUGCUAUGCAGUCUCAUUGCUUAAUUCACUGAAAUGUUAUUAUUAUUAUUAUUACGAAAGGCCUUUUCAAACAAGCUUACAAUCUAUGAUGAUUUCAUGCAGGUAGGCAGAUGUAUAUCGUUAGGUGUUUUUCCCAAGGACGCUUACUGGUAAGGUGAUCUGACUAAAAUUAAAACCUGGAUUUCCCAGUUCUCAAAUAGGGACAAUACCACUGCCCCAACCAGGUGAAAUGCAUGGAUUGUUUAUGCAGCCCUAGCCACAACUCCCCAUAUGAGACUCACACUGCCUCCCUAUACAUAUUCUGAAAAGGAGCUCAAAUUUUUACUUCUUUUUUGUACAGUGUGCAAAAUAAAGUUAUUUGGAUUUUAGUUAGUUAAUUUAGAAUUUCUUAUCUAUUUAAAAAAAGUUUUUUUCUUAGAGCAUUAGUACAAGUAUGCAUCCCCAUGAGUAAAAAUUACAUGACAUCUUUGACGUGUUUGAAAUGUUGUAUAAAACAAAUGGUAACAAUCCCAGUACAAUCAAUCUGAAUUCCAGGUUAUAACAAUACAAAAUUUGUUUUGAAUGUUUUGCCUAGCAAUGUAUGUUACAUUUCAUAACAUGUCUGUAAUACUAUCAGGGGAAUCUCAAAUGUAACAUGUUCAACAAUAUUAGAGUACGUGCUGUAAUUUAAAGCUUUUUCCCAGUUUUGAAACCAUUAGGAGAACGUGAUAAAAACCUUAAGAACAUAGAAACAAACAAACAAAAAAAAAGAUUUAUUGAGUUAAAGGCAUGGGCUUUUUUACAUUUAUAAUAAUAAAAUAAAUAAAAAUAUAUUUCAAAAAAGCUCUUAAUUUCAAGAGGGAUAAGCAUAUUGUUUUUUAAAUAAAUACUUUUGCGGCCAAAUGAACCAAUUGAUGCCUGGUACAUAGCAAUACUUUUGUCUAAUUCUUCUUGAGCACUUGAGUCAAGUAGAAAGAAUCUAUUACAAUUUUCAUUGUGAUUCAAGUGGGCUGACUUGUACAGUUGAGACACUUAAAAAGACACUUACAAUAUGUUCAUGUAAUAAUAUAAUUUGCCACACAUAUGCCCAAGGUCACAGGAGUGAAGUAGGUGGGGUAGGAAAAUGCCAGCCUCUCAUUGCACACACAGAUCCAAUCUGCUGCAUGAAUGCAAAUGUAAGCACAAAGUAAGCCCAAGAUGGUAAAAUGUCAUGCGGUAUCUUCCACUAACCACAAAGACAAGUUAAAAUGCUUAUUGAUAUUGAAAAGACAUAAACAGAAGCGUGUUUGUGUUUCGUGUGGUUUGGAACAUUUAAGCACUUGGAGAAGAGAUUUUAAGGGGGUAGUUAACCAAUUUAAUUAAAUCAUAGUGAAGGGAAAAUGUGACUUCUCUGGGAUUUAUUCCAUUGAAUAAAACAUUGAAAAUCACUAACUAUUUUUCUUCAUGGGAUAUUCUGUUUUCUUUUACAUGUAAAUGAAAGAUUUGGCAAAAUAUAUCACAAUCCAAUUAAGACAACGUAAAGCAGUGCAAACAAGGGCUAAUAGAAACAUUGUUUAAUUUCUCCUGUUAUCUGUAUGCUUUGUCUAUGCUGACUGCUAGGUGCAAAUGACAGAUCAUAAAGAUAUGACGGACUUGGAGCUAAAAUGGAGGCACCCAGUUGCAUGAUAAAGAGGUGUGGAAUUCCGUGUUUUCUUUUAUUUUUCACACAUCACAAAUACACGUAUAUGUUAAAAAUAUGGAUUAGACCUUCAGAAAGACUAUUUUUGUAGGUUGCUGGACUUUUCUUAUGUUUUAGUCACCCUGUACCCAUUAUAAGUGCAGGGUGUGUGUAAUGUAAUCGUUUAGUAUUAAAUGUUAGUGUGCUCUCCUGUAUUGCUAUAGCUUGCAAUCAACUAGGUGGAUUGGGCUGUGGAGCCUGUACAGCGCCACCUGUUGGUUGCAAGGAUCUAGCAACGGUGCAUGCACUAACUGAAUAGCAAGGAUGACUAAUUUGCAUAUUCAGGUAGAUUUGCAUAUUGCUAUUUCUGCAAGCAGGAGAGGGGUUUUGUGUUAUUUAUUGCCUUUUCCACCCCUUUAUAAGUAUGUCAUUAUGUUUUUAUAAGUUCCUGUAUGUUGUCUAAUGUGAUUUGAGUGUUUGUAUUUUUAUUGAGUUAUCACAGUAAGUUUAAUGUAAUCAUCAUAAGGGCUAGUCCCAAGAAAAAGUACACAAGUUCCAAAAGGAACUAUGGGCUAGUCCCAAGAAUAACAAAGUUUUGCAUGUCUGUUCCUUUUGGAACUUGUGUACUGUGGGGAUUUGUAGGGAUCCUAGUGACAGAGUCUUUGAGCCUGUUUUCUGGGUGCAGAAUCCCUCUAGCCCUGGGAUAAAUCAAAAGAGCUAGGCCUGAGAGCCACGGUUGCGGAAUAGGCAGAGGGGAUGAUACCUGCCCGGAAGAAGGGCUGCAGUGGAAUAGGCAGAGGGGACAAUACAUGCCUGGAAGGAGAGCUGCUGCCUGGUCAGUUGCAAAAGCUCCAGAAGGACCAUGUCAAGCUGCGGUGACUUGGGGAAGAAGUGUUCCAGGGUCCCUGCAAGUGGCUAGAAAGCGGACUUGGCGGAGGUACUCAGCCAGGGUACAGGGAGCUCCGUCACAUAAACCUACUAUAAAAAUCCUGUGAAGUGACAACUCCCCUUUAACAUUUUUCAAUAAUAACUUGUGGAUAGAAGAUAGAAAAAAGGGGGAUUACAAGUCAGUCAGAAAAUAUAUGGCACAUAAAUGAUAUUAGUUAUGGUGUCGUAUAGUGUUGGUAGAAUAAUAGCAUUAAUUCUUGAAAAUUUUUUCAAAUGUUAUACAUUUUUCAUCAUCUGUUACACGCGUUCUGCUAAAUGAAGCCCCAUAUGAGUAGCCAAUCACAUUAUUGCCUCCACCAGGAUUGUUAGCCUUUGGCACAGCAAGUGUCUGUGAACUACAUUUACCAUGAUGCUUAGUCAUAUUAUAGAAUGCAGAAAAAAAGGUGGUCUAGAAGCCUGCUAUACUCCUACUGUUCUAGCAAGGUGGCCAAAAAGAUACUUAAAUCUUACUUCCUUGCUCCUUUUCCUGUGUGGUCUAACACUGACUAUAUGCUGGGAUACAACAUCACUAUAAACACAAAUAAUUUGGUCACUAGUCUCCAGAAGCAGUAGAUACCAUUACCUGUAAUGUGUGCAGUGUAGGGGCUAGCUGGACCUCAAAAAAAAUCAUGUUGUUGUCAUGCACUCAAUAAUACUGAACUUCUGCUCAUUCUAGUUAGUUUUUACUUUACAAACUCAAAUAAACAAAGGCAAUUUCCUGAGUGGGGAGAUGUUAGGUAGCUGCUAACAAGGAAUAAAUCUCUGCCGGCACUUUUGCACCAGCUGUAGCCUGUCUAGGCCAUUACCUCUAUAGCAAUUACUAUAAAUCAGUCAGACAAUCAGAGAUGUCUUUUUGCAAGCAUUCAGGACAACCACUUAACUCACCACUAGAGUAUAUGAAAUAAGUUUUCUAGUAAGGUAGAACAACAUCAGUCAACACAGCUGUAGUGCUUCGAAUUGUAAAGCCUAAAACACAAUGACUGGCUUAAAAACUAAACAAUGGAGGAUUGUAAUGCUAUUUCUACUUGAGUAUAUACUGUUUAAUUAGAAUGAUUGAACAACUCACUGGCAUCCUCAGCAUUAAGCAUGAGAUAACUUUUGAGUUUGAAUGCUGUAAUGGGCAAUAUGAAUGAUACGGUUAAAUCUUCUUCUACUCCUGGGUUAGAAUAAAAAUGAAUCAUUGGUCGAGAAAAUUUAGCUGGCUAGACAUUCGAGAUAAUGUUGAUUGUUGCAACCAUAAUAUUUAUAAAGUAGUAAAGAAUUCACACACUUGCAAAACUAGUGAGCAAACAUAUUUUUUGCUUAAAAGGUUAGUCCAACCACCAUGACCACUUCAGCAGAAAUACUGCACAUGCAGAGAUAAUUGCCAGGGGCUAGUGAUAUCCCCGACACAUGUGACUUUGUCAGCUCGGAACAGUGUUCCUAAUGCCAAUUCUGUGCAUAUUUUAUGUCUGUCCUCAGCAUACACUGCACGCUUGCAUUAGAUGUAAUAAUAUUAUCCAUUACAGGCAGAGUGCUUUGCCCUCCCUCCAACUAUACACGCUAUACACUCCCUGAAUUGCUUGUAUUUUGAUAAAAUGUCCUUGCUCGGAAAUUCCCUUCUACCCCCUCCCUCCCCGCUCCCUUUGCCAGCCCAAAAGAACAAGCAGGAGCUCUGAGCUGGCAAAACUGUCCAAUCAUAGGCUUCUUUAUGAGAAACCUGUGAUUGGACCUUGUGAAUGCCUCUGCUGACAUUAGUGGCAGAUUAGCACCAGGAGCUUUCCCCAGUACUUUAUUUUUUAACUUUGGGGAUGUGGUGGGGGGGAUAAAUUCCCAAUAGGGCAUUGUAAGCCUAAAAAGACUAAUUGUGGCAAAGGAUUGGUGCAACCCUUUAAGUGGAGACUCUAUCAAGAAUUUGAACAGUGAGCACAACCUAUCAAUCAUUGCUGUCUAAAUUUGGGUGACUGUGUACUGAUAAUGGGGAAGUGACAUGCUGUUGGUUCUCUGUUGUGAACCUUUGGUAUUAUCCUGCCAACAGCAGAAAACCUUGAGAGUUUCGGCUUUGUAUUCCCGUCAUACUCCUUAAAGAAUUAUUAAAAGUAUUCCUUGUUUGCCUGUUUUAGUAGCCCAUGGUAGCUAAAACGUAUGGUUGUUCGAUAGAAGUUACUGCAUGGGCAGUAUAUCCUAAUAUGGCUAGAGGUCAUUUUUCCUUACAGGUCUAUCUAGUUUGCUAUAUUUCCUAUGAAGGUUGCAUAGGGCAGACUGCAUUCUAUCAGUGUAAACACUUGUUAUUUUGUAACUUGGCUGCUGAGUGACCCUGGUCAAAGAACACUAUCCUAGAUGAUUCCUCCCUGCAGGUAAUGAUGGCUUGACUUGUUAAAAGGUUUUUCACUUUACAUUUAACACAUCUUCUGUUUUGUUUUUUUUUCCUAGCAAGCUCUGCGGAUCAUGCUGUGCCUAAUCUCUUUUCCAGUAAGAGAAUGCAAGUCAAUUCCUUACAUCUGCAAAACCUUCAAAAACACAUUGUUGUUGUAUGAGAAAUGAUAGUAAAGUAGGUUUUCCUCUUGACUGUAAUAACCCGAACAUGCUGCCUGAAUGAAUUAAAUGCUACAAAGAAAGCAGUUUAACCUUUCAGAAACUGAUGUUUAAGCACAGUAUGGCACACAAUAAAAAUAAUGGUUAUUUUAUUAAAAUGGAUCGUUACAGUUUAACUAGUAGCUUCAUAUGGUAAACAAUAAGAUCGCAAAAGGUAACUGGAAGUCAGUUAUAUUUUUAUUGAUUGUCAUUGUAUAGAGUCAGCGAGUUGCACCCUUUCAUCAUUAGUGAUCCACUAUAUUUUAUUUUGACCCCAUUUUUGUACAUAAACACCUCUUCUAUCUAUCAAAAUUCAAUGAGAAAAAUAAAAGAAAUGUUUAAUAUAAAACAUUCGUAACAAUGAAGCUUGCGUUACGAAAAAGAGUGCCAUUUAGAUAUUGUGGAGAUGUUAAUAAACCACUAAACCUUAUUAUGCUGUUAUUAUAUGCUGUUUUUUCCAUAAUACAUACUUCAAUACUAGACUUUCCUAGGAUGAAUGGACCCACAACAAUGUCAAUAUCAAUCUGUCUGUCUGUCUAUCUAUCACCUAUCAACUAUCUAUUUCCGUGUCUUUGUCAGUUUUCCUGUCUAUGAGGGCAAUCAAAUAAACAAGUAAAGCUUAAUGUUGGCUUAUAUAGACUAUUUAUGGUCUCGAACUACCAAGCAUGAGCAUUUCACCUCGUAAAUCUGCUUGAAUGAGAUUGCCAGGAAUUGCAAUAUGGUACUGGGAAAUGCACAGGUUGUUCAAGAAGUGGUAUAAAAGACAUGCAGCAGUAGCCUAAUGUAAUAGAAUUCACCAUGCUCAGAAACAGAACUACAGACUGUGGUCUGUAUCCAGCACCAUGGCCAGCACCUCCUAAACCUGGGCAAUAUUCUGUUAUCGGAGAUGAUUUAAAACAGGUUCUAUGUAAUAUAUACAUUACUAUAUAAAAUAUACGUAUGCAUGGAAAGAGCUGCAGCCUCUCAGAAUCACAGACGGAAAUCCUAGCAAGGUAUACUGAGCAUUUUACUAUCCAUAUAAUUUGUAUAGCUAUACGUAAUUAAUAAUAACAUCUAGCAGGAAUGCACGCUAAGAUUCUAUGAAGUUCAACGCUUUCAUAUUAUUAUAUUGUUUACAUACGAAAAUUAAACUGGCAUGGAUCCUCAUGAGUGAACUUGCUAAGUCCAAAUAUCAAAUCAACCUAAGUUGCAUUGACUCACGUUUGGAAAUAUCCCAGUUGAAAAUUGCCCUGGAAGUGUCAUCUCAGAGUUUGGUGACGAUAACCUAGUUUUAGCAACAGCAAAAUAUAAGAAAUGAUUAUUAAGAAACUGUUACUAAUGUGCUCUGUAGUGCUUAUGGUUACAGGGGUGCCUAGGUGCCUCUCCACCAUGUAAGGCAUUAGACCAUUUAGUAACACCGUAUGACGUCUUACCUGGUUCCAUGUGCAACUCCAAACCUCAUCUUUGCCAGAAGCUCAAUUCCUUGAGCUAAGUCCUGCAGGGUUUAGAUCAUGGGUCGUCAACCUGGUCCCUACCGCCCACUAGUGGGCGUUUCAGGAUUCCAGGUGGGCGGUAGGGAUUUUCUAAUUUUGAGAGACCGGGCGGGCGGGUGCGAGCCGGCGGUACCCCUGUGACCGGGUACCGCCAUCACCAUUUGUGGCCCCGGCCCGCGUGGCAAACCGCCGGUGCCGCAUAUGGAGGGUUCCAUCGGCCCAUGCUGUCAGGGCCGACCGAUGGAUGUGGAUUAUAAGGGAGCCCGGUCAGCGCUGGGCGCUUUAACAGCGCGACCGGGCCCCCUGUGAUUACAUAAACCGAGCUGGGAGGAAGUGACUGCACGCCACUCCUCCCAGCUAACACUGAGAGCUGCGCGGGAGGAAGACCAGGGAGUCAGAGUGGGAACUCUGACUGCCAUCCACCUGAGCCACCACUGGACCCCAGGGAAAGUCACCCUCCUGCACCUUAAAGGUAGGAAACAGGAGGGUGACUAAAAUAUUUUGUGUGUGUUUGUUUGUGUAUGCGUCUUUGUAUGUAUGUCUUGUGUGUGUGUCUGUCUGUAUGAGUGUGUCUGUAUGUGUGUGUGUCUGUAUGUAUGUGUCAGUAUGUAUGUUUCUGUCUGUAUGUGUGUGUAUGUCUUUGUAUGUAUGUGUGUGUCUGUAUGUGUGUCUUAUGUAUGUGUCUUUGUAUGUAUGUGGGUCUUUGUAUGUGUCUUUGUAUGUAUGUGUGUGUCUUUGUAUGUAUGUGUGUGUCUUUGUGUGUAUGUGUGUCUUGUCUUUGUAUGUAUGGGUUGUGUGUAUUUGUAUGUAUGUGUGUCGUAUGUAUGUGUGUCUUGUGUCUGUCUGUGUGUAUGUGCCUUUGUAUGUAUGUCUUAUGUGUGUCUGUAUGCAUGUCUGUGUGUGUCUGUAUGCAUGUCUAUGUGUGUCUGUUUGUAUGUGUGUGUCUUGUGUGUGUAUGUCUGUAUGUGUGCCUGUCUGUGUGUCAGUAUGUAUGUGUGUGCCUGUCUGUCUGUAUGUGUGUAUCUAUGUAUGUGUGUGUGUGUGUGUGUGUGUAUGUAUGUAUGUAUGUGUGCCUGUCUGUUAUAGUGGGCUAUAGUAAGUAAUAAUAAGUAGCUCAGCCUUCCUACUGGGCAUUGCUAUAAGGAAGGUUAAAAAUUUAAAAAAAAGGGAGAAAAAAAAGGUGGAGAGGGGAAUUGAGGAGGGAGAGGAGGGGAGCUGACACACAGAUGAGAAAUCAUAUUAUGCGCAAACAGAGAAGUCGUCUGAAUAUCACCGAAAAAGGAGACCUUUGUUUGUUCCUUACGAAAAUCGAACCAGAUAUCAAAUAUUUAGUCUCGCAGCAUUAACCUCAAGGAUCUCAUUAAUCACUAGUAAAGGUAAUUUCAAUUUACUUUAUUGUUGUCAUUAAACUUUAUAAAGUUAAAAACAUUAUAAACAUGCAUUAAGUAGAAAUAAAAAGAUAAAUGUACGUACAUUUAUUUUUUUUAAAACACCUUCCUUUCUAAAAAAUAUUCCGCACACUUGCGCGAAAACUGGUGGGUGGUAAGGAAAUUUUUUCAACCAAAAAGAUGCAUUAGUGGGCGGUAGGUAGAAAAAGGUUGACUACCACUGGUUUAGAUCAAUGUCUGGGAGCGAUCAGUUUGCACUGAAAUGCUUAGCAUAGGAGAGCUAACAGAAGCUCCUAAGUAGGAGAGGGGUUAUGUCAGUGGCACUGGGCAGAUCCUGAGUAAUGCACUGUAGUGGUUAUGGUGUUUGAUCCCAUUGCAAAGGAACACACACCCUGAAUUUAUUGAAGAAAAUACUGCAAAAUAGUUACAUGAUUAGCAUUUCGACAUAAUAAACAAAGGCGGAAAAAAACACAUUUUUCUCAGAUUACCCAAUAGAAUAAAUUGAACUAUUUCACAUUUUUCUCAAAAUUCUUAUGAAUAAUCUAUAUGACAGACCUAUCUUAAAAACCAGUGAAGCCCUGCUUGAUGUUUUAAGAGUAUAUUCACUGUACCUUUAGUAUAUAUAAUCUGUUCUGUGUGCUACUAAUGAAACAAAAAUAAUAAUUUAGGCAGUUGCAAACUUUUUCUCUCCACAACUAGGACCGGGAAUUAACUUUUUAUGCCCAAUUUCAUUUGGACUACGAUUUUUAGUUGAGCACAGUUAUAAACAAUUAUGAGCUAUACCUAUGCGGUAGCAAUAUUAUAGAGCAAAGAAUAUUUUUUUUAAAUAGAAUGAGAUGUAAUACAAGACAAGGCUGUUGGCAGCAGUGCAUUACAAAGGGAUUAUUGGAACAGUCACCAUAACUGCAUGCAGAGCAUUUUAACAGGUGUGCACCGGCUGUAAUAAGAUGUUCUGUCUUCAUUUUCUUCAUGCAGUGGAAUGCUUUCCUGCUGUUUAUGGGAGCUACAUGCUGGGAUGUGAUAAGUCCAAAUGCUACCCAGAGACUUCAAUUCACUGCUAAGUGGCUGCGUAUGCGGCUUCCAAUUAGAUUCCCUCCUCCCCCCCUUUUUAUAGAGAAUGAUUUUCUGAUUAGCCAGACUGUGAAUAGUUAAGUUAUGUUACAUUUUGGAUUCAGCACUUGCAAUUUUCAAAAUUCAAAUUUAUGAAGGAGAUCAGUUAUAACAUGAUAGCAAGCACCAUGAGUACAAAAUAGCACGCAACAGAAAGUAGUUAUCUAUUGCUAAGUUCAUUUGACACUAGUAGAGUUACAAAGUGACUCUCUAACCACAGAUCUGAUAAAUAGAGAUGUAGCAACCAGUGGAAGCCCAGAGCGAUUCUAGUAGCUGUACGUAUAAAUUAACAGAUUUGUGUCUAAAUCCCAAAUCUCUUAACAUUCUUUAACGGUACUGAAAUAACAUAUGAACACUUGGGUAAGGGAUCUAGUGUGUUUAGGAGUGCAGUAUGUGUGUGAGGGGUGCUGUAGUGUGUAAAUAUAUAUAUAUAUAUAUAUAUAUAAUAUAAAUAUGUUCGAAAGUAUUGUGUGUGUGUGUUUGGUGCAGUAUGUGUGUGUUUGGUGCAGUGUGUAUGCGUGAGGGGUGCAGUGGGUGUCUGUGAGGGAUGUAGUGUGUAUGUGAAGGGUGCAGUAUGUGUGUGUGAUGGAUGCUGUGUUUGAGGGGUGCUGUGUGUGAUGUGUGGGGGCUGUGUGUGAUGUGUGUGAGGGUGCUGUUUAUGAUGUGUGUGAGGGUGCUGUAUGUGAGGGUGCUGUGUGUAAGGGUGCUGUGUGUGAUGGGUGUGAGAGUGCUAUGUGUGAGAGUGCUGUGUGUGAUGUGUAUGAGAGUGCUAUGUGUGAGAGUGCUGUGUGUGAUGGGUGUGAAAGUGCUGUUUGUGAGAGUGCUGUGUGUGAUUAGAAGGGAUUGUGUGUGUGUUUGGGGGGUAAAAAACUAAAAAUAAAAUUAAGCAGGCAUUAUAUCCCCCUUCUUACCUUUAGCCUGGGAGGGGGGGACCGGCACAGUGGUACCUGGGAGAGAGUCGGAGGGAGACCGGCACGGUGGUACCUGGGAGGGGGGUUCAGGCACUCGCACAUCAUCCCUGGUGGUCCAGUGGUGAGUGAACUCUAGCCUGCGGGCUAGAGUUCACUCUUGCGAGAUCCGGUUGUUGCCAUGACAACGACCGGAUCUCGCGAGAGGAACCUGGCGGAGCUGGCAAUAUAGAGCUCCGUCGGGUCCUCCUCUCCCUCCCCAGCCGCAGGUCUGUUCAAGUGGGCCGGUGAGGGAGAGCUUUGAUUUCCUCACCGGCCCUCCAUGGAAUACAGCGGGGCCGGCGCUCGGAUAGUGCCGGCCCUGCAUAGACCGGCAGGAGAGAUCCUGUGACCUUCCCUGCCAGCCUUGGCCCAUGGCCACCGCGGCCCACCGGGCAUUUGCCCGGUGUGCCCAAUGGCCAGUCCGGGCCUGGUUGAGACACUGAACAGCAGUGCUGCCUACUGUGCAGCACUGAGCCAGGAAGCACCUUCAGUGGCCAUCUGAGGAGUAGCCACUUGGAGGUGUUCUUGGGGCAAUGUAAACACUGCCUUUUCUCAAAAAAGCAGUGUUUGCAUACAAAUUCCUGCAUAUAAUGAUUAUGCUCACCAGAACAACUACAUCUACAUUGUAGUUGUUCUGGUGACUAUAGUGUCCCUUUAACAUGUAACACUAAAAUUGAAAUGCCAUCAAUGUUACUAUGGUAUAUGCCAAUAAGCAUUUUCAUUGUAGCACAAUGUUGUAUAGUAGUAUCUUGUAUAAAUGAGCAUUACAUUAGCCAGCAAAAACAUUUUCAGCUUCCAGGUUUCAAAAGUUGAGGUGCGCAUUAGAUUCGAUGGCGCAAUAGAUUUGAGUAAAUACGGUGUAUAUAUAUAUAUAUAUAUAUAUAUAUAUAUAUGACAUAUGUUUUGAUAUUUUAAUAUUUUGGAAACAUUAUUUUAAAAGUUUAUCCAAAAAUAUUACACACUUUGAAAACCUUAUAAAAAAAAUUUAAAUCAAGGCCAUUAUAAUUGACCUUAUAUGCUGACUAAGCAUCGUGGGAGAAUUGUUGUUCAUUAAUAUCUCUUAGGUAUCUCUUAGGUAGUAAAGCGCUAUAAAUAUAAACAUACACCACACAAAUAAAUGAUAAAAAUUGUUAAGCAUGAGAUUUUCCAUUUUGGCUAUUUUGAUUUAGAUCCUUAUUAAUUCUGCUUUUUUCAAAUAAACCUUAAAGUGUAUAAAACGCUUUAGACUCAACCAGCACUAGGUUAAUUAAGACAAAAUCCUCACUCAUGCUCAAAGACCCCUAGGGUAGUUUAGGAUAGUCCUUGUUUGAACACUCCCAACCCCAUAACAACAUUUAAGUUGUUUUGGGGCAGAAGUGUUUGGGUGCUUGUCUAACCUUCUGUGGUUAAACCGUUUGGAAAUAAAUUAACCUCCAACGUCCAAAACAUUUUCUCCUUUCUGCAAAGCACUAUGAGAAGGGUUAGCUUGAUGGCCUGUGAUAACAUGAGAGCAUCACAUGAUGCUCUCAACCAAUUACUUUGCAUCCACUGAGAAAAAACGUAUGCAUAUACUAAUAAAAAAGAUCAUUAUACCAGCAUCUCUUUGGAGUAUGGGAAACAUAAUAACACUAGGAGGGACAAUUGUUAAAGAAAACUUAUGGGAAAGUGAGAGAGAGGUUAAGAGGGAUCCAUUUCAUACCUAGAAGAUAGGUUGUUAAAGGAGAUGGGAUAAGGCAGUGUUUAUAGCAGUUGUUUAUAUUUGCUAGUAUAGUACUGUAGAGUAUAAGAAUGUGGUUUAAUUGGGAGUGACAUUUCCUUUCUCACAAUGACAUAAUGGUUGCUUAAUUUCUUUCUCGGAUUCUUGGCUGUCCCCGCUAAUGGCUGGAUUUUAUGUAAUUUAACUAACUGUGUUCUAGUGAACAUAAUUAAAGGGCAACUUUCAUCUCAAAACUAAUUUUAAUAUACUCGUCGCUGACGGAUCCGGUCAUAUACUAAAAGCAGCGACGAGUAUUUUUUUAUAUAUAUUUCAUUUAGAAAAAAUAUACAUAUCUAUUUCCUUUCAAUACUUUAUAAAAAGAUUAAAAUAUUAAACAUAGUUUUGAGGUUGCAGGUGUUCUUUAAAUGAGGUUAUAUGAAGCUGCCCACAAGCAUUUUUUUGAGGGGAAGUAUGCCCAGCGUAUGGUGGACCAUCAAUAGUCUUUGGGGACAAUUUUGGAACCCACUGGUCUAAUAUUGUUGUUAGUAGACCUCGAUUGGUGCUGCUAUUUAGAAAGUAAUCAAUAGCUACAAGCUCUGUUAUAAAAUGUCUAUAGCAGCACAUUGUGCUGGGUAAUUACCUGAAAGACCUUGGCAACGAAUUUGUGACUGCUUUGCCAAAAAAGCAAUAGUUUAUAUUAUUGGAUACUAAAACUCAAUGGCCAAAAAUAAGGUAACUGUCUAACAUUGUAGUUGCUGAACCUUCAGGGAUAAUUAAGAAUGUAUUGUCUUAUGGUUUGGAGAAGUAGUCACUUCUAGAAAAUAUUCUUCAAUUUAUCUCUGGGAAGUUUCAGAUUUUAUGUAAAGGAUAAAGUAUAAAGCACAUAGAAAUGGCUGCAUUCCAUCCAAUAUAUAAAAUAACUGCAGAGGCAUGAUUAAGGAACCGUAAUCGGCCACUAGAAAAUUCAAGAGGCACAGGCAACUCUCUGAAAUGCUGUGUUGAAAUCCUUUUUUUAUUUUUCUACAGAAAAAAAUAGCCUUGUGAAUCCACAGGUAAAAUUGCAGCAGAGUUGUUCCUAAACAAGUCAAAUUUGGUAUCUGUAUAAAGCCUAAUUAUACAGUUCAAAAGCUGUAAAAGCAAGAGACAUUUAAGAGCAAAAAAAAAAAAAAAAGUAAAAUGCACAAACAAAAGACAUAGGUGACAAUUUUUCUUUGGAAAGGUCUAGCAAAAAGAACUGUCGACAUCGAGAUUUUUUUUGUCUCAUUAAAAUAACCUUUGGAAACUGCAUGUUCUUUGUUUUUAAUGUUCAAACAGUUAUUAGGAAAUAUGAUCAAUUUGGGGAUUUUUUUCCAUCUAGUUAUUUUGGCCAGAAUAUUGCAAGUCAGGCGUUAUGCAGUUAUUACCUCCACCCCCAGUCAUCAGGUCAGAGCUUAUUAUUUUUUUUCUCUAAAUCUUUCUCUUAAAAUUGCCAGAACUACAGACUCCUGCUAGACACUGAAUGUAUCUGAGUGAAGUAAAUUGCCAAUCACAAUGCCCGAACUAUCUUCAAACCCUGUGACAGGAGUGGGUUAAUACUACAUAACAGGGUCUUUAGAACUCUCUAUUAACACCUUUACUCCCAAAUCCAUGUAUACACAUUGUUGGUUUUAUUUUGCACUGCUUGCUGCUUUGUCCUACAUUUAUAUUCGUGCCAUGCAUCCCAUACUUUAAAUAAAUAUAACACAAGCAUUUAUUUUAACAAAAUUCACGUAUUGGGCUUUUACUGGAAAACAUCCAGAAGAGAUAUUGGUGCUUUGAAAAUCUAAUACAUUAUUCUGCCACGCAUGUGUUAGAGGAUCUGCUUAAAGAACACGUAUAGGGUUAGGAACACAAAUGUGUAUUCCUGGCCCUACAGUGUUAAAAGCAGCAUUUAGCCCCCUGGCUUCUUCUUUCCCCCCUUAAAUGUAGUAAUAAUUCACCUUAUUUCCAGUGCUGUGUGGGUCUGACAUCAUCAGCAAAGCAAUAGAUUGGCUGAGAUGAUAAAUACUGAUGAUCUCAGCCAAGGUGACGGUCUGGGGGGUGGAGCCAAAUGCUGCGCUGGCGAAUUAGCAUCUUCUUAUAGAGAUGCAUUGAAUCAUUGCAUCUAUUUGGGGAAAGUUCAGCGUACAGAUGCUGCCAUCUGAGGAGUGUCCAUUGGAGGUGUCCCUAGGCUGUGAAAAUGCCUUUAGGGACAGACUAUACUCACCAGAACAAAUACAUUAAGCUGUAGUUGUUCUGGUUACUAUAGUGUCCCUUUAAUAAUGUUUUUCUGAAAACACAGCUAUUUAGUAUAAACUCAAACUCUUGCACAUGGAGGGUGGGAAUGGGAGACUCUGGUCUCCUAUUUGGCACCUGGUUAAUGAGGGUUCCUGGGACUCAUGCAUGUAAUAAAUUAUCCCCAUCUGGCAACAUGAAAUGAAGGAGGACAAGUACUAAACCAUGGGCCCAAGUGCCUAUAGAGUGAAGUAAACAAGGCAUAUUCUGAUGUACCUACUUGAUAAAUAGGGGUCCUAAACACCUCUGCUUGAGUUGUUUUUUUUUAACCUAUUAUCCAUUGCAUUCAGGAAGUUGAGAGUGCAUGAUAACUUUUUCUGUUUGUAGUUUUUCUAUUAUUUAUUAUUUUAUUAGCAUUUCUAUUGUACCAACAUUUACCACAGAGCAUUUAAAUUAAAUAACAGGUAUAUACUGUAUUACAAGAAAUAUUUAACAAACAAAAAAUAAUAUGGACAUGUACAAGAAGGGAAGAAGGCCAUGCUCCAUCAAACUUACAAUUAUUAUUAUUAUUAUUAUUACUAUUUAGAUGUUUGCAUGCAGUUUAAGACUUAUGAAAUUGGGGUAUCUCAAAAUUUGCAUCAAAACAAAUAUAUCAAUUGUAUCUUCCUAUCCAGCUUGGGUAUUAUAUCCGACUUUUACCAAUCACAAGCAUUUAUGUUUCAGAUCCAAUAAAAAAUAUUUAAAGAUAAUAUGGCUAUUUUUUUUAAAGCUGUGAUCGUAUUUCAUAAUGAUAAAAGACCUGCACAAUUUUUUUCCCCCUGGCGAUCAAUACGAAAAAGGGUGUAUGCGACACAAUGAAAGUCACCUUUGUCAAGUGUCCUAGGCAAUGAUGUCACCUUCAGGUAUAGCCCUACAUGCAUGGAUUUUAAGACGUCCUUUCAAGAAAAGAAAAAAAAAGCAGUAGCCUGUGAAACAUUAAUCAAAUUAUCAGGCUGAGAUCUAUACCCACUGAGUGUUUAUGAAAUUAUGAGGCUAUUUUUGGUUCUACGUUCCAUUUAGCUCAUGAAUGCUAUUUUGGAGCCAGCAGCCCUUAAGGUGCACAAUUUGUACAAUGAUAGAAGCAUUCAUUCGCUUCCCUUUGUUUUCCUAGAACUAUCAGGUAAUAUUUUCUGAAGAGAAAGAAAGUUUUAACCCCUUAGGGACAAACAACAUGUCAGAACUGUGACAACAGCAAGGGUAUUUGCCCAACAGAAUGCUGUGGGGUGGGAGGUGGGGGGUUAAGCCACUAAUAAAUGGAAUAUCAAUGUACUGCAGCUGACUUCCCUUUAACAAAUCUAAUAGUGCUAAAAGGAAAUUUAAUUGCAUUUGUUUCACUGGGUAUUAAAGGUGAAGUAUCAUUGAAAGAGAAUUUUUGCUCAAGAAAAGGAAAUUUGUCACAAUAACCUUUACUAAAUGAUUAGCCUCUCUGGCUUUCUGCCUUUAUGAGAUUUGCAGUUGUAAUCUUCCAAUUAUUAUGAAAAUAAAACAAAAAUAAAAAAGUUUGUCUAAAGCAGCCAUUUUGAUUCUGUAGCAGGCUUUUUUUCCCACAAGAUAGGCGUCAUUAAAAGCUUGUAUGUAUACCACAUUAACAGUAUCUUGAGGUCAAAUAAUGUCUUGCAAUCAAUCAUUUUAUAUCACUUCAAGAGUCUGCCAAUUCACUGGACCGCUCUAUGUAGUACUUAUGGGGUAAAGAGUCUUUGGGUGCUUUUUCAUGAUUAAAGGAACAUUAUAGCCACCAAAACAACUUUAGCUUAAUGAAGUAGUUGUUGUGUAUAGCUCAUGACUAUGAAGUCCCACUGCUCAAUUCACUGCCAUUUAAAUGUUAAAUCACUUUUGUUUCUGUUUAUGCAGCCCUAGCCACACCACUUUGUCUGCAACAGACAAAGCCUGCAUGAAAUUAAAAUGGUUUCAUUUUCAAUCAGAUAUAACUUACUUUAAAAGUUUUCAUCUCCUGCUCUGUAAAAUUAACUUUACUUACAUACAGGAGCCUUCUGCAGGAUAUAGAAAGCUAUUAACAGAGCAGGAAAUACUAAUUUGCAAUAAAGGAAGAGUAAACAUUAAAUUACUCUUUACAGGAAGUGUUUAUUAAGGCUGUGCAAGUCACAUGCAGGGAGGCUUGGCUAGGGCUACAUAAACAAAGUGACAGACUAUUGACCAGUGAGACUGCAGGGGCAUAUAUAUACACCUGAAGUUGUUUUGAUGACUAUAGUGUGUCUUAAGUCAGUCUAUUUUGGAGAGGUUUGAUGAAAAUUUCUGUACCCAAAGCUUAGUCGCCCUCAUAAAACAUCCAGCAGGAAUGAUGCUGAGAAUCUGGGGUAACCUGUUCAGCUCCAAAAUGGUUUGAUGAAAACUGAGGAACAGUGUCCAAAGUUUUUGUUCAAUAUCCACUACAAUGUGCUGUAGUGGUCAGAAUACUUAGACAAUAUCAAAAUUAUUUUCUCAAGCACAUACUCAUACAUUGUAAUACUCAAUCCAUUCUCCAAAUCAGCAUUAUGUGCUCAAUGUCAGACUGAAAGAAGUGCAAGGAAAUUGCUGCUGGGGAAAGAAAGGAGAAAGGAUAUCCAUUGACAUAUUAAUCAUAAUUGCAUUUAGCAUGUUCAAAGAAAAGGAAACACCUCUUGCAUUCUAAAGGAACACUCCAGGCACCUGGUGCCCUCCAAAUAUUUUCUUAAAAGGCUUGGAUGCUUUUUUUGCGUAAACAGAAUAUUUAAGGACAUAACUGAUAUGUAUGUAAACAAGCUGUUGAUCCAAGAAGAAAUGUGACUGCCAUUAUGGAGUCAGACGUUUUUUUUUUAUUUUUGUGCAUAAUUGGAAAUGGCUACAGUUGUUUUUUUGGUUUUUUUUUGCCUUCUUUUGGAUCAAAACAUAAAAAAAAGGUUUCAAGAUUUAAAUUAAUGCACUUUAGUAGUUUUUCAACCUAGUCAACUAUAUAACUAUGUAGUAAGAGGAGGGUAGGUAGCUCCUGUUUGUCUAGUUACUUGGGGGCGUGCUGAGCCAAUAAUGGCAUCCUAACCACUACAGAGCACUGUAGUGGUUUUAGUGCUUAGAGCGUUCUUUUAACUUCAACGCUUCAUCUUUAAAUUUACAAGAGGAAGUGGUAAACAUUUUUUUAUUUAUUUAAAAGAAAAUUGUACACAAGUGUAACAGUGAUGCAAGAAGAUUAUCAUUCCCUCAUUGAAGUGAUCUGGGUGCAAUGUCCCAUGUCCCUUAACCCUACAGUGGUAAUUAGUGCAGUUUCUGAUAAACUGCAAUAAUUACCCUGCACGGUUAACUCCACCUCUAGUGGCUGUCUACCAGUUGGUCCGUUAUCUGACGCUGGACGUCCUCACGCUAUGCAUUAGGACCUCCAGCGUCAGAUUUUUUCCGGUAGGAAAGCAUUGAAUAAUGCUUUCCUAUGGGAAAAUCUUAAUGCGAGCAGGGCCAUUGCUUUGCAUGUGCAUUAGCUCCCCCCUGCCGGUGGACUGCUGAGGGAUAUUAGCGCUGGAUACAGGUGAGUGACUGCAGUAGUUUUAACCCCUUCAGACACGCAGGGGAGGGGGGCGGCGGGCACGAGGAAGGGGGACACUGUAGGAUUCUACACUGCCAGGAAAACGUGUUUAAUGCGAGCACAGGUCAGCACGGCAUUAAAAGAAACACUAUUACACAUGUGCAGACAGGGAGGCAUGCUCCCAUAGACAUUUUGAUAGGCCAAGUACUGCUUAAAAAACUCUCGGUCAACUUGUAGACAUGUUUGAUGGCUAUAGAGCAGGGGUGCCCAAAAGGUAGAUCCUCAGAUGUUGUAGAACUACAACUCACAUCAUGCUUUGCAUAUCUUUAAAGUGCUUUUAGAAUGACAAAGCAUCAUGAAGUAGUUUUAAAACAUCUGAGGAUCUACCUUUUGGGCACCCAUGCUAUAGAGGUUUUGGGUCUUUGUGAGCAUGUUUUUUAAAAAAUUCAUUAUCUCUAAUACAUUUACAUGAGUGGUAAAUCCAUCCUGGAGUGUCCUUUUAAAUGUGUCUGUUAGGGCAUUCAUAGUGUGUAAAGUAUACAUUGUAACCGAUCUGACCUUUAAAAUAACUGGCUUAUUUUUUGGAUCACAGGAAAAAAAUAUUUUUCAUUUUCAACAUUGAAGGAUAUGGCUGUUUUAUAAGUAAGAGAUUGGAGUAGUCUCGCAACCUCUUGUGUCUUAAAGGACAACUGUUGCUCUUUUGAUCUUAUUACUUAUUCACUAUAUUUCACAAAUAUGUGUUUGUGACAUCUGAAAAAUAAAAUGAAAUGUAGAAACCCGCAUCACUGUGUUUAGCUCUGCCCUAAAACUUAGCACCUCCAUCAUAACUCUCUGACAACUGUGAUAGAAUUUAUCUUGAUUCCAAGGCUCAAGCUUAUACGUGUCAUAUAAUGAUAUCCUAUAUUAAAAUUGGCUAACUUGGACUCAGGAAAUGCUUGAUGCUUAAACAACACUUAAGACCAUAUAUGUCUAGUUCCGGGAGCAGAGAGCCCCCACCUAAGAUGUCUCUUCUCUAAUCUUUUUGCUCUUUCUUACCUUGGAACUUAUUUGUUAUGUGUACAUGACGUUCAUUCCUAUGUCUUAUCUGUACUCUCUUCCUAUUACCGUUCUAAGAGUAUUUGCACGUAAGCACUUACUUUUUAAUGUAUAAAACCCAGCUGAUGAAUAAAACGUCAGAGGCUUAUUUUGAAUACCAACAGGUGUCUGGUGUCUAAUUCUCACUUCUCCAAGUGCACUUGUAACAACAAUUCGGGCUUCCUCUGAAUAUAACAAAGAUCAACAUUUCUGAUCCACAACAAUUUGGUGCCGAAACCCAGGAUCUGACGGUCAAGAGACUCGGACACUAGCGUACAGGCGGACGUCUCUCUGACAGUGAAAUCAGCUGUACAGCAAGGUAAGAAAAACUUUUUUUCUACCUUUAUCAAUUUCGCUCUCAGAUCCACGUCCUACUAGUCUGUCUGAGUAAAGAACGACGUAAAAACGUCUGAUCCACAACACAACCACUGGUAUAAGUGCUUCUUUUUUCUGUCAUUAAACAUAGUUUGCUUCUUUUCUUCUAGCACCCCAGGUGCCACUUGAUAGGGGGUGCCAAUUAGUCGCAUCCGAGCAGCACAACUUACUCAUGUGGAGGAGGAGGUGCCGAUCUGAGCCUCAGACACUGGGUGUGGGCAACGCCAUGGCGGCAGUGCCUCAGCUGCAGGGAGCAGCAAGCAGGCAAUCCAUCAUGUCUGCCAUCCACUGUGAGUCUGCUUGACAAUAUUUUUAAUGGAUAUAACUGUAAGGGGUUGGACAGUGGGUUUGGGCAAGGGUUUUGUGGAGGGGUCAGGGGUUUGUGGGGGCAAGGGUUUGUAGGGUGGGCAGGGAUUUUGUAUGGGGACCAGGGGUUUUUAGAGGGGAGGAGGGCAGAAGUUUGUAGAGAGGGGCCAGACAUUUGAAGAGAUGGGGCAGAAACUUGUGGGGGGAGCAGGGUUUUGAGGGGGGAGCAGGGGUUUGUAGAGAUGGUAGAUGUUUGUAGUGAGGGGUGCAAUAGUUUGUAGAGAGGAAGGCAGGGAUUGUGUGGGGCAGCAGCAGUUUGUAAAGGGGAGGCAGGAGUUUGUAGAUGAGGGCAGUUUUUUUUUUACAAUGGGGGGGGGCAGGGUUUUUUGUAGAAGGGGGCAGGGCAGAGGGUUUUGUAGAAGGGGGGCAGGCAGUUUGUAAAUGUGCCUAGGGAGACAUCCGUCUUAACUAGAACUAAAUAAAUAAAUGUGCUUAUUUAUAUACCCAUUCUUAAUGUAUUUUGAUAUAUAGGAUUAGGAUUUUAAGGGGGGCGGGGGGAAACAAACACAGUAACGGCCCCUGUGCCAAAUACUCUAUGUCCGCCCCUGCCUAGACUGAACUGGAAUAUGUUAAUUGCAUUGUCUUAUAUGUACCUUUAAAAGAAAAUGGAUCAUCACAUGGAAAAAAAUUAUUAUUACACAUUACAGGUAAUUUUCAGUGUUUCAUUCAAUUUAUUGUAUUUUGUCCCGAUAAGUGAUGGUCACUUUCACUUUGAAUUCACAACAAUUCGCACUGUAGUGAAUAACCCUGGAAUUUGUGACUUAUCAGGAUUUUAAAGUACAUUUUAAAUUUUCCUUUACCAAUUAACACAUCUUGCAAUUUCAUUGUCAGCUUAUGUUUUGUCUGUACAGAACAGCACAACCAAAUGUUAAAAAAAGAACUAGAGAUACAAUUCUCCCGGCACCUAGACCAUAUUAUUAAGAGCAAAAUAGUGUUAUCUGGAUUAAUAAGCAUCAUCUGAAGGAGAUAAAUGUUUCAAAUUCCCUGUUCACUCUUUCAUAUAAUAUAGCAGUCCUAUGUGUCCUCUAAUAUAACAGUUGUUCACAGUAAAGGGACUGCACACUUAUAGGAGGUGAAAAAUUACAAAUUCCACCUGUUCAACGGCAGACCUGGGGUGGCAAAAACAAAAACCACAAAGAAAUUAAAGGAUCAGAGAACUUGACUUACAAAUAGCAGGCUUUAAUAGCAUGCAGCAUACAUGGUGAUGACAUUUCGACCACACAAUAUGGUCUCUAUCAAAUCGGGUGAGCAAAUGACAAAUUACUAUUUUAGAGCCAUAUCAAUUGAAAAAUCAACUAAGUAGUAAAAGCAUUUUUACUUGCAUUUUUGGAUCUAUAUGUCUUUUAUAAAAGUCUUGUAUAUAGUAUUUGUUUACAUCAGUUUAGGUAAAGGACUAUGGCUAGUAGAUGGUCUUUUGUCAUAUGCUCACAAAAUGUGGUAAAGACCGUAUUGUGUGUUUGAAAAGUCAUCACCAUGUAUCUUGCUUGCUAUUAAAGCCUGCUAGAACUAACAGAAGUGCUCUGAUCCUUUACUUUAUUUGUUCUAGCAUAAUAGUGACUUAUGUAAGAUUUAUUCACUAAACUAAAUUCUCGUGAAAAUUUGGAAUUCAGAAUUUUGGGGAGUUUGUGUGCAACUUACAUUGGCUUACUAGGACACCAAUUUUGAUGUCCCUUUUAGAAAUUGAACUUAGUUUACACUAGUGGCACACCACAACACCCAGUCAUGUCAGAUAAUUAGACAAAAUAUGAUCAUCAUGACUUGGAAGUUAUUCUGCUAUCACAUGACAAAUACUUUGACGUAAACAAGGCAAAAGGAGAGUUUCUUAUUGAGCUGUACAAGUGCCAAAUACAGCUGUAAACUGUACAGUGAAGAUGGAUAUAUACGUAUAUAUUGAGAUAAGUCCCUGGAGGACUGAAACGUUGACACCAUUUACUGGAAAUUUGAUACUUUGAAUAAACAGCACGAUUUGAAAUAAUUCUGAGUCCUGUGAGUGCACUUCAAACGAGGAUUCAUAUCAUUGUAAAUUAAAAUGGUUAAAUGCAAUCUGCUCACCACCAGAGGGUGCAAACCACUUCAUAUAUCUUCUCUCCAUCACAACAUUAAAUGAUGCCUUUCAUAUAUCAACAUUUCCUUACUAUAAUUUUUCUUUAAAUAAAGGUGCUGAUUUUAUAAGCUCUAUUAAUGUACUAAUGGACAUAUCACCUUUAUGAAUGUCCUAGUCCUAUGCGUCGUUGUCUACAAUAAAUAAUGUUUUGCACACUCCUUUAGAAUUUAGGUUUCAAAAAAAAUCUAAAUAUUAAAUAUGACAGUUCAAGUUUUUUUAAAUUAUGAGCUUUCGCUUUAAAUCGUUCCACUAACCUACCUUACAAACGGCAUUCAUAUAUUACAGGCAGCUCUGAGUUAAUAGUUCCCUUUUGUAUUUACAUAAACACUUAUAUGCAUGAGUCAAUACUCCCACGUCCUCUAACACUUUGUCUGCGCAUUACAAUGCAUGUGAGCUAUAAUAUUCUAAAACUGUUAUGAAAUAAUGAGCAACUCCAUAUAAAUCCACCAGUAUUGAAAAUUAAACCACGGUUCUGUCUAGUGUAAAGAUAGCUGGAAAAAGAGACGUGAAAAUAUACUUAUAGAUGUAGAAUGUGAGACCUGUUUGGAGUUCUCCUAUCAACAAGAUUGCUGUAAUCUGACUUUAGAUUCCAACAAAUGUUUCAUUAUUCAGAGCAACAUGGCAUAAACUACCUUGGGCCUGAUUUUUUUAAGAGAAACACCUGCAUAUUGCUUGCAUCACAUACUUUUAUAGUUUAAAAAAAAACAAAAAACUAUAGUUUUAGAUUAACUCAAACAGCAGUAAUGCUGUAUUAUUAUAACCUAACAAGCAAAUAUGAAAAACUCAACAUAUAAAAAGAUGUAUAUCAGAUUAUAGUUUGUAUUAUGCACUGCAAAAAGAUAGGACAUUUGACAAUCCUUUUUUUUUUUUUUUUUUUUACUUAGGGUAGCACUCAAAGUUAAAGUAUUCUUAUUACAUACAGUAUUAUAUUAUAAAUAUAGUUGAGGAAUUUGCACAAGUGUAAUGUAUGGCAUAUAAAAAGAUACAAAACCAUGUGGAUCUUUACAGAUACAUGCAAUUCAAUAAAACACAAUAUAGUGUAAUAUUGGCACUUAGUGGAGGCUUGUCUAUAGGGGGUUGGAAACCAUUCACCACUCAGAUUUUUAUAAAAUAAAAACAAUUACAUCUAAUUAUGUCAAAAUGUGUUUGUAUCUUUUAUGACCCUCCUUGUCCCCAUAUUCUCUAGAUAUAGACACCCCAUAAAUGUUUAGUUUGUUCUUACAGAAUUUAUGAGGUCACCCAUUGGCUGUCAAAUGUCAGAUCAUUAACACUUUAAAAGACAGGGCUGUGUACUCUCCUCUCUUCCAGGGCUUUCAUUGGAUAGCAUCAUCAAGGGGUGGUGCCAGACCAUUUAUAAAUAGCUGCUGCUUCCCAAAUACAUGUAUUCAUAAGUUUAUAUUGAACAGUGCAUAACCUCUAAUUGGAUCAUUGAUUGAGUACAUGGAUUUUAUAGAAAGCACCCAAUAAGUUAAAAGGCAGAGUCAAAUUCCAUGGUUAGAGUCAAGUCCUUCAUUUUUAAAAUUCACCAAUGAUGUCACUAUUAUGGAAGAAACAGCAAACUGAUAUGAAUUUGCACUCACACUUCAUAGAGUCACAUCUAGCUCAUUAUUAUUGGCACUUGAUAUACAAAUAAAUGUGCAGUGUCUUAGAGAUAAUGUAUCACAGAAGGUACAACCACAGAUGAAUGCUAAAUAAACUGCAGUUUAUGAGGAGAAAGCGUGUACAUUAAAUGCUUACAUGUAUUGCCUAAAGGGGUAUAAUCCCCACUUUAAAAUAUUUGGCUGUGAACCUGUCAUCUCUCAGAAGGAUAUACAACGUAAAAACAGAAGAAAUAAGGGAGACUUGUUCUGUUACUGGUGGAUAUUAGACAUUUGCAUUUGUUUUCGUUCAAAUAUGAUUUCGUCCGAAAAUUCAGUUUUUUCCGUAUUCAUUUAUUAAAACGCAAACGAAAGCCCUAGAUACGAAAUAUAAACAAAACAAAAGGGCAAAUGCUGAAUGCAUUACCUUUUCGUUUUGUUUCAUUAGUUUAAUUGACUUUGUGCUGCAGGAGAAUUAACCCCCACAACACUGAGAAAUAACACUGCGCAUGUGCAGGGGAAAAAGAGCACCAGCUUCCUCCUUGUAAUACCAGCUCUCUCCUUGUAAUAAUAUUAAUGCCACGACUAGGAGCAUGUGGGAGGAUUUAACCUCCCUUUUAUUAAUAUGGGGGUCAUGGUGACUACCAUAGGUUUUAAUACGGGGGGGGGGGUAGGAUUGUUAAUUUAUUACAAGGAGGGAACUGAUAGUGUCAGCUCCCUCCUUGCUUUUUUUUUUGGCGCAUGCGCAGUGCUGUUUUUGUCCUGAAAACGAAUGGUUUGUGGACGAAAUUCGGGAUUGACGAAUGAAAUUUUAACACGAAACAAAAACACAUGAGAUGCACAGUACAGAGGUAACCUUACUUCUUUGAAUUAACCAUUGCGAUUUGCUAUUUUCUUGAAUCAAGAGAAUAAAUAAAGGAAGCUUUCCAUGACCUGAGGUGAAGGGAUGUGCAAAAUACCUCCUUUUUCACUUGAACAGAUAGAUCAGAUUGAACUGAAAAAAAGACAUACUGUAGUCAAAACUUUGAAAAUACUUUCUCAAAACUCACUAUUUAUUGAACAGACCCCGCAACUCUGCAUUAUUUAUUGUCUCAUUGCUUUGCUGGCAGCAGUAUAUACCAGCUGUAUAGGAAGCAUAUUUGGCUAUAAGAAAAACAAACAAAUAAAACAAACAUACUCUGUCUGUCCUAUGUAUUCUCUCCUAUCUUAAUGUUUUUUUACCUUUAUUUUCAGUAUUGCUUGUUCCAAGACAAACAAUUUUGUGUGGGCUGUGCAGAUUUCUCCCUGCAACUGUAGUAAAACAAAGUGUGCUCUUUCUUAUCGUAUUCCAGUCAUUAACAGAUGCUAUCGAAUACUUGGGUUAGUAUUAAAUAUUUACUGCAUCCAUAUCUUCACUUGUAUGCUAGAGACAUAUUCAUUUUUUUUCAUGCAUUAGUUUACUUUUAAACAGGUAGUGUUGCAGUACUGUUUCCAUCAUGCUAAGCUAUUUAGUAGUAAUAAUUUAUGUGAUGAAUAGAUGUCUCUGAGCACCUAACCACCACUGCCCAAUUGUAAGCAGUCAUACCAUUUUUGAAAGAUUUGACUCCUUAACUGGGGUCCACCAAACACCAUUCCUCACCUCCACAACUAAUGUCUGUUCCUAAGCAGAGCUUUAGUGGUUAUGGUUCUUGGAGUGCUCAUUUAUUGAAUGAAUAUGCCUGGAUAUGAUGGCAUGGGCAACGCCUUCUUAAGCUGAUAGUCUCCUCCCCCUGUGCUAUAAUUGGUUGUAUGUGUGCGUGAAAAAUAAAAAAAAUAUACAUUGGGACUUGGGAAUAGGCAUACACAUUACAUUAUUACUUGAAUUAGUUGCUUAUCUAUAUUGGAGAUAUAUGGUCUCUGUGUAUUUAAGCUAUUAGGUUCGCUUGGUGUAAAGCCAAUUUGGAAUGGGUGAUUGCUUUAUUUAGCCUUGAGGCUAAGUUUGAAGUCAUUAUUUUCAUUUUCCCAGUGAGAUGUAAAAAGGGUUGAUAAGGUUCACAUUUUUGAGUGUACUUUCUUUCCUUAAUGAGCAUUAUAAAAUAUACCUUUUCCAGAGUAAUUGGGACCUCUAACUAUCUUGCAAGAGAUUUGGCAGGCUUAGUGAUCACAGAUACAUUUGUAUUAAAUCUUGAAAUACCCAUUAUUGAUGUGUCUUACCAAGGCUACCCUAAUCGCCAAAGCCAAGCUUUAUCCUCUGUAAGAAUUUACUUAUGCUCAAAACAAAAAAAUGCACAUAACAGUGUAAACCAAACUUUUAUAUUCAUCACAAAAAUAAUUCAUGUGUCUCCAUCAGAGGAAAAUGUUCAUGAAUACAAUACACGUAAAAGAAAAACAGACAAACAUAUAAUAGUGCAACCUAUAUGGGAAACAAUAAAUAUGCAAAUAUAAAGAAUAGUGAAAAGGUAGAAGAUGCUAAAAUUGUAGGCAUGGUCAAAUGGGCAGGUGACUUACAGACUAUAAAGACACCUUCGGCUCUAUAUACAGCAUUCAGAAAUGAUGGUUAAUUGAAGUUACAUUUGUGGGGGAAUAGCCGUGGAGUAUCUGUGCAGCUAUAUUGAUUCAGGAGCGUCACAUUUUCACUUUGUAUUGGCUCAAGAAUUUACUCACGUUUAUAUCAUGAUUCGAUUUCUAUAAAUCAGACUGGACAGUGACAGAUAAUCCUGGUCUUACAGAUGCACUUGAAAUACAUUUCUCAUGAUUAUCAGGUACCUUGUAGGUAGAUCUAGCAUCAUAGGAAAUGCACUUUACAAAAAAACUAAACAAGAUUAGGCGUGAUAGCUCUAAAAUCAUAGAAAAUACAGCUUAAAACAUCAGAAACUAUUGGUUAUCACUAUCUACAAUGCAAUGGAGCUGGUCAUUAGGGGCAGGUGGUGUGAUGCCCCCCCCACACACCCCCCCCAUAGAUUUUGUUGCAAAAAUAAAAUCGAAAUUUUUUGUCAUUGUGAGGACUACUGAUAAGAGUUUUAGAAAAUGUGCCUAUCGGGGGGCGGAGCCUGACUGCCAUGCUGAGCAGCCGCAUCAACCCGGAGCUCCUGCAUAAAAAUGUAUUUUAAGCCAUUAAUCUAGUAAAAUAAUUGAGCUGCCUGGGUUUACUACUCAACAUUUGCCUCAAUGUUCCCAUAGGAGCACAAAACAAGAAACUGGAGACACUAUAAUCUCAGUUGUGGUGGCUAGACUACUUGGUGGCCUAGGCGGCAUCAUGGGCACAAGGGAAGUGGCUGAUCUCUCUGCCCAUCGUCCCCUCAACCCGGAGCCUGCAACCAUCACUGACCAUCUGCCCCUCCAACCCCCCCCCCCCGCCGGUGAGAGAUAUCCCGGCAUAAGCAGUGAUAUUGGAGACAGCAUGCACCUGACAGAGCAACCACCCUAGACACCAGCCAAACUUGGUGGACGCCAAACAACCUCAUGAUGAAUCCUCGACAUCCUCACGAUGAAUUCUCGACAUGCUGGAACCAUGCCGCAUAAACCGGAUCUUUGCAGCUUUCUGGGCCAAGCUCUACAAGUGGAUGCAUCCCCCCCCCCCCGCCCAAGGUGCAAAUUACUUCAGCGUCCUUGAUGGCAGGUGGUGCUCAAUACAAAAGCAGAACUGAUCAUUGGAAGAUGGCCACCAAUGGCCCUGUGGACCGCGUGCAGCAGCGAAGCAAACCCCGUAGACUUAAAAUGGGAGCAUGCUUAUCAUACCACCUCUGCCAUCGGCAGGGGAUAGCGCAGAGUCGUGGGCACCUCACCAGCUAACAGCUCUAAUGCAAAGCACAGCCUGCACAAAAAGAGCAUGCACACACACCGGCGUUAGAAACCUCAGGUGAGGAUUUCCCGACCAUCAGCCGCAACAUUGCAAACCGGGCGCUUGGAGGCCUGCUUCUGUGCUCUCGGGCUGGACCUGCCCUACACCCUCAAAGGGGCCACUAUAUCAUCGCCUGCGGUACCUGUUGUAACCGUAGCAGUGGGCAACACACUCCGGCUCUGUUGGAGGCCUGGACCCAGCAGAGUAGCCAUCAGCAAAUAGCUGGGACUUGGUUUGGCUGUGGGACUAUUGUGGCGAGUGUGGGGGUAGGGUGAAUCACAUGUAAAAGACUGGAUGCAUAUGGGGUAUCACGUUAGGCAAGUUUCUUUUUCCUGCUACUACCCCUAUCCUUCCUAUAAUGUGCUCCAGCCUAAGCUUAAUUUUAGCUGUGUAGAUGGGUACUAAUGUCUCGCCAAUUUACCAGGUUAUUCAAUGUUGCCAUUUUAUCCCUAAUGACAUGUCUAACUAGUGUCAAACGCUUCAGGAUAAAACACAUGAUCUCUGCUUAGACAUACAAUUGUAGCCUGAUUUAGCAUAUUUUUCUAAUUCAAAACGCUGACUAAUUAGGGGCUCUGAUACAUAUUUAGCAUGUUAUGCCUAGCAAUCUUUAACCCUGUAGACACAUGUCCCUUACAGGACACCAUGUAGUUCCAUUGUGCAGUUCAGCAUAACGAGCUAGGCUAACGAAAUAACCAUGUUUUCUCGCCUGUUAUUAAAUGUUAUGUCUAACCUUCACCUUGCAUUUACCCAGCUAGUAUAAGUUACAAUUUUAGACAUAUCUACUUAACUUUAAUUUAUUUAGUUAUAUCCACAGUGUUGCUAACCUAGCCUAGGUAAAUUCAAUAUAUAUUGUAAAAGUUAUGCAGCUUUCUUUCCUCACGUGAAUUUAUCAACCUAACUUUCACACUCGUCUUAAUAGUUAAAGGAUCACUAUAGACACCUAGACCACUUCAGCUCAAUGAAUUGGUCUGGAUGCCAGGUCCAUCUAGGGUUAACCCUGCCUGCUGUAAACAUAGCAUAUUCAGAGAAACUGCUUUGUUUACAUUAGGGUGAAUCCAGCCUCUAGUGGCUGUCUCAUUGAAAGCCGCUAAAGGCGUUUCCGCAAUUCUCACUGUAAUUUGAGAAAUGCUUUCCUAUGGACUGACUGAAUGCGCGUGCGGCACUUGCCGCGCAUGCGCAUUCAGCUGAUGACGUCGGAAGAGGGAGGAGAGUCCCCAGCGCCGAGGGUGCCCGGUGCUGGAGAAAGGUAAGUGUUUAACCCCUUCCUCCCCCUAGAGCACGGCGGGAGGGGGGCCAUGAGGAUGGGGGGGACCUUUUAACACUAUAGUGGCAGGAAAAUUAGUUUGUUCUCUUGGCACUAUAGUGGUCCUUUAAGUAACAUAUCCCGAAGAAAGCUUUUGGUGGUUUCACUAGUUAGCAGGUUAACACUAAUCUCUAACACUUAAAUCUCUAUAUUUAGCAAUGUUUUAGUUCAGUUAAGCAACAAUUACUUUGUCUUUCUAUUGUUAGCAUGCCAGGACUGUAAGCAUAUAUAGAUCAAGCAUGUUCCAGUGUCAUACACUUUAAAAACGAUGCUAUGCCUACCAUUUCUGCUUCAUAUUAUAAAACUGUGCAGCCCCUCUACUUGCCAUGUUUGGAAAUGUACAAUGAUAUUAUGCGUGUGACUGCUGUUGUAAAAACUUGCACAACAAAAAUAAAGAAUUAUGAAAAAUAAAUAAAAAUAAAUAAAUAAAAAGAAAAUGUGCUCAUCAUGAUUAUUUCUUCUGCUUCCAUUAUUCUCUUCAUUCAUGAAUGGAGAUGCAGUUGGUUUUAUAAAGGUCAUGACAACGCGGUUAAAUGGACAUAGACUAACAAAACAGGGGCUAUAAGGGCAGUGCCCCACCAUAUUUAUACUUCACCAGCUGACACUCCUUUAAUCUUCAAAAUGCAUAUGAAAAAAAAUAUUAAGCCAGACAAUAAAUACAGGACCAGAUUAAGAGUCUAUUGGGCCUGGUGCUGACUAUUAUGAGGGGCCUAAUUACAAAAUCUUAUCGACAGAAAACACUAAAAGUCACAAGCGUCAUGUAUCUGGUGUAGGUGGUGCUGGAGGGAAACUCACAGGAUAUUGUUAUAAGAAAACACAUACCCUAUGCUAAUCUCUCACUUUCAUCUUUCAAGUAAAUCCAUACCUCCUAACAGCAGGUUCAGUGAAGCAGAAUGUUGGUGGUCGGGGUAAACGGGUGGGCCGCCGAUGCAAGUCACGUAACCAGAACCGCCCAAAAAGGGCAUGUUGUGUCUGCCCAAAGAAUUAGAUGGUCACUCUGGUGUAAAUGCAAGGCAGGCUGUCUGCCAAUCAUGCAUGCUGCCAAACAAAGGGCAUACCAUGCAGACCGCACCCUGAGCUUCGCAUAAAUGCGUCUAAUGACGCGCUCGCUCCAUGCUGUCCCAGAGCUGGUCACGAGCUUGUCCACUCCUCUCCUUACCUUCUUACUAGCAGACAGAAGCUCCUGUUAUAUAGUCUAGGACAGAGAAAAAGUGUAUGUAGUGACUGUAGAAGAAAGGGAACAUGUCCCAGUGUUAGAGAUACAGAAGCAGCAAGAGCAUUUGCAUAGUGCGCAAAGUCAGCUUUACCUUAACCAAUUUCAUUGUAAACCAGUCCACACAAAUGUUAUUACCCUUGUUCCCCUACACCCCUCUUAAGUUUCCAUAAUUAAGCAAGAGCUUAAAAAAAAAAAAAAAAAACAGGGGGCCUAUUCCAUGGGCAUCAGCCCCUAUGUUAAUCUGGCACUGAGUAAAUAUGCUACAAAAAUAAAAUAUUAUAUUAAAUUAUUUAUACUAAUCUUAUUAAUCUUGUGUGCACAAUUUACUCUUUAAAGGACCACUACAGUCUUCAUCUCAGCAAAGAGUUCUGUGUGCAGUGUCCCGUUUUACAUUGCAAAGUUAAAUUCUCCCCUAGUGGCUGUCUCUCUGACAACCACUAGAUACACUUUUGAGGUAUUGAGUAAAAUGUAGAGAAAAAAUAUACUUAAAGCGGGCUUAUAGAGAGUGGGGACCCAAGUGCCCAGUGGUGCAUGGAUAGUGUCUCACUACACCUGCUAAAAGUCUACCCAAUAUUUAUUUUAAUUAAUUGUAUGAUACAAAUCUUUACUCAGUAUUAAAUGUUAGACAGCUAAUAAAAUGUGAAACUACGUGAAAAUUGUGAUGCAAUGUGAUUUAAAAAUGGAGAGAUCAAAAUAGCCUAUUAGUUAUGUUACAACUUGAGCUACUGAGAAAGUAUUCAAAUACAAAGCAGCUGUUGUAUGUAACUAUUUGAGAUUACAAUGUUAAUUAACCUAAAUGGUUAAAUAGAAAAAAGAAGCUACUGUUGCAAAUAUUUAUCCACACGUAGUAGGUUGAUAGUAUACUUCAUAUCUAUAAGUCUCCAUUGUAAUGAAGCCGGUGGAGGAGGUAUGGGAGCAGGAGCGGAUAGCAACAUAAAUGUAAGAAAAUGGGGUAUUAAAGAUAUUUACCCAAAUAGGAGGGAGAUAAGGUAGGAGAUUAAGAAGCCCAAAAGUAAUUGCCUUUUCCUAGCUUAUAUAUCCCAAACUCCAAUGGUAAAGAAGUGAGAGGUAGGGGUUAAAAACCCUCUUAUGCAAUCAAAGAUGGCUUUGCUAAAAGGACAGAUAUCUGGGAUAAAAAGCACAGUAUAGAGUACUGUAUAGAAGUAGUCUCCCCACCAGGAUCCAAAAAUGAUGCAAUAUAUUCCCUAAUACGAUACUGAAACACAAAGCCUAGGUGAUAACCUUCACGUUAGCUAAAUUCCACCCCAGUAUUAGUCAAAAGUUACCCGCCCGUAUCGAUAGCUCCCCAUAUCUAACCUGCAAUGAGCUAAACUAUUAGUAGAAAGGCUACAUGGAAAACCCUAUAAAGAUUAAUUAAAAGAAAUUGCCUAACUGCAGCGUCUUUACAUUGAGUAAAAUGUGGUCACAUGAUGCUGAAAUCCCCAAAGGGAAGCAUUGAUUCACUGCUUUUCUAUGGGGAAGCUUGGAUACGUGCGUGCUGCACGUAUGGACCACACAGGAAGAGGCCAUGCUUCCUAAGUGACAUUGCAGGAAGAGGAGAGGUAAGCAGCUGCUGUGAAAAUGUAAGUAAAUAUUUAAUUUUCUUACAUUUGUAAUGCAAAUAGGGGGUGGGGGGUUUGACUGAAUAUACAGGGUCAUUAAAGUGUUAGGAACAUAGGUUUGUAUUUGUAACACUUUAGUGUUUCUUUAACAGAAAUGAUAGCAUUUGAUAAACACAGCAGGGACUUUAUUUUAUUAAAUACAUUCUCAAUAUUGCUGAAAAUGUUAUAACUCACAAUGACUCAGUGCCUGUGACACAGGUCUUCCAACAGUCUCACAUUCAGCAGGAUAGUCCCAAUUUUGGGAUUCUCUCCCACUGUCACACAUUAGUAUCCUGGUGUCUCACAUGUGGGGACAUGUGUGCCUGGGCACACCACGAGAACUCCCUCUAUGGUCUUGAAGAGCUCCCCGCCCACACCAUCCCAAUACAAUUCCUCACAUUGUUGGGAGUUAUUGUGACAGGUCACUUUAUUUAUAAUACACCACUCAUUUUUACACAGUGCUGUGCACCUGAGAGAAGCCAUAAGUCCCAGGGCAAUAUACUGUGGUGAGAAUUUUCAGGAAUUCACUUUGUAUUCAGGUUAAGAAUUUUCACUUUAGUGAAAACCCCUUUCUAAUUCAGAGCUAGGUAACAGUCCUGUUUCAUUCAACAGUCUAGAAAGAAAUCUUCUGUCCUCAGAGGACUGCAUUCAGUACUAGCAUUCCUAAUUCUAAAUGAGUGUGUUAUUAAGUAUGCAUAAACAAUAUAAGAGAAGUGUAUAUACUUUCAUAAUGAUUGGGUUGUCUGUUCUGGUUAGCUGUGAUUAAAUGCAAUAUUUAUUAAUUGAAGACAGAAGACUCAUUUUUAACUUCUAUAUUGCCAGGUGAAGUGACAAGACAUCAUAAAAUUGUGCGGAGGAAGCUCAACAGAAGAUGACCAGGGCAGACUUUUAACACUGCAAGGUUUAUUCACUAAAAAGUGAAUUGUGGUCAUCUGAAAAUGUAAUUGCAAAAUUUAGGCAAAAUAAUCAAUCUAUGACCACAGCUGAAGUAGAGAUUUUUUUUCCAAAUUGCCUACUUUGGCCUAAAUUUAGCAAAUGUCACCAUCAUAACUUGUUUAGUUAACAAACCCCUUUAGUAACCGGUCACGAGACUGCAAGGUGUAGAUCUGCACUGAGAAUCAAGGGUGAGCUUUUUCAAACCUUAUUUGGACUCCAGCUGUGUGUGUUAGAGCGUGGUCUGGCAGAUGAGAACAGGCCGUGUUUACAGCUAUGGUAUACACACAAAGGCCAGUGUAAGAACUCGAUCAGAUAAACGGCAAGAAUCUCCACACCCCUUCAGAAUUUCCACUGUUACUGUAACAAUUCCAGCUGGCAAUUUUAAAAUCAGUCAGAAUCAGUUAGCAAAUGUCUCCCAAAUUUACCUGUUUACCAGUUAUAUUUUUAAAAGGAUCCUACUAUUCACCAAUAUAGGUUGGUAAAACAUGGAGGAAAACAAUAGUUUGUAUUACUUGAACCCUCCUUUGCAUGCUUCUAUAAGCUAUGCUCAAAUAUUUACAGUGUACCUUAACAUUAACCAUUUAUAAAACUUAUUUUCGGCGAGCAGAUAAAAUAGUCUGGUUCACAAAACCAGAAAAAAAAAGUUAAAUAAAUAUUGCUAUAAGCCAGUGAAUUGCAUCCUGUAAGGUUAAGGAUAGCAAUUUAUGAAGCUCUGUAUUAAAUAAAUAACCUUGGUGAAAGUAAUAGGAUUUUUAUGUUGAUAUAUAGAGGACUGUUUUAUGUUCCACUUUUCCUCUGACAUAAUAUUUCCUGCACUUCCCCAUAAUCCUUUGCCGUUAUGGGAAGAAGAGAAGGGUUUGAACAGAUCUCUUAGCAGAAAAGAAAUGCCUUCAAACAGGGCCAGACGGGGAUACAAAGCAGCCCUGGAAAAAAAAAAACUAUGCCAGCCCCGCAGCACGGCAUGGUGAAAAAAAAAGUGAGUAAAAACACUAUUUCUAAACACCCACAGACACACACAUACACCAUGACAGACACACACAUAUACCAUGAUAGAUGACAGACACACAAAUACCCCAUGACAGACACACACCAUGACAGACACACACCAUGACACACACACAUACCAUGAGAGACACACACACACACACCUUGACAGACACACGCAUACCACGACAGACACACGCAUACCAUGACAGACACACACAUACCAUGACAGACACACACACACACACAUACCAUGACAGACACACACACACACCUUGACAGACACACACACACACACCAUGACACAGACAGACCAUGACACAGACACAUUCACACACCAUGACACAGACAGACACACACACACCAUGACAGACACACACCCACCAUGACACAGACAAACACACACACACCAUGACACACAUAUCAUGACAGACAGACACACACCAUGACACACACACACAGACACACACAUACACUUACACUGACACAUAAUAUAGCUACCUGUGGGCGACUGGUCAAGUGUGCUGACGUCUGCGGGGGAGGGGGGGACGGGGGGGUGCUGGCUGUGCUGUGUCUGCUCCCCAGCGCGCAGCUUAAUGAGACCAGGGCCGGAAUAUGACAUCAUAUUCCGGCCCCGGUCUUAGUAAGUAGCGAGGGCGGGGGAGCAGAGCCAGAAGAGCCAGCUCCCCCUGUGGCCGCCAGAAGAGCCAGCUCCCUCUGCGGCCGCCAGAACAGCCUGCUCCCCCCUGUGGCCGCCAGAAGAGUCAGCUGUCUGUCCGGCCUCAGGUGCCGACGGCCCACCAGGACAUUUCCCAGUAUCCCGGUGGGCCAGUCCGCCUUGCUUACAAAAUGUUAAUUAUUUAUAGAGGGAAUGAACAAACUCACUGCAGACUGUGUAAUUGAUUAUAUUAAAAAAAAAUAAUGCAUCUUUAUUGGCUGAGAAUUUUUUUUUUUUUAAAUGCAACUCUCUUCAUUCGAUGAUUUGUGUGGUAACAUUAGCCCGACAUUUGGAAAAUCCGCAUCCAAAAUAUAGCACACUUUGUAAAUAAUUCAGGCUUGCUUGUGGUAAUAAAAAGCUACUUGAAAGUCAUUGUCUGUGGACAAUGUAAAAUCAAAGUUAUUGAUGUUGUGAAAAACGAGUAGCAGUUUAAAAUGAAGAUAAUAAUUUAAUAAAGGAAGUGGGUAUAAUGAGUGAUAGAUAUGUAAAUCCCUGUUACACUUAACAAGUGUUAAUUUAUGAUAAUAACCCUGGGGAGAAAUUAGAGACGUAGCUUGCAGUUAAAGGGGUUCUGUGACUCCUUACAUCCCUUCGAAAAAAAUAUGAUAAAUUUGAUAAAAUAAGAUAAAAUCUUAAAAUACUUAGAUUGACUGUGUUGGAAUUUGACUGGAAUUUUGAAGCAGUCAACAGAUAUAAUAAGACAAAAUAUGGACUAUUUGGUCUUACACACUUUUCCUACCUAAGACAAAAUGCCACAAAAGCAGAGCUAGCGCCAAUUGAAUUCCACCAGCUGUCACUAGGGACAGCUGUGAGAUAUAAACAACAUUGGUUAUGGAGUGUCUUGUGAUCUCGUGGGAGCCUCCAUAGACGUCCAUGCACUAAUCUUGUGCAUGCUCGAGAGUACAGCAUUGAUGUGGACUCCUGGCCAAUGAAGCGUCAGGAGCUGAAAAUGACACAAUGAUUGGACAUGGCAGCAGCUGCAAAGGAAAACCUCAGGUAAGUAAAACUUACCAUCCCCUGCAGUCCAGGGGUCACUGUACACAAGUGAUGUCACCAUGUGAAAUCUUUAUCACUGAUGGAGACGGUGAGCAGUCUAUCUAUCUAUCUAUCUAUCUAUCUAUUUAUCUAUCCAUCCAUACAAAAUAAAGAGACACUAUAGUCACCAGAACCACUUCAGCUUAUUGUAGUUGUUCUAGCGAGUGUAGUCAGUACCUGCAGACUUUUCAAUGUAAAUGUAGCCUUUUCAGAGAAAAGGCACAACUUACAGUGCUGCCUAUUAAUAACUCUAGUUGCAGUGACUCAGACAGUCACUAUAGGUGUUUCCAAGUCCAGUGUGCGGCACCUAUGUUCAGCAUCUCCAUGCUUUGUAUGAACUCCAUGCACUGAUCACUCCCCACAGAGAUGGAUUGAUUCAUUGCAUCUCAAUGAGGAGAUACUGAUUGGCUCAGGGAGGAGUUUUGCCACACUUGCGCAACAGCCUCCAGGAAAGCAUUGGAUUGGCAAAGAUCAUCAAGAUUAGUGAUCUCAGCCAUGGAGGUGGAGCCAGGCAGGGCAAGCAGUGGCAAGUCCAGGGCAACAUGGGAGAAAAGGUGAUGAAAAUCCUUUCUACUGAAAUCAGAGGUGGGCCGGACAGUUAAACAGCCAUUGAGGACUAUAGUGCCAGGAAUACAUGUUUGUAUUCCUGACACUACAGUGUUUCUAUAAGAACAACUGUAAAAAAAACAAAAAAAACAAAAACGGAAGAAAUGAGAAUGGAUUUAUAAAAAAUAGUGUAGCACCAAUCCUAAAUCCUAUUCUCUAAACUAGGAGCUGAAUAGAAUGGCGUGUUGUAGUGCAACAUAGUGCUUUAUUUAGAGGUUUCUUUCCAGAUCUGUCUGUUAUUGGAUGAAAUUUAUGAAUCAGAAUUCUCAGUUCAGUAAGUAACCCCAAUGUUUUUUUUUUUGUAAUCAUGCAUUUAUGUUGCAAGAUCACGUCUGCCUCCCCUAACUGUUGUAUACUAUUUUAAAGCGUUUGAUUCUUCUUAAUGGGUAACUUUGAUUUUUAGACCUUGAGGCUUCUGAUGACGUUUGAAUUUGAAAUGUGCACUUAAGCUAUGUUUGAGAUGCUUAUUUUUAACCUAUCAAUCAACAAUGAUAGUUUGUGUCAUAACAAUAAAAGGUUGAAUUUGAUGGACUUUCAAACUAUAUUAUACAUAACUAUGUAAUCUGUAACCUACAGGCCUUGCUCUAACAUGUAAUUCCAACUAAUCUACCAUUCAUGAGUAUAUAGGGUUUUUAAAGAAACACGUCAAGCACCAUAACAACUACACAUCGCUGUUGUGUUCAUGGUGCUAAGAAUAACCUGCUGGUCCCUCAGUGUAAGUUGUCAAAUCAUUUGCUAAUAGUUUAAAAAUUGACAUGGGGUGCACCUGGUGUUGGUUACUUCCUGUACUGAGUUCCGGAAGCUCCUGCAUGCGAAGGCAAAGAUUUAGGGAAAAUGCUCAGAGGAGAUGGGAAGAAAUGUCAAAAAUGCAUGGAGGGAGAGGAAGAGUUUGAAAUGCAUGGGGAGAAUGUGGGAGAUGCACAGAGGGAAUAAUAAAGGGUGGGAGAUAGACAAGGGUCAUUUGGGAGAGACUGCCUAGUGGACGUAAUAUCCAAUGUGAGUUAUGAGAGGUACAGGCCUGAAAAUUGUUACUUAAAGCAUUGCUCCAAGCACCAUGGUGCCUGGAGUCUGUAUAUGCAGGACUUCGCUGAUGAAACACUGCACAUACACAAUUUAAAUUCUCUUGCAGUGUCAUCGGAGUGUGAUCAGCCUGCCCUGUACUACAGUGGUAGUCAUUGGCUGAGGGCAUCAGUGUCUCUGCAGAAGGCGGAAUCACAUCAUCAGACCAGAAGGGAGCAUCGGAGCCCAGCAGGGACCCAGUUUAGGGAGAACACUGUUGCUAAACGGUUUGCCCCUUUACCAAAGUACUGGAAUCAUAACCACUACAGCGGCCUGCGGUGGUUAUGAUGAUUGAAGUAACCCUUUAAAUCUAGCUAGACCUGUGGCAUUUGCUAUUUGAGGAUUUAGGUUGCAUAUAGUUAGAUUCCUCAAUAAAAAAUUUUUAAAUCCCUAGGAAUGUAUCUGUAGUGGAGUAGUGUAAUUCUGUUUCAUUAGGUAUUUUAGGUUCAUUACGGAUUAAUAGUUAUACAUUGUAAAAUGUUUUUGCUUCAUGAAUAUCUUUAUUUUUACUCGUCAAUGCCAAAUGGAUUAUUUAUCCUUUGAGACUUGGUGUAUACAUUCAGUGGAUGUAUAUGGGAUAAUUUACCUUUUAUAGCCACAGAGUAAAUAGCUUCCACUGUCAUCGUCACUCCGACAAUGCCUCUGCCCAAAGUUCUAAAUUACAGAGAUUCCCAAUCAGUUAAACAGUGUGUGCGUUCAUUACGCUUUCUAUAGAGCAGUUCAUAGGCAGAAAUAAAAUGCAUAAUUGCUCCUAGAUUUUCCAUUUACCAGUGCAUUGACAAUUAUAGUACAGUGUUAUUAUGAUGACAGUUCUGAUAAAUGGGAAAUUCACGUGUGUCUGUAAUUUUAAAUGCAAAGCACAAUCUUUCAUCAGCCAUGCGCUAAACUGGGAUAAUAAUUUGUUUUUGCAAUAUAAUGUCAGGUCAGCUGAAUGCAAUUUCACAUGACAUAAACCUUUCCACUUGAUUUUACAAGGGUGAAUUAAAAGCUAAGAAAAACACCCAGGCAAAGAUUUUGGUAUCCAAGGGUUAACUAGUAAUUAUACCCUUCUGCAUAUGUAAACCCAACAGGUAUGAAAAAAAUCUUUUCCAUUUCCUAUACUCUCGUGGAGAUUGUCAUGGAAUAAAAUGAAGACGUGAUGUGCCUCAAUAAAAAAGUGUAGAAUUAUACAUAGAAAACUUCAAAGCCAAGACGUGUUAUUCCGAUAUGGUAUGAAAUGAAGACUGCUGCAUAUUUAUAUUAUGUUUUCCUUAUAAAGUGGCAUUAGACAAUUUUGUGCUGGGUGUAGGUUUAGUGAGUAGUUGAAACAAAAUAAAAUGUAAAUUACCUUGAACAACAAAAAAAAAUUUUUCACAUUGAAAGUUUUGUUAAACAAAAUAGUAAUAUUGUUAUCCAAUUUCUUCCAGUAGUUCUACCCUAGUCAUGUUUGAUGGAAGUAAGUAAUAUAGGUAGAUUACAGGCCUUCCAACUGUUCUGCUUUGGGGCGUCUUGGCUCACCGCCCCACUUUAGUUCCCUGGUGCACGAGUCUGUCCUUGGGCAGCACAAUACCAGGGUAUCAUGAGAUUCACUCCUUCUGUGUUGUGAAUACUACAACUAAUGCCUCUGGGCCUUUAUUAAGGGCUGGCCCAGAGGUAAUCUUUUAGCCUAGCAUUAUUGAUGCCAGGCUCACAGGCCCCUUGAGUGGGUGGGCCUGCCUACUUUAUGGGCAGACCUGCCAUUUAGGGGCAUCGCAAGUUAGACAAUUUGUAUCAUUGUUGACACCCCCUCAGAAGGCCAACCCCCUGUCCUAAUUCCAGCUAAGCCAAAGUUUUGAGGUUUGAGAUUACGAACAUGGGUACCUGGGAAUAUGUGCUAAAUUACAGAUGCCCAGUAACAUGUCUUAUAAAGGGUUUUAAGCAAUCGCUGUGGACUGUUAUAAAAAUCUUGGUAAAUAAGUUGGCUAUUCAUUAAAGGCAGAUCAGUUACAAAAUACCUGUUGCAGCUUAUUCUUCUUGCCCAGGUCAAUUACGAUGUAGUGUGGCCAAAAAAAUUAUAACCAUCUCCUUUUUAUAAGUUCUAGAAGUCACAGUCAAUAUGAAAUGAAGGAAGAAAUGUGAUACAUUGAUAACCUUGUUCUUCUAUGUUUAAACUCUGGAGCUAUUUUUUAAUUUGUACAGCCCUUAUGGUGCUGAAUAUCUGUUCCUUGCCAGUCAGUCCUUGGCUGUCAGAAAGCAUUACUUAAAUGCAUCUACUAGCGCAUUAGAGUCAGUUCAAAAUGGCUUACAUUGGAUGUCUUUUUAAACAACAAACUAUAUCAGUAAAAACUAUCUUGUACAAGGCUUCUAGUAUCAAAGGGGUUACCACAAGUCCACGCUUUGGAUGAUUUGACUGCUAUAUUUAUAAUUGGCUAAGUUUAAAAUACAUUGUUAUAGGAAGGAAAUUACAUGUAUUUAAGUCUUAAUGGAAUUUCUUUUUGAAAAUCAUUUAAAUACUACAGCAAAUAGGGUUUUGUUUUUUUUGUUAUUUUUUUCAAUUUCCCCCCGCGGAUAUAUCUGUUUAAUAUUGUCGUUGAAAUGUCACAACAAAAACUGUUGUAAAUUGAUUUCCAACCGCUACAUAAUUACAUCCAGUUUUCCGCUAUCUUUGUAGAAAAUACAUUUUUUUCACCUCAUCCCCCAGCCCCCACAAAACAUCACCUUCCCUCUUUUGCUUUUAGAGGGCAAUAUUUCUUUUACAUGUAAGCUGAGCUUCAGCAAAACUUAUUAAACUGUGUUAACGGCACUGACAAACCUUUAGAUGAAAAAUGCUCACAGGAUGUGUUUCUACCCCACUGUGAAACGUUAAUGAAACUGAAUGACAAAUUCUCUCUCGGCCUUUUCUAACCGCACCAAAAAUGUCAAGUAAAUCAAACCAAUCUUGUUUAGGAUUUACGUGCAUUAGGAAAAAAAAGUGUUAAAGACCAUAGCGACUUUAAUUUAUUCUUAAAUGUACAUCACAAGGAAGCAUGGAGCAUGUUAAAUAAAACCUACUUCCAUUAGACAGGUUUCAAAGUGGAAAUCUGUUUUACAAUCUCUUGGACUGCGUGAGUCAGAUGGCACUGUAGAAUGUUUAGCUGCAGAACGCUUUUUUAUUAAACAUUGUCUUCUUAAAGGAACAUGUUCUUAAACCGUUAAACAGACUAAAAUAAUGUGACUGGUGUACGAUGAUAAGACUAAAGUGGCAUUAAAUGUUUUUGUUUCUUUAACUUUGCACAUGAUCAUAAUCAGUCAUUUGUAUCUGUGUGGGAAGCGGGUGCUUUCUUCUUCUGUGCUCUGUAUGACAUAAGUACAGAAACUUAGUAAGGGCCUCCUCUUUAAAUUGUAGAGAAAAAUCAACAAAUUUACUGUUACCCCAAAAGAGGACACUGUAAUCACAAUAGUGCACUCUAGUGGUUGCUUGGAGUGUUCCUUUAAAUAAAAAUCUGGGUUCAAAAUAGCUAAUAAGAAAUCCCAGACAAGCCAUUGUUUUUUUUAAUGCAAUGAUGUACAAGCGCUGUUGUAAUUUUUUCAAGGAAUUCACCUGUGUCUUAUAUAUUUAUGUCAGCAUGCAUAUCUGUCAAUGUUUCAACACUUAAAGAAAUGUAAUAACAAUCCCUUCAUUAAAAAGUAUUUAUGGUCUUUGUACCUGGAAUGUAAGUUUUAUACUAAGUAUUAAAGGACCACUAUAGUGCCAGGAAAACAUACUGGUUUUCCUGGCAUUAUAGUGCCCUGAGGGUGCCCCCACCCUCAGGGUCCCCCUCCCACCCGGCUCUGGAAGGGGGAAAAGGGGGAAAACUUACCUUUUUCCAGCGCUGGGUGGGGAGCUCUCCUCCUUCUCUCCUCCUCCGUUCCGCCCCGUCGGCUGAAUGCGCACGCACGGCAAGAGCUGCGCGCGCAUUCAGCCGGCAUAGGAAAGCAUUUACAAUGCUUUCCUAUGGACGCUGGCGUGCUCUCACUGUGAAAAUCACAGUGAGAAGCACGCAAGCGCCUCUAGUGGCUGUCAAUGAGACAGCCACUAGAGGAAAUAGGGGAAGGCUUAACCCAUUCAUAAACAUAGCAGUUUCUCUGAAACUGCUAUGUUUAUUAAAAAAUGGGUUAAACCUAGCUGGACCUGGCACCCAGACCACUUCAUUAAGCUGAAGUGGUCUGGGUGCCUAGAGUGGUCCUUUAAGCUCAUAAUUAAAUGUUUGCUGUCAGGGAAAAUUUCGAUUCUGCGGUACCAUAAAAAAAAUGAUUCAGGGUUGCUGUUUUCUGACAGAGGAUCUAGAAUUACUUUUACACAAACUAAAAUAAUGUAUGUUUCUCUUUUUUGGGUUUGCAUUACAAAAGUGGAACAUUAUCACAAUGCGUCAUCAUCCUUGUUUCUAUCCCUUCUCUCUACCCUUAUAUAGGGCCCCUCAAUGGAUAGGUAACCAAUGCAAUUGUUUGUUUCUUCUUGAUAUAUAUUCAAUAAGGAAUCCUUUAGAAUAAGGAUUUUGGCAUUGGCAGUAUCAUUUGGCCAAUAAUAGCAAUGCUAGAAUCAGCCACAUUUUCUCUGCAUAUGAAUAAUCUAAGGAGCGUUGGAUGUCAGAAGAUGGAUGACCUUGAAAUGACUUUCUAAUGACAUUCUGAAAGACAUUCCAUAUCUUUUUGAUGGACAUCUGGGCACUGUCUUUCAAAAAGAUAUGGAAUAUGUCCACCUCUCAGCAGUCUGCAUUUUAUAAAUUUAUGUACAGUUUGUUGAUGCUAGUGACCUACAUUAAGAACAGCAGUUAAUAUUUUAACAUGUAUUUUACUUAAAGUGAAAUAUUUAACAAGUCAGCCUAGAGGCUUUGAUGUGCAAAAGAACAUUUUAAUUAACCCCUUUGCUACAGUAAGAAAAGAAAAAGAAAAGUAGUUCUGCUAGGUCUAUAGACACACAGAUAUGUACAUACAGUAUAGUAAUGCAACAUCAAACUGCACAAAUAAAAAAUUGGAACUAUUUAUAAGCAGGGAUCGGUAGGAUCCCCUUCUAUCCAACUCUCUUCCCUUUCAUCCUUUGUGAUUCCAAUUAUUCAACACAGUGUUAUAUAAGCUUGGAGCUUUAGUCCACAAUAACUUGAGUGUAUAAUACUCAAGAUUACAUCAUGUCUAGUCCGUGUUUGGUUGAUCUUGAUGGGAGGUGCAUACCCUUCCCCAGUCUCAAUUUCAGGGUCCAUACCCACUGUCCAAAGUUGGUACCCUGGGGCUCCACAUCUUAAAACUCCAUGGAACGGUCCCUAGCUAGCACAACGUGAGUACAUAAUUAGACGAACUCGCACUGUGCUGAAUUGCGUCAGGGCCCUACGACCACGAACAAAGUAUAUCAUUAGGAGGAAAGGGCAUGAUUAGUAAUGUGUGUGCUCAAAUGAGGGAAUAUUGAUGUGAUGAUUGGAGGGGUGCUGAGAUGAGAAAAGGGGGUGCCAAGAAGCUAAAAUUAAAAUAAUGGAAAAUUACGGAAGGUAUGAUAAAUGCACUUUUACAAGCCAAACUGUUGCUUAUGUUGCGCCUAUAAAUCUAGUAUUGUCUGAGGUCAUGUCUGCCUGAUCCUUUUGUUUGUAUAUUUAUUGCCUUAUGUUGUGGCCUGUUCUUUGGUUUUAUUUGGCAAAAGCAAUAGGGAGCCAUUUUGUCUUAUGCAGGUAUUGUCGACACUGUUUACAAAGGCUUAGAGUUGUCUGUAUGGGGUUUAGGUUUUUCAUUUCAAAUGGCAUCAGCAAGCAGGUUAUAAACCUCUCCCUGCUAGACUGACCUUCAAUGUGCAAGAAAGCGAAGUAUGAUUAAAUGUAACAUGAUACCCGUGCUACUUUUAUAUUCGUUGACCCUUCCAUCCCUUCACUAACUUCAUUUCAUUUUCUUGUUCGUUUACUCCUUACAAGGAAAAGUCGAAUUUACAAGUUUGGCAAUUAUGUUUUACAGUUCCCUAAAAUGUUCCAUUUGAUGGCUUUGGCAGGCAGGGUUUUCCUGUACGCCAUUGGCUAAUAAACACGGCAAAGUCAAUGCUCUUAGUGCAACCAUCUGCAUUCUACGUUGUCAUCUCUUGCAUAUCUGCAAUAAAACUGUGAUCCAUAAUUGUUUGCAUUCCCCUUAAGGACUUUCUGCUCUGUUUUAUUGACGUGGUGGAUGAGAAAAGUUUAUUGGUAAUGUAAAUUCAAGAGUCAACAAACAUAUGGCAGGGAAUGGAGCAAUGUGUUUAAAAGCCCGAGGAAGGAAGAAAAACAGCAUUUUGGUAAUGAAAGUCAUUGUGUGAAACACAGUAAGAAAGAUUAUUAAUCACUUUAAUAAUAAUACUAAUGAUAAUAACAACAACAACAACAACAAUUUAGCAGCCUGGGGCAGGUGGCUUAGAUGGAGUGAAAGAGGGGUUUAAAGAUGCACUUGAAAAUGGCAAAAAAUAUUAAAGCAGAACCAUUAAAUUAAUAUUAUUGUUGUUGUAGGACCCUUCUUAAACAGAAUAUGUUUAGAAUUUGCCAUGCUCUAUAGAUUGAUGAUGGUACAUUUUGGCAUUAGUCCUUAAGGGGCUAAGAUCAGGAAAAACAGUUCAAGCAUUAUUUUACUUAAAUUUGCCCUAGCCCAGUGCAUCAGAAUUAUCAGUGAGCUUUGCAAGUGUCAUUCUUUCGCUUUCAAAUAGAAGCAUUUAUGGAAAGUUAUCUGUUUGCACUUGAUGCCAGAUGCGAAGUCCCACUGAAGUCAAUAGAAUUUCCUGUUCAAGUGCCAAAUAUACUGCUCUGCACUUUUAUUAAUUAUUCUUGCCUCUCAAACUGGCUGGAAGGGGAACAGGGUAAAAUCUCAGUGGGACCUGGCAUCAGAUGGCUCUAAAUCCUGCCUAGUUAAUAUUCCCAAUGUAUCUAAGUGUUUGUGCCCUUAAUAGCACUUUCUAACAACACGCUGCCAAAUCAAGAGAGCAAUUUGUUGUGGUUAAACCAAGUGCGUACCAUGUCUCACUCGAGAUGAGUCAGCCUGUUUAGUAUAUGAGCGAAUAUCGGAGUCUGUGUGUACUGUUACAUGUAUAGGUCAUGUCAAACCUGUGUGCAUGUUGUAUGUGUUUUUAAUUUUUAGCGUUGUCCUUAUAUUCAGGGCCGCCAUCAGGGUGGUACAGCCAGAGUCAAGUAAGGCACCAGAGACAGUUAGGGGACCGGAUGCAGCUGAGGGCCGUUUGGAGUUUAGCAGGUCUCUCAAACUGGCCAAAUAUAAUUUAGUAAUAGCUAUACUUGUGGGGAUCCACAGUGUACAUUACAUUUGUUUUCGACCCUACCUCUGUUGCCCCCCAUCUCUAGCUCUGGCUGUUAUUAUUGCCAUCGGGUCGGGAAGAGGCCUUGUUUUGGUGCAAGCACAGUGUAGGAGAGAGGUAGAGAUAAGAUGUGACAUCAUAGUUCUGUUCCUUCCACACUGACUCUGCAGGGGAUAUGUUGAGAAUGUACAGACUGCAGACACCAUGAGCAGCCAGCAGCAUUCAGCUAGCUAGCUAGAUCUGAGGCAAGGAUAAGGACGGAGUGAGAGGAAAGCAAAGAGGUAGAGAUAGGCAGUAGGAUUGGGAUGGGGGGAGGGGUAAGUGAAGGGUGACAGAAAGGCUGUGACAGAAGAGAGGAAUUGGAGAGAGACACAAGUAGGGGUUCUGGGGUUGACUAGAUGGAAAAAUUAAAUUAGGGGUGGCAAAGAUAGGUGACAAGAAGGGGGCGGGAUAGAGAACAAACCUCAGAGAAGGAUACUGGGAGAGACAAGUGGAAUAUAAAAAAUGGUGGCUGGGAAAAUAUAAAGUGAAAUAAACGUCAUACAGUUUUGUCCAUUAAAAUAGACCUUACACUUUUAUUACACCUUAAUAAUACUAUUAACCUUACACUACUAUUAAGUACUAUUAUAUUCACACACACACACUGACACUCUGCAUUUAGACACUGAACACACAUCACAAAUACAUUCCUACAUUUAGGCACACGUUAUGAAGCUAUACACACAUCAACAAUCUUGCACUACUAAAAACGACAGGUUAUGCAUUCAUAAACUGGCAAAGAGUUUGCAUAUUAGAGACUAAAAAAGAUGAAUCAGAUCAUUUCUAGAAUCCAGAUUUUUUUCAGCAAAUUUUUUUUGCUUUUUCAAUUCCUUGUCAAUUAUCCAUAAUGUAUUGCUACACAGACAUAGGGUUUGUUGACUGAACAGUUAUUUAAUUGAAUUGAAUACUGAAUUAUAGAAUCCAAGUCAAAAUAACCAAGAUGUUAUUCUAACUAAAGUGGAGAAUGUUUCCCUAUUGGCCUAUGUUUUGGAGUUUGUGUUUCAAACAUUCCAUACAUUUGACAGUUGGGGACCCAGACUGCACCGCUGGACCGUGUGUUUCAGUGUGAGUCUGACAUUGUGCAUCUGUGUGUGAAGUUGUGUGUCUGACAGUGUGAAGUUGUGUGUAAUUGUCUGACAGUGUUUAGUUUUGUGUACAUUAUGGGCAUUAUCUGUGCGAUUGAGUUUUGGAAGGGCCCCAGCCAAUGUCCUUGUAAAGGGCCCUACGAUUUCUAAUGGCAGUCCUGCGUUAUUUUUGUGUUUGACUUAAAGGGACAGUUUAGGCAAUCUAAAUGAAGUUGUUAUGCUGCAUGAGGCCCCCUGAUGCACUUUUACCCGAAGGGGUUAAACCAUUCUAGAAGGAUUUAACCCAAAAGUGAGCCUCCAGUUCCAAUCCUCAGGUCCCCAAGGCGGCCUCUGGCUUCAGGAUCUCAGUUUUAGGAAGCGCAAAGUGCCACUGGCCAGCGGUGCCGCAGAUUGGCUGAGAGCCAAUCAGUGACUCCCCAUUCAUAAAGCUGGCUUGAAAAAAGUAAGUUUCUUUUAAAGCUCAGCCAAACUGAUUCUCUUACUGGAUCUAGUGUUUGGGAGACUCCCAGGGUCUAAACAGACCCAGGAGUGUCUCUCACGAUGCCCCAAUUGCAUUUUGAGCACUUUUGGCUUUGUUAGUUGCCCAGCACUGAUUUCAAUUCAUUAGGCAUACUAUAUUGAAUGAAAAAGAUAGGAAGCUGUCAUACUAAAAAUAGCCAGAAAAUGGCAGCAACAUACCACUCUGUGUGAGCGUAGAUUUCCAUUUACUAAUUUAACUUGAUAGCUAUCAAACUGUUAUAAUGCCCCAAAAAUACAGAAUAAGUCCAGCAAAUUCAAUCAAUCAAAUUCUAACGGUAAAAACUGAAAUAGCCAGGUCUCUUAUAUAGUACUGUAACUUCACAAGAUAGUGCCAAAGGCAUACAUCAAGGUUAUUGAUUUAUUCAGAAAAGUUUUCUGAGCAUACAUUUUGUGGUUUGAUCACAGUGGCACAUAUCAAAUCAUCAUGAGCCAUAAGCCCAUCACCUUUGUCACUUUUUAAAAUUCCAACUGUAUAAAUGGAAAUAGUCCGAUCUGAUAUAUGAUGCUGUAUCAUUGUACUCAAAAGAUGUAUCUGAACACAUUAUAAGGUUUUUUAAAGUAGUAGCAGGUUUCCGAAAUACACAUUCAAAAAAUCUUGUUACAUGUGUGUAUGUUAAAAAAACUGAAUACAAUGAAAUUUUACUCUAAUAUGUAGCAGAGAUUGGCAGUUAAAUUAUUACAUAAUGAGUGUCAAAAUACCCUUAGGUAAAUAGCCUAUGAUAUCUUCAUUAUAUAAAUAUAUACUUCUGUAUGGUAUUUGUGUUUUCUGUGAUGGCUAUUAAGCGUACAAGACAAACAUACCAUAUUCUAAAAUAGCUCCACAUUGAAGUUUUAUUUUACUCCUUGUAUUGUGUGACCUGCAACUGUCAAAAAGAAAAUGAAAUCCUAGACUUAUUAUGUACUCUGUAUAUCAGGACAAAUAAAUUAUUUCUAAUUACUUCUCAUAAACUGCACUAAUUAUACACACACUAUAUUUAUUGCCAAAAACUCUGUGUUUUCUUUUUUUGGUUCUUUUGCAUUUUUGUUUUUGCAUUUUGAGCCGUUUUUUUUGUAUUAGAAAUGAGAAGCCUUUAACAAACAAUAUAUAACAUGUAAGGGGGAACUUGAAGAGAAACUCUUAAAUUAUGGUGGAACGCACAUAUAUUUCAAACUCAAUGUUUUGUUUUGGUUCAGAAUGUGAACAGUUACUUCAGUCCUUAAGAGGUUAAACAACUGAAUCCAUAUGAUAAAAAAUCCAUUGUCUUCUUUGCUGUUUCUUCACUACAUUACCACAGGUUUAACAGCCUAAUGCUAUGUUAAAUGCACAUUGUUACUACUUUUUCCUCAGUAUUUUAUUAAUUUUAAUACAAUACUAUAUGAUGUAAUAUGAAUACAUCAGUCCAUCAAAAUGGCAGUUUUACUCAAAUCAUAGCACAUUGAUGUAUGCCUUUGUGUUUUACUCAUGUACAGCCAUACACUAGACUAACAGCACAUAGACUGUAGGAUUGAAUGAGUUAAAAAAUAAUUAUUAGAUCUAUUACAGAGAUAAUUUAAUGAAAGCACUGUAGAAUAUUGAACAUGUAAACAUAUUUGCCUCUGUAGUUGUAUUUUCCACAGAUAUACCUGCAAAAUAUAACUUAUAAAUCAUGUGCAUGACAAAUUCAUUUGCAGGUAGGUUAACAUACCAUAUACACAUUGUGCCAGUGACAUUGGAAGCUGAUAAAAAAAAAAAAAAUACCCUUAUCAAAAGAUCACUUUCUGCAGACUUCCUCCACACACAACAUGGAGUCCUAGACUGGACAUAGUGUCCCAACUGAACAUGGAGUCCAUACACUAUUAUACUAGGAGUUGCAUAAUGCAAUUUCCUCUUUUAAGACAUGGUGGCAACCAUUUAUAGAACCCUCUAAUGCUAUGUUUACUGGUCUGACGUAGCCACAAGAGAGAAAAUCGGAAAGGACAAGUUACAUAAAAUGAAUCAUCUCAUCAUUUGUGUAAGACCUCACCUUGUAGAUUGCCAGUCAAUACCACACAUUUUUAAAAGUAUGUGACAUGACAGAUCGUAGGAGAGAGUAAGCAGAGCAUGCUGACAUUAUUCACUAACCACAAUAUAACCACUACCCACUGUUAUUUUUCGUAAUUUGGAUGUAAUGUACUGCCUUAAAAAUGAACUGAAAAAGAAUGCAUGUAAAAAAAAUAAAGAAAUCGCACAUAUCACCUUGGAAACGUAAUAGAAGUAACUUGUAAACUAUUUUCAGGGAAAAAAAUAGUUUCAACAACAAAGCCCAGAUGGCUGCAUAAGCUAUUAUAUGACACACAGUAUAAAAUAAUAAACAUAUAAACAAACAUACAUUCAAAUAAAUUAAACAAACAAAAGAGAGUGCUGUAUUUGGAAAGGAUCUUUGUAUCUACUCACUCCAAAUGUAAGGAAUUGUACCCCAGAGUUGUCCAGAAGCUAUUGUUAUCCUUUCCUAACCCCUGUUUUUUGGGCUCGACCUUGUUGAACACACCUGGCAUUGCUCCCAAUAUAACAGUGCUCAUAAUAUACCCAUAUACCUCAUAAUACCUCACUGAAAUCAUUAUUGUUCAUUUUCUUAAAUCAAAAAGUACAAUACUCUGGAAAUACCCAAUUUGUCUGGUACUUACUGUGUCCAAAUUUCCUUACGGUAAAUCUAGGUGUACACCUCUCAACAGUGGGAGGCAUAAGAUCAGGACAGGUGGGCUGGUCCUGAGGAGGGCAUUAUCAGUGAUGCGUCAGGCGUCACUGGUGAUGGCCAUUAUGGGUGGGCCUGUUCAGAAAUGGGUCAGGCCUGCCCACAGAAGUGGCCUGUUUGGCCAGCUAAUAACGUGCUGAAUCGCUCUCUAAAGGGUCCUAAUGACAAUUCCCAUCAUGAGCGUGUCUAAUGAUAUGUUCACACUGUGGCCCAAGGACAGGAUGCAAUGGAACAUUGGGACUAUCCUUUCAAAAUCAGUACUGUUUCGAGCUGCAAGUGACAAAAACAUUUAUUUACCUAAACCAACGUGCAAUCAUACAAUGGCUAAGUAAACAUGUUUUAAUGUGAGUUUUCUUGUUGUGAAUCUGUCACAUUUCACACAUUCAUGUGAGCUUUAUUAGUGUUGCACGGUAAGUUUCAUUACCAAGUAUACCAAGUAUAAUGCCAAUAAGAUGUAUAAUCCCCAUCUGCACUUCCAAUUUUGCAACACACUAGAAAAAAAAUCAUUAUUGACCCCAGAAUGGCAGUCAUAUUUAUCUUGGAUCAAGAAGCCAUUACCCCACAAUUUAAAAUUAUUUCCAUGAAUAUUCUGUUUUUGCAAGUAUUUAUCCAAUUGCUGUUUAAGAAUCUGUACAGACUCUGAUAAAACCACCUCUUCAGGCAGAGAAUUCCACAUCCUUAUUGUUGAUUCUAUAAGAAAAACUAUUCCUAGACUAAAUCUCCUUUCUUCCAGUCUAAACAUGUGACCUCAUGUCCUAUGCAUAGUCCUGUUUGUAAAUAGAUAUCCAGACAAUGGUUUGUAAUAGUAAAUAAAAAAAUAUAUGCAAAUCAUCCAUACCCAUAAGAGAAGGCAUGACGCUUUUACAUUAAUUUAAAAUGGUAUAUAGACAGGUAUAGGCUAACAUCUACGAAAGAGGCAGGGGAGCAUGGAGGUAGCCUUAUGAGCUUCAUAGCUGAUACAUUUAAUCAUUGGCUUUAGUACACAACACAAGACCAGAAGACCAUAAACACAUAAAUUUACAAUGGACUUAUACUGUAAUAAUUCAUACUGAGGGGGAUAACUUGUGGCAACUGUGACUGAUUUUUCAUAUUCUACAUUAUAAUGACUUUGGUUUUAUGGGCCAUCAUUGCCACUGCAAUACAGUACACUGAUCCUGUGAGUGUGGAUGGUUACCAUGGGCAUUCCAACUCCAGGAUUCCAAAGCAAGUCAAUGUCUUGAAGACUAGACUAUGACAAAACAUGUUCGAAUGUUGAUUGUGUUUCCCAACAGCCUAGGACAUUUUCUUCUACUUUUGCAAAUCAAACAACCAAGAGCUGUGCUCGAUCUAAAUAGUGUAGAAGCUGCGUAAUUUAUUAUACAGACUUAACAGGCUUUUUUCUGCAGACAGUCGGUGCAGAACGGACUCUUGACACGCUCCAGGAAGCAGUACGAAACAUGGUGAAAUAUAUCAAAACUGACUCAGAUACCACAGGGGACCGUGUUCAACAUGGUAAAAUUUGAACCAAUGGGGAGCAUCAAAACCGUCUUGUGUAGACAGUCUAAAAGUUAUAAUUAGACAUUGAUUACUAGACUUUUCCACUGACUGGGUGCUUUUAAGUUGAAAAUCUACUUAAACAGAGAGGAAAAUUAAUGACAGAAGACCAACAAUAAAUUUUCAGGACGUUUUUCAAUUCUAAUUGGUAAUUGAUCAUAGUGAUAAUUCAAUUGAAAGAUGUUUUUAUUUGCGAGCAGACAAAGUGUAGAACAUAAGCCGAAAACUCUCACUUACAUCAAAACCUAGAAAUUCAUGCUUUGUUGCUUUUUUUUCAACUCUAAAAAAAAAGUGACCAUAUGAAGUUUUUUUUUCUUACUGGUGUAAAAAGUAUGUACAAGACAUAUCCUUGUGUGCUAAUUAAUUCUUUACUCAAUUAUUUCAUUCUGAUGCCAUCACACCUCUACUGAUUAUAGUUUAUCUGUGCCCGAUCUUCCAUUCCAACAUUAAACAGUUGGGGGAGUGCACUCAUAUAAAGUUAGAAUAUUUGUUUUCUGCAAUAAUUAGGAAAUGUUUUACACUGCACUUAUUAGCAUUCAUAAUUGCUGGCAUCAUAGCAGUUUUGUAAUAAAACACAUUAUGUGCUGCCGUUAGAGAAGUGUACCUGUCAGCUGGAAAUAAAUUAGCAUUAAUGAAUUGCACGCAUUUAACACAAAAACAUUUCUAAGCAGAUCAGCAGUUUUUAAAUAUUUUUUAUUGUAUAUCAAACUAAUUUGGAACUUUGUUUUAUAUUGUUAGUAAAGUUAAACUCAUACGUCUUUUGAAAUAAUGUUUUCCUCCUUAAUAAGUACCAAAACUACUUACUAAAUAUUUAAGCACUGCAGUCGAGCAAGAGAAAGUGCUUAAGAAUAUGCAAAAGCAAAUGGGAAGUACAUUUACAGAAUAAUUUGUGUUUUCUAUUGAAAUAUCCAGGAAUUUUUGUUUUGUUUAUCUGAUAAUCUGUUAUAUAUUGUUAUUAUUCUAUCUGCUAUAACUAUUAAGAUCAGAUCUAUAUAAGUGUAUUUUAUUUAAGACUAAAUAAAUUGCUGUUAACAUAUACGUAAGGCAAUUAGUUUAUCGUGAUUAAUUUACAAAAUGUCUACCGCAGAUACAGCUAUUCAGUAUAUCAAUACUUCGACCACACAUAAAGUUAGUGAGCUUGAAAAUUAAACAUAAUGUUCAACCAUUCUGUGGUAUUAUUUACUGACUUGAUCCAUGUAAGGGUAAACAUAAACGUGUCAGGAUUACUAGUUGGUCCAGCACGAAGAACCGUAUCACACCUAGGACUAAAAGGUAACGUAUUACCGGGCCUUAGAAUGGACGGACUUAACGUACCAGAGAAUAGUCAGAAUACUUGCCGAGGUCAAGUACACAGAAUGGGACACAACGAUGAGGGAAAGCCAAAAGUCAAGGGUACCGGAAUACAGGGAAGUCAAAACGGAGCCAAGUCAAUAACCAGAAAUAAAUGCUCUGGAACACACUCUUGGACAACCACUAAGUGAAACCACAACAGGGCAAUGAGGAGAAGUAAAAAUACGUUUAAAUAAGCCUUUUACAAAUCUGAUUGGUCGAAAUCGGCUUUUGACACCAGAACAUGCGUGUGUGUCUCCCACGUGACAUCACACGCAUGCCGAUGUCGUCAUCACAGUGGGCGGAGGUAUGGCUAAAAUAUGAUGUGGAUCCGCAGCGGCCGCCGUCCACAAACAUGUUGCAGGAGUCAGGUACUCUGACGCAUGGCCGCUGAGCGCAGAUACUGCAAGGUGAGGAUGAAUAUGUUACAAAAAAUAGCAUUGCUUCAUAAUGCCAGCAAUUAUUUUUGGAUGCCCUGGUUCAAAGAUGGUGCCCAUUAAGUGGACACUAUGGUCACCAAAACAACUUUCGCUUAAUGAAGCAGUUUUGGUGUAUAGAUCAUGCCCCAGCAGUCUCACUUCUCUACCAUUUAGAAAUUAAAUCACUUAAUUUAUGUAGCUGAAGUCACACAUCCUUGCAUAUGACUUACAUAGCCUUCCUAAACACUUCCUGUAAAGAGUCAUCUAAUGUUUACACUUCCGUUAUUGCAAAUCCUGUUAAAUUCAGAAUGUCCUAUCUUCUGCUCUGUUAAAAGCUUGAUACACCCUGCAGGAGCCUCUUGUGUGUGAUUAAAGUUCUAUUUAGAGAGCAGGGACUCACAGCCAGGGGAGGUGUGACCAGGGUUGCAUAAACAUAAGCAAAAUUGAUUUUACUCCUAGAUGGCAAAUAAUUGAGUAGUGAGACUUCAGAGGUAUGCUCUAUAUACCCAAAUUGUUUAAUAGAGCUAAAGUUGUUCUGGUAACUAUAGUGUCCCUUUAAUGUCUUCUAUUGUUUAAAAAUGAUCUGAAUUUCCUGAUAGCAUAUUGUGUCUGCAUUCACCACCUUCCUAUUACAGAACUCUAAUCCUUGAUAAUGUAUUCUGGAAAGGGUUCAGGAAUAGGUAAAUACUUUAAUAAUGUUCUAAAUAUUCAUUAUAAUAAAUUAACAGGAUAGAAGAUAUCAGUUCCGCAGCUAUAAAUAGCAUUUUCAGGCACCUUUAAAAGAUAAAACCAUCAUAUACAGUAUAUAAAGGUUUAGUAUGAAUAUCGUUUUUUUUAUUUUUACAAUUAGGACAGUCUAGAUCAAGCAUGUCAAACUCGCGAGCCGCAAGUGCAUGCUCAGUGUUAUAGCAGACUAGGCACCUGCUUUCCCCAUAUUGCAGGUGCCUACUCUGCUUAAAUUACCCGGCCGGGAGGAUGGCCGCGAGGGAGCUCAGUGUUCCAGCUCCUCACGGCUCCCUCGCGCACGCCGACUGAAGUGAAGCCAGCCGCCGGAAUAUGACAUCAUAUACCGGCAUCUGGCAUCACUAAACCGCACGCGGGAGCAGUGAGGAGCAGGUGUCAUGCGAUAACACUUCCGGGUUCGGCAGUCCGCAGUGUGGAGCCAGACCCCGCCCCCUCUGACGUAGCUCUGACGGUAUUUAGGAAGACUGCUCCAGAGAGAGGGGGCUUGGUGAUACUGGGAGCUACUUCCGCCAGACUUACCUCUCCACAGGCACUCGCAAUGUGGGUCCUACUUCCGAGUAUGCACGCCGGCUCCUGGGAUACGCCGGCUCUACAAGCUCUGAUGUCGUCCUAGCCUACUGGGCUAAGACAAGUAUACUUCAUGCCAUAGAGAAUUACUGGAGAACAGAAACUCACUUACUUUACAAGUGGACCAUAUCUCUGAACUAUUGGAGGACUACCCACAUUAACCUUUAGUAUAUCUUUCAGCUAUUUGUCUACAAUAUCAUUUAAUAAUGAACUAAUGCUUGCUUACUAAAUCUUCACUGCUUCAAACUACUAAUUAUGUGGAGGACAACUCCCAUCAUGCUUAAUCACAAUGAACUGUUUCCUGCUUUGCAAAUACACUCAGUGCUUCAAGAUACUAAAUACUAAGCUACUAAAUAUGGAGGACAACUCCCAUCAUACUUAUUAACUAUGAACUGUUCCUGCUUUGCAAAUAUUCUCAGCUACUUGCUUAAAGUUACUAUUGAAAGAUUAUUCUCAUUUACCUAAAGAAUGUUACUAUGCAUCUCUGAGGAAAUACUUAUUAAUGAACUUUGUGUUGUUGAUUACUUUCACUUCUUCUUAUUGCCUAAAUACAAUUCAUUUAAGUUUAACACUUAUUAGAACUUCGUUUGAAUCAAGUUACCAGCAAUUCUCUCUUUUCUUAAAGCUACAGUAUUGAUACUUUAAAGAUUCUCCAUUUCUUCACUAUUGUAAUUAGGGAGUUUUACAAGCUGCAGUUGAGUUCCAAUCCAAAUCACCCAAGUAGCGUAACAGCAGGAAGGACCCCAGGGAGAUGCCCCACAUCUGCUCCAUAAGGUAAGGAGCAAUAAUGAAAAGUAGGUGUGUGUCUGUCUGUGUCAGUGUGCGUGUGUGUCUGUCAGCAAGUAUGUGUGUCUGUCUGUCAGUGAGUAUGUGUGUGUGUGUCUGUCAGCAAGUAUGUGUGUGUCUGUCAGCGAGUGUGUGUGUGGCUGUCAGCAAGUAUGUGUGUGUCUGUCAGUGAGUAUGUGUGUAUCUGUCAGCAAGUAUGUGUGUGUCUGUCAGUGAGUGUGUGUGUCUGUCAGCAAGUAUGUGUGUGUGUGUGUGUCUGUCAGUUAGUAUGUGUGUCAGUGUGUCUGUGAGUAUGUGUGUGUGUGUCUGUAUGUGUUUGUCAGUGUGUCUGUAUGUGUGUCUGUCUGUCAGUGAGUGUGUGUGUGUGUGUGUGUGUGUGUGUGUGUCUGUGUGUGUGUGUGUGUGUCUGUGUCUGUAUGUGUUUGUGUCUGUGUGUUUGUGUGUGUCUGUGUGAGUAUGUCUGUAUGUGUAUGUGUGUGUGUGUCUUUCUGUUUGUCUGUCAGUGAGUAUGUGUGUGUCUGUCAGUGAGUAUGUGUGUGUGUGUGCGGCCCACAUAAACUUAAACCUUGUUUAUGUGGCCCGUGCCACACUUUGAGUUUGACAUGUUUGGUCUAGGUGUUUACUGACCUUAUUAUUUUUUCAGUAAAUCCACAGCCAAAAGUUAUUUUGUGGGAUAUAGUUAAUGCUAAAAAUUAAAGUUAUAAAGUUACAGCAAUUAUAUUAAUUCUAGAUGAUGUUUUUGUAUACCUUUAGAUCAACAAAUACAGAGCCUAUUCAAUAAAGUGACAGAAACAAAGAAGCAAAAAUUCCCAAACUGAAUAUAAUGCUGACUGGAGAUAAAGAUGUAGGCACCAAAGCAUCCAGUGGUAUAUGGAAAAAAUAUUUGCGGGGGAUAUAUUUAAGACUUUCUAAAUCAGCUAUUUAUGUCUACAUUUUGCAAUUCAGAUUUAAAUUCACCAUAAUUUAUUGUGACCCUGGCAGAAUAUGACAUUUAACACAAAGAAAGAAAAAAAAAUGGACCUGUCACCUAUAACAAGAUAUUAAAAAUGAAUCUAUACUGUUGUCCUCAAGAGCUUAGUAUGGUCACAUAUCAAGCAGUAAAAGAUGUUGAAUUAAGGAUCAUAGGCAUGUCAUCUGUUUCAGUGGCCAUAUUUAUAGAUUUCGCCUCUAUGCUGAUGGCAUGAAAUCUGUGAAUAAAACAUCAGUUUGGCUAGCAUAAUGCAUAGAUGAAAUGUUAUUCUAGUUAAUGGAAUACCAUAUCAUUUUUGCAUGACAGGUACAAUUUAUAGGCCAAUAAGUUCUUUACCUCUAUGAUGUAUUUUUUAUACAGCUCCUUUUAAUGUGUGCUUGAGGUCUAGAUUUAUUUAAGCUAGUCAAGCUGGGUUCGUGUAAAUAAACCACAGAGGAGACUGUGCUUCGUCCUUACUAAACUUGUCGUAAGGUAUAUAAACAUAAAAGAAAUGGGAGGUUUUAGUUGUAUAAUUUGACCGAAGACUAAUUGAAAGGACCCUUUUAAGAAUUAAAAAAAACAAAUUUCUGAUCUCUAGUAUUUAUUUUCAGAUCCUUGAAGGCUGCAGAGACCAAGAACAUUUUUAACAAUCCUCAUUCCUUCUGUUGUAGUCAGUUGAAGGUGUGUACAUAACCCAUAAAUCUUUACGACUGUGAUCCAAGGUUUUUGGGGCUUUAUAGUUGUACGAACAGCUGGACAGCAUACGUCAGGCCAUGAGUAGAUUUAUUUCCAAAAAUUAAAAGAUAUUAGACUAUUCAACAAAGUUAAAGAGACACUCUAAACCCCUAAAGCACUCCAGCUUUCUGAUGUGCUUUAGGGCUAAAUGGCAAGCCCCCUUGUCCCAAUUCAUAAAACUGCUGAUUUCAAGCAAAAUCGGAUAAUUUCUGAAUUGAUUAGCAGCAACUGGGGAACAUCUUCAUGUCAGUCAAGCUGACAGCCAGGAGGGCUUCCAGUUUCACUCCACCUGACUGUUUGGUCAAGCAGAACUGAAGGGCUUUAAUAGGAAUGCAUUAGUUUAUGAUUCCAUAUUAAAAGCAUUCUGUUGGACGAUCACCAUUAUUGAUUGGCCCAUUCACAGCAAUGAUUGUGCAUGCACCAAUUUUUUUUUUUUGGAAAGCAUGGAGAGACUGUUCUACCCAUACUGUUUUAUUUGUCAUUUUUGACAAGCUACCUGGGGCAGAGCUAUUGGUAGAGAAAAAAGGUUAAUUAUAUUUAUUUAUUUCAUUUUAAGAGGGAGCAGGGGGGCUCCAAUACUGUAAUCUUUGAAGGAAAACUCCAAACUUUAACAAGUAUCAAUUUAAUCAUUGGAGUUCUCAUCCACAGCUUUAAAGGCAUAACGACAAAUUUGAAUGACUAUUAUAGAGCUGGGAGUGGCUUAGUCCAGCAUGCAGUAUAUCAUUGCCAUUGACAUUUGGACACUUUUUUUUAUUUUUGAACUACCUUUCCCAAGAUGCUCAGUCAGAAUAGAAAUUGUGGGAAAUGUAGUUUGUAAGCAUCUGAAGUGCAGAGUUUAGUUGUGCACAAAAUAAGAGAUAAUAUGCAUAAAAGGCAGAUGGUGGCUGGAGAGUGAGCAUUUUGUCAUUAUCAUAGAAUAUGCAAGGAGCUAUGGGGGAUGGGUGUGUGAUAUAAUUAUUCUCAGCUGAGGUAAAAAUAGCGCUGUCUCUUUACAUAAAUAGCUUCACGUGGGAGGGAAUUUCAAAUUGCUUUUUGAUUUGUUUUACUUAACCAAAGUACACUUUAUGUUAAAAUGCAAAUUCAGUCAAAAUCCACUUAAUAUGCAGCAAGUUGUGUUGUGUUGACAAAUCUUGACAAGCUUGACAUAUACAACUGGGGUUUCUUACAAGUCAGUCGUCAACUCACCACCACCUACAGUGCUAUUUACGAAACAGUGAGUUGUGUUAAAUUCCAAAACUCAGGCCAACGGAGAUGAAUUGGAGACAUACCUUAGAUAAUGUUGCCUAAAUGCUGGAAUUGAGUUUCAACUCACUAUUAUUCACUAUUUAGUGAUCCAAAAAUUCUACUUUCCUAAUUAAACAUCAAAUUGUGGUGAAACAAAGUAUCAAUAUGGAGACUAAUGACCCAAAACAAAAAUAACCCCCCAUCCCCCAAUAUGUUUGAUUGGUCAUAACUGUCUUGGAUGCCUGACUAUGGCAGGUCACAAGGCAGACAUGGAUUAUUGAGGGAAAUGUUUUAACUUAUAUGUACUGUUAUAAAUGCUUCUACUCUCCCUUUUCUCCUCUUUUGGUUUUUGGACAGCAUUGCAAGAAUAACCUUUUCUGCCCACCUCCCCUUUUUACUUUCCAUUAUCUCCCUUUUUGUUUUUCUCUUUCUGUUAUUGUCAGAACUGCUUGGACAAGAUUUAGCUCUGAAGAUAGCGCACCAGUGGAGUGGGUUCCCAUUGAUGGUACAAUUGGAGCAGGAAGUUCCAAGACUCAAAUUCUGGAUUAUUUAUACCUGUCUGAGGGGCCGACAUCUUACAGCCAGCAAGGGAUGGUUUGUUGACUUUUGGAUAAACUAAGCCAAGGCUUGAGUAAUUGAAUAGAAUACUUUUUAAAUUGGAACUAAAUGCUUGAACGGCAUCAUGGUCAAUACUCAGAUAAAAUAAUUUAUCCAGGAAAUAUAAAUACAUGGCAAAUAAACAUAUUAAUAAAUAGACAAAUAGAUGGACAUAGGUUAGAAAAAUUGAAAGACAGGCACUUAAAGAGGACCUUUAGUUAUUCCAGAAUUUACACAAUUGAAUAAACAUUAGAAAUCACCCAGAACUUGAGAUAUCCAUUUCUUCAUAUCUCAAGCCUGUGCACACACACCAAAUAAAGAGGCGAAAUACAAACAUUAUUUCAUUCCUCCUUUUCUGUAUGCUGACUGCCAGGUGCAAAGCCCCCUGUCAAUAAUGACUGACAGCGGUCUAAGAUGGAGGCUGCAGAUUGAAGAGGUGUAGGAUAAAAAAAAAGUGUGAAUUUCUACAAUUAGUAUUAUUUUUAACAGCACAAAAAUACAUAUUUGUUAAAUAUAUAGGGGAUAAGUAAACAUAUUAUUAAAAAUGCUUGGAAGCGACAGUUUCCCUGUAACAAUAUUGUGGAAUAGCUUUUACUUCAGAUUGACAUUUUAUCAUAAGCAUUAAAUUAAAUCUACAUAUAUCAUUAACCUUCUCUUUCAUCAUCUCUAUAGACCAUUAACCUCUCCUUUUAUCUGUGUAUCCCACUAACCUCUCCUUUCAUCAUCUACUGAUACAGCUAACCACUCUUUUCAUUGUGACUAGGUAUGGGCUAAAUCUCAUGCUCUCUCAUUAAAUUCAUUUUCAUAUACAGACGAAGUAUUUGCAAAUUUUGGCAAAAAAAAAGUUAUAAUUAUAAAAAUUGUACACAACUUUAUCACGUCACAUUUUCUACUUUAUGACUUUCGUACAUCUGGUUUUACGUUUAAAAAAAAAAAAAAGGUCUAAAUUUCACAAUUUUACCUGUGCAGAAGUGGCUACUCAUUGGUAUCUGUACAGAAUAUGUAGCACCAGUUGCUAGUAGGCAUAACUCAUUCCUACACAGAUAUAUACUGCCAGCUUAGCAGUGGACAGCCUACCAACUGAGCUGAGAUGGAUUUAAUUUUAGCGUCUGUGGAGCUGUCUGAGCCCUCGCAAAAGAUGAGAAGCUGGGCUCAUUUUUCUCUUGUGCAGCAGACAUAUUAUUACCUGGAGCAGCAUGACAUAUUGCAUCAGGAAUCUUGUUUGAAGCUUAUUUAUUUCAGCUCUCGAGCCGGUGGAGAUAUUACACGGCCAAGAUCUGCUUUUGCAGGUUUGGAGAUAGUUUUAGUGUCUGUGAAUGUACUUGCAGUCUGAACUCCAUUCAUCUCUGCAUACAAUCAGAGCAGCAGGUGACCUGGGCGCCUGCUAAGUUUUGUAUUCAUUUUGAAUGAGUGGUAACUCCAAUCCAAUUUCUGGAAGCAACAGCAGCAAGUGUAAAAAACUUGUCUUGCUCUGAAUCUUUUAACAGCUAAUACAAUCUAGACUAUAUAUACACAUAGCUCUAAAAACAAGGCAUGAAUAUUUACAUUUUUAUUUCAAAAACUUUAUUGAAAUUGUUCAUUAAGGACAAUUAAGCGAAGAAAUAUAAGGAAAAAAAAACAAUAUAUAAAUAUAAUAGUCUAUAACAUGUAGAGGACAACAUAUUUUGUUCUGCCUUCUCCCUUUAGUCUAUUAUUUUCCAUUCUAUUGCUUUCUAUAGGUUAAUAUUGUUGUAGCUCAUUCUUUCCUCCCUUUUAUUUUGUAUUUUGGCCUAAGUCUUGAAAGAUACUUUUUAAAGCACUGUUUAGAGAACGGACCCUUAAAGGAACACCCUAAGCAUCAUAACAACUACAAUGCACAUUGUAUGACGUCAAACCAUAUUGGAAUGGUUUGACUUCUUACCUGGACUUCUCCAGGUUCUGCUCCCAACUUCCUUCACUUUCUACGGAGAUCUGGAAGCUCCUAAGUAGAAGCUUUUGUUAGCUCUCCUGAACAAAGACCUGAGUGCAGAGCUAGAUUUUUAGUUGAUUGUUCUAAGCAAAUGAGCUAGGCCCUGCACCACAGUUUAGAUACAAUCUCUCUAAGUUUAAAGGGUAAUACAGCCAUGGACCCUGUGCUCACUGUGCCGAAUAGGGUUUCGGCUAUACCUCAGGAACAAGGCCAAAGUGAAGUUCGAAAAAGAAAAAACUUGCCAGCAUUUCAGUUCUCGGUUGUUGGUGGGAUCAAUCUGUAUGUGACUGGAAUAGGUCUCUUCUGUAAUGGCACAUUCGAACAAAAACUAGUUUGAUACCUAUGAGGACCAAUCAAAGGGCAAGUGAUUAAAGGAACACUAUAGGGUCAGAAACACAAACAUGCAUUAUAAGCCUAUAGUAUUAAAACCACCAUCUAGCCCCGCUGGCCUCCCCUUUUUUCCCCUAAAUAUAGCACAAUCUUAGUUUUGUUCACGUCUGCAACUGUUGGCUCUGCACCUGAUCUAUCUGCUUUGCUGACAUCAUCAGAAGUGUUGUUCUGAACCAAUCUCAAUACUGUCCCGUAGGAGACUGUCAAGGAAGCAAAUCAGGGCAGAGCCAGCAAAAGCCAAAUGCAGCCAUGGCCAACCAGCAUAUCCUCAUAGAGAUAUAUUGAAUCAAUGCAUCUGUAUGAGGAAAGUUCAGUGUCUCCAUGCUGAGGGAUGAGACACUGAAUGGCAGUGCUGCACAGUGUGCAACAUUGCUCCAGGAAGCACCUCUAGUAGCCAUCUGAGGAGUGUCCAGUGAACACUAUAGGGUCAGGAACACAAACAUGCAUUAUGAGCCUAUUGUAUUAAAACCACCAUCUAGCCCCGCUGGCCUCCCCUUUUUCCCCUAAAUAUAGCACAAUCUUAGUUUUGUUCACGUCUGCAACUGUUGGCUCUGCACCUGAUCUAUCUGCUUUGCUGACAUCAUCAGAAGUGUUGUUCUGAACCAAUCUCAAUACUGUCCCAUAGGAGACUGUCAAGGAAGCAAAUCAGGGCAGAGCCAGCAAAAGCCAAAUGCAGCCAUGGCCAACCAGCAUAUCCUCAUAGAGAUAUAUUGAAUCAAUGCAUCUGUAUGAGGAAAGUUCAGUGUCUCCAUGCUGAGGGAUGAGACACUGAAUGGCAGUGCUGCACAGUGUGCAACAUUGCUCCAGGAAGCCCCUCUAGUAGCCAUCUGAGGAGUGUCCAGUGAAGGUAUGCAUAGGCUGUAAUGUAAACACUGCAUUUUCUCUGAAAAUACAGUGUUUACUGCAAAGGCCUAGAGGGAAUGAUUCUACUCACCAGAACAAAUACAAUAAGCUGCAGUUGUUCUGGUGACUACAGUGUCCCUUUAAGUGUUCGCUUAUCUUCAGUGUUCUCAUAUCUUCGGUUUGUUUCUGCUUAGAAUGGAAUGCUAUUGGUAUUUUACUACCGAAAGAAAUUGAUCUCAUUUUAUAUCUAUUCAUGUUAACUUGAUAAUUCCAAUUUGCUGUGGAAUUGUGAACAGUAGUGUUUUUUUUAAGUUUGUACUUAAACAUUAGUAAAUGUCUCCAAAUUUACAAAAGAGUUGCAAAAAUUUAGGUCAAAAUAGCCAAAAUGGUAAAAUACUCCAACCUAGAUAUUUUCAAGUUAUUUUAUUUUUGCCUAAAAUACACAAUUCCCUGGUCAGUUCCAAGGUUUAGUGAAAAGCGCUCUUCGUGAGAUUGUCCACAUGUAUUUACACCUCCUGUAUACCUAUCUGGAGAUGGUGAGAAAGUAGAGUGUUCUACAAUUAUUUCAUUACUGCUCGUGUUGAGAGAUGCGAAGUGGCCACAUGUUUUGUUGAAUCCUAUUUGCUUGCUUUAACAAGAAAAGAUAAUGUACAAUCACAGUGCCUUGUUUAAUAGCCUGCCUGUUGAAAUGAAAUGCAGAGAUUGUUAUUGGCUCCACAUUCUCUCGAAACAAUCAAUGCUCGUGUAUAUGUAAUGCUCAGUAUGUCACACUAGCCUUUGAAUAAUAUCCAUUUCAUGACAAUGUAGACGUUUCACAAACACACAUAGGAUUUUAUCCAGAAGCAAUUUUAUUUUCUAAAUGUUUCUACAUGUUUCUUGCUUGGAUAUUUCUGCAUGGCUCACUUUAUUCCUAGUCUUUAUUCCUUAUUAAUCUAUUGCUAUUACAUGUCUUCUGUUAUCCAUGUCUUCUCAAGGUCAAUGUAUUUUAACAAUGUCUUAGGAAGGGAUCAUGGCUCCACUUUUAACAUUAUGUGCCUUUUAAUGAAUUGUGCUGUCAAACAGUCCAGUGUUCCAUUAAAUCAAGAUGUCAAAUUUAUGUUUAAAAAGUGGCAAAGUCAUGUCUAAUAGCAGCCUGUUGGUUCUUUAAAAUAAUUAUUCACAUCUCUUGUGGUGUCACAAAUAGGUGCACAACAGGAGGGUAUAUCCUUGUCCUAGCAUUGCUAAUGUUAAAUAAUUGUUAUAAUAUGAAAGUGGACUUCUACACUAACCUGUGACAACCAGCCCAUUACUAACAAUACACAACACCAUAAGGGAGCAGUGAGAUAGAUUUCUGGUCCCUAGCAAGUAGCAAUUAGCACCAGACUUUGCUGGUGUAAAACAAACUAGCUCUGUUUUUUGGGCACAUGAGGGAACUUACAUGGAAUGCUUGAGCCAUAGAAACUGUGCUUUUAGAACUAAAUCAAAGAUGGCUGUAUAAUGCCACACACAUAACCACACAGGUACAAUGGAAAGGUGGAAAGCACAGACCAAAAGAACAAGCCAGGUCAAAAGGGGUAACUGCAUUGGGCCCAUGUGAAAUGCAUGUGCCAUGGUCAGUUUACCGUUUUUCUCUGAUUUAAAGAUGGUCCAGCGGAGGAGAUACUAAGAUAUAUAAAAUAUUGUUCAAUAUAGCACAGAUGUGAUACCAAACAUUACUAGCAUGAGUCUAAACGCAACAUUAACUUGAUAACACACAAUAUCUUAUCACAUUCUUAAAGUAAGGGCAAACCUAUGAGGUAACAUGAGAAAUAAAAUAUAAAUUAUGCAUUUUUUUUUUAUAUUUACAUCUUUAUUAAAUAUUUUAGAAAAUAUAAAUACAAAUAUAGAGUACUCAUUACGCAUACAAAACACUUAAAAUGCAUCCUUGUGUUUUACAGAGGUUUUGUAUAAACAUUUUCUAUUCUAUUAUAUGCACAAAAGACCACAUUCGCUUAUUAAUUCAAACUUGUUUAAUCAAAUGCUUCUUUAAUAGAGGGGGAUUUUUAGUAAUUUAAUUCACUGUCAGAUUGGAGAGCUGUUAAUUCAUAUCAGAGAAGGUGUAUCUUAAUUUGAUUAUUGCUCAAUAUUUAUCAUUGAUUUUACUUUAAACCAAUCUGACCAUAUAUACUUUUGUUGUACAUGUUUCCCUAAAACUCAAAAACAACUGCUCCCCAUGCGUAUCUGGUAUUCUGUUUCUGCAACAAUUUCAGCCCUUAUAGGUGGCACAUGGGUUAGAAGGAUUUUUGGUUCAAGUUGGAAACUCCAGAUGAAAAACGAAAAAUGAUCAUUUGACCUAGUGUUAAACAAUACAACAUGACAAGGUGAAAUAAAAAUAAAACUUAAGAAUUCAAAUAUAUUUCGGAAAUUGAAAAUAUUUUCUGAAAUGUCACAUGAACAAAUCAAUAAUGGUCAACACAAUUAAUAGAUCUUCGCAAGCUGUAGGAUGUUAGCUAGAUAGUUUCUUUAAUAGUGAUACAUCUGUUUUCAUUCAGCUGAACCUGAUAAGGAGUUAAACCAAAAUAAGGUAACGGUGCAGUACUACAUGAUAUCAGCAUCAUUUUUAAAAUUUUUUUUUCCACAUUUCUCAAGAUCACUAGUAACAACUAAACAUUUUUUACAUUUACUAAACACACUUUACAUCUGCUAAAAGUGCAUUUACAGUGCAGUAACACAGCUGCUACAGACUGAAAAUUAGAAACGUUAAGCCUUUCUUGAUGUUAUUACAACAAAAGGAGUGUAAUCCUUAGGCAAAUGCCACCUGCCACCUAACCCAAGGGUCAAUUCCGCUUUGGAAUCGGUGGUUAGAAGAACCAACCAUCGUUAGCACUUCAUAACAUUUGAGUCCUGCUCCUGUUCCAGAAGCCUUAUAAGUCCUGCUAUAAAUCCUUGAAGUUCUCCACAGUCCUUAGUUUACCAUUUAGUAUAACUAUUCUAUUUAUUAUUAUAUGAUAUGCAUACUUAUUUACUUGUAUUACUUUUAAUUCCCUUGCAUGUUCUUAAAGAGUUAAUUUGUUUCACCUUACUUCCUUCUUUUUAACUGCUUCAGUACUGAAUAUGUUCCUCUCAGCAUUGUAACAGCAUAUUGUGAAAUUGGCCCAGUUUUUCAUAUUGCUCAUAGAGUCUGUAAUAUAUAUGCUGCUUUAAGACGAACAUAUUUAGGGCACAAUUUCCUGUACAUACCAACAUUUCAGUACAUGCCUAUGUAUAUAUAAUACACUACACAUUACAUCGCACUUCACUCAAUGUGGCCACUCACACCAGGGCAGUUAAGUAAAUGUAGCAUUUAUUAGUACAAUCCAAGACAAUAGAUAAACAGGCAGAGAUCAUUAACCUUGUGCACUUCAUGCUUUGAACAGCACUUAUUGCUGUGGAAACACAAAACUCAAGAGAUUAUUUCCACUUGCCUGUCUAAUGUUCACCUUUCAGAUUUAAUUGUAC